UUCUCCUCUCUCUCUCUCUCUCUCUCUCUCUCUCUCUCUCUCUUUUCCCCAAAUCAGCUUCUUAAUUAAUAUUUGCAUUGUGGUUUCAUUUCAUAUUCAUUUUCCUCCUAAAUUUCUUCCUUUCACUUUUUUUUUUAAUGUCUAAAAGGUGGAAGACCUGAUUGCCAUCAGAGAAUUUAUUCAGUGAAAUACUUCAUUGAUCAAAGCUAUAGGCGGACCUGACUGGUUUCAUAUCAUUUUCAUUUGCCGAUUCAAUUAAGGAACCGAGGCAGAUAGAACCAGAUCAAUACAAGAGAGAGAGAGAGAGAGAGAGAGAGAGAGAGAGAGAGAGAGAGAGAGAGUAUAUUACCAAGAAAAAAUGGAUAUUAUCAAUAAGAGAGAUUACGUUUUCAAGAAAAAAGGGAGAGAGAAAAUUAUUUUAUUUUAUUUUUAUGAGAGAGAAAAUAAAAUUAAUGAUUGUUUAUUUAAAACAUUAAAACUAUUUGUCAUGUUAGAUUUAUUCUCAACCAUUAAAAGUAGAGUAAUCUAAUGGCCCAAAAAUUGUGUCAAAACUUUUGUCAAAAAUAUGGUGCCACGGAUCCACUAUAUAUAUAUAUAUAUAUCACAAAACAUCCUGAGGUUCACACACCUAUUACAAAUUAGGGCUAGACAAUUAAACCAUCAACUCAAAAAAUCGGCCGAACCAAACCGAUCAGAUUAGUUUGGUCUGAUUAUUUAUUUGUUAAUUAUUUAAUAUCGGGUUUUGGUUUACAAUUUGAGAUUUUAAAUGAACCGGACCUUCACUAUUGGCAAGCCAAAUAUUACAAAAAUAUAUAUAUAUAUUUUGCAACAAUGGGGUUCAAAAACCCCACACCUCCAGGUAAGAAUUAUUCUUGCUUUCCACUGGAGCAAUCAAGCUUCUUGUGUAAUCUUUCCAUAAAUAUGAUAUAUAAUUAGUUACUCCCAAUAAUAAAUAUUUUUAAAAAAAAAAAAGUGAGAGCAUGCAAGUAAACAUUAUGCAUGCACAUCUGCACUGAAACCAACGUUCUAAUUCUUUUUCUUCUCCUCAUAUCUCACCUCUCUCUACGCCCUCAUUUUUUAUUUUUUUUCCCCAUCUUCUUCUUCAUUCAGUCACUUUCCAUCUCUCCCUCUCUUUUUAUUUAUUUUUCCUUCUUCUCUUUCUCUCUCUUUCUUUUCUUCCUCCUCCUUCCCUCUUUUGCGUUGUCUCCCAUGUCUCUCUCGUUUUUCUAUUUUUUCCAUGCUCUCUCUUCUUUCUAGGGGUGGGCACUCAAACCGGCGAACCGGAAAUCCGAGCCGAACCGCACCGAACCAAACCGGAAAAAAACCGAGUUGACCAAAAAGUCAAAAACCGGUCAAAAACCGAACCGGACCGGUUUGGACCGGUUCCGGAUCCGGUUCCAUGUCUUCAAAAACCGAACCGGGCCGAACCGAACCGGUGAAACUAAAAAAAUAUAUAAUUUCAAUAUAUAUUUAUAUUUAAUGCUAUAUUUUUAAUUUCACUAAAAAAAACAUAAUAUUUAUCCAAGUUCAAUGUCAAAAUCUCUCUCUUUUCUCACUUUAAUAUUUAUUUUUUAUAUGAAAUUGAAUAAUUUGUUAAUUUUCAAGUAAAAAAAUAAUAUUUCAGUUGAGAAUUGUAUUAAAAAAUAAUUUAAAAAAAUAAUUUUUAUAAUCCGGUUCAAAACCGAACCGGAACCGAAACCGGACCGGAACCGGUUCAAACCGAACCGGACGGUUUUUGAAAUUUUUUUUAUUAAAACCGAACCGAACCAAACAGAAUGAAUAGUAUCGGAUCGGUUCUAAUUUGAGGCAAAAACCGGUCCAAACCGAACCGUGCCCACCCCUACUUCUUUCUAUUGUUUUCCAUCGCUCUCUCUUCUCUUCCUUCUUCUCCGUCUUCUUCCUGCGGUCUCUGUCUUCUUCUUUUUCUAUUUUUUCCCUUCUUCUUCUUCCUCUCUUCCCUAUCUCAAUCUCUCCUUAUGUCUAUUUUUUCCCAGCCUACUUUUUCUCUCUUCGGCCUAAACCCGAAACCGAACCAAACCAAAUCACAAACUUCGGUUAACUAGAAUGGUCGGUUUCACAAGUUAUGGUUCGGUGCACGAUUUUCAAAAUAGCUAACCCGAAGCCUUCUGUUCGGUGUUCAGGUUGAGCCUAAAACCGAACCAAUCCAGACCGAGCCCACACCUAGCACAAAUGGUCCUUGCGAACUUUUUUUAUUUUUUCAUUUAAAAUUCAUAAAAUUUUGGUUUUCUUUUUAAAAUUAUUUUAAAACAUAUAUUGUAUUUUAAAUACACAUGACACUAUAUUAUCAUAGAUGUAGGCUCCAUAUAUAUGCCACAUCAACAAACUAAUGAAAUUUUUAAAUGAUCCUCAAGGUUAAAAUCCUUCUAUAAAUAAGUUUUUUUAUAUUCCAUCUCCAUUGUAAAACUCUGUUAUCUAUCUCUCAUUUCAGGAUUUGAAAUAAGAAUCUCCAUAAUAUUAGUUCCAUUAAAAUCUCGGUAAAAUGAAAUUGCCAAGCCAAGAUGAGCCCAUUAGAUGAUUCUGACCCAUACAGAACAUCUGAACUAAAAAGAUUGGAUAAAAUACAGCCACAUUUCAUAUGCAUGCCACCUCUGGUAUUUGGAAAAGUUUGUCUCCCUGAUUUGUGGUCUUGGUGAAGCUCUCACAUUUAUCUAAAAUGCCGGGAGUGUAAAUUCUCUCUCCUCCAAAAAAAAAAACAUAAGAUUUUGCUGUGGCCACUAAAUAAUAUGAAAACUUCUUUACAUUUGAUUAUAGUUGAAUAUGAUGAAUAGGGUAUACUUAUUAAAAUAUAUUUAUUUUACAAUUCAAUAUAUCUUAUUUGUUCAUUUUAUAUUAGGAUAAAUUAGUAAUUCAAUAAAUACUUUAGUAGUAGGGUGUACUCAAUUAAUUUUAGGGUUUGUUCAGUAGCACUCUUCAGUUAAUCAUAUUCUAUCUGCUAUCAAACCACUGUUGUUGAGAACUUCUAGUAGUUGUAUUUUCUGGUUAUCAAAUUCUAGUAGUUAUUCAUUACUCCCAUUUAGCAAAUGUUAGUUGCAAUCAAUUUCAAGUUGCAACGACCUCUACUCUCUAGUAGUUAUUUAGUUUUACCCCUCUCGUUUAUAUUAAUUAUCUUUCAUCCAUUCUUCAUUCCCAUCUCUCUCUCUCUCUCUCUCUCUCUCUCUCUCUCUCACAUAAUCACCCUGGCAACUUUCUAUACCACAUUACAAGCUUUGAUUAAUUCCUCUUAAUUAACCAUGGAAAUUAAUGCAAAAGCUCAACACCGCUCAACCACAGAGCCAUUGCUCCCAAUUUCACGCAACCCUUCAAACCCAUCGUGUCCAGUCAAUCGCAUCCCAAUCCAUUGCAAGAUUAGUACACGUCCACCGCAUUCUAUUACUUGCAUUAGGGACAUUCACAUUGUUAUGCGUCUUCAUGCUCCCGCCCACACAGACCCCAAAAAUCCAACUCGACUCACUCUUCAUGUCCAAGCUUAACGUUUCAAACACGUCACUAGAGGCCAAUUGGGACAUGGCCUUCACCGUAGAAAACCCCAAUAUGGUCUCUUGGGUUUAAUUCAACCGCAUAGAGGGUUCAAUUCUGUACAAGGGCAACCCUCUCGCGACAUACUCUGUUGAGCCAUUUGACUUGGGAUUGAAGGAACAAAGAUUGAUGCGUGUGAAGAUAUCAAGGACCGGAUUACAGGAUGAGCCGGAGAUGAAGGUGUCGGAUUUGGAAGAAAUGAAUAAGCAACGUGAAGAUGGUGCUGUGAGUUUGAAGAUGGAAAUGUUUGCAUGGGCUACGUAUAAGAAGGGUUGGUGGGGAACAGAAGAUGUCAUGAUGGAGGCUCACUGUUUGGAUUUGAGGGUUGGUUUCUUGCCUAAAUUUGGGUUCGGUUGCUGUAUCAGCCUAAGGCCGAUGACUUGCUCUACUGGUUCGUAUGCUAGUUGGUUAAAUCGGAAAGUUGUUGAUUUUUUCUUUAGGCAGGACUAGGGUUUUUAGUCUGAGAUUGUAAUUUGAUGGAUGUAGAUGAAGCCUGUAAAUUAUGAACAAGGAAGAACUUGUCUUUUCUUCUCAAGGGAAUGCAUGCAUCAAAAUUGGAGACAAUGUCAACAUUCUUUUUUAUCUUUAUCCAUGUGUAAAUUGAAAAAGGAUAUCACAAUUACAAAACCUUCCACUAAACGUUUGUGGCUAUAUUUUUAAUCAAAUCAUAAGAAAAAAAAAAUUCACCACACACAAAGAAAUUGAACAUAUAUAAGAUCUCUAGAAUGGUGUAUACUUCCGUGUGUUUCGAGAAUAUAUUAUAUAUGAAACUCUUUUUCAUUAUAAAAUUUAACAAAAAGACGUAAAUUAUAAAAAAUUAAAAAUGCACGAACCAAAAAACUUAAGUGGUACCUAGUCAAACCUCGUCCAAUCAAACUCACCAUCAACUAUUAUAAACUUAGGUUGGGUAAUUUUUCAAUGUGAGACAAACUCUCAACAAACCCAGCCAAUCAAUCUGAGUGAGAUCGACUAACCGAGAGAGAGAGAUGUUGAGAAAUGUUUUGGCGGAACAGAUUCUCCAAUUUUGGAAACACAAUUUCAUUCUUUUGUUUUCACUUUCGAAAAUAAUUUGUGAAAACAUUUCCAAAAAAUGGUGCCGAACUUUUCUACAUUGAUAGGGAAAACAACCUUAAUGAUAGUGUUUGGUCUACUUUUUACUCAGAUUAUAGGUAAAGACUCUCGCUCCUAAUUAUAUGUGUUUGACUUGGUUUAGAUCUUCCAUGCACUGUUUUGUCUAAUAAAUUGAAGUGCUAAAAAGAGCAUUUUAAUUUUUUAAUUUUUUAAUUUUUAUUUUUUUUUGAGGCGGCUUAUAAAUGUCAGAGAUGGCCCCCUUGAUACUUCAACAAACCUUGCAACUCAGGUAAAUCAUGUACGAAUAUAUUCGUUAAUUUUUUUCUCUCACGUAUGAUUAAGUAUGUAGGUUGACACUUGAACAACCUUCUAUUUCUAGAGUUUUCGCUCAGCUAACCAUUUUAUUUGUUAUCAAAUGACUGACAUUUAGAAAAUCCAGUAGUUAUUCGUUAGUCCCUUUUAGCAAAUGUUAGUUGGACUCAGUUUCUGUUUAUAACCUUCUAUUCUCUAGUAGUUAAUUAGCUUUACCCUUCUCCUUUAUAUCAACUUUCCUUCCCCCAUUUCUUCAUACCCAUCUCUCUUUCUCCCCGAAACCCUAGUAAGCUGGAUUAUUGCAUCACAAGCAUAAGUUUCUAUUAACCAUGGAUUCUAAUAGAACAGCACAGCGCUCAGCCACAAUGCCACUACUCCCAGUUUCAUACAACCCUUCAAUUUCAAACCCCAACAUAUCUCUGUCUAUCACAUCUCGAUUCACUGCGAAACUAGUACUUCUCCACCGGAUUUUGUUGUUCGUGUUAGGGAUCGUCACGUUGCUAUGCGUAGCCAUGGCCACAUCCUUAGUUCCACAGCCCCCGAAAAUCAAACUCAACUCUCUCUUGGUGUCGAAAAUUAACGUCUCAAACACAAAGCUAGGGGCCAACUUUGACGUGGCCUUCACAAUAGAGAACCCUAAUCUAGUCUCGUGGAUUUACUUUGACCACAUCGAUGGUUCGAUUUCUUACAAAGAUAACGCUCUCAUAACAUACUCGUUGGACCCUUUUGUACUGGGAUUGAAGGAACAUAGAAUGAUGCGUGUGAAGAUAUCCGUGAAUGGAUUACAGGAAGAUCAGCCGGUUGUGAAGGAGAGGGUUUUGGAAGAAAUCCAUAGGCAACGUGAAGAUGGUGCUGUGAAUUUCAGCCUGGAAAUGUUUGCACGGGCUACGUAUAGGACCGGUUGGUGGGGGACAAAGUCUGUUUUAAUGAACCCUCAAUGUUUGGAUUUGAGGGUUGGCUUCUUGCCUAAAGUUGGUUUCGGAAGCUGGAUUAGUGGAGGGCCUAUGACUUGCGCAGUUCCAAUGCUAAUUGAUGACUAAAUUUGAAUUUCUUUUCCCUUUUUCAAGUUACCUAGCUAGGCUUUUUGGUUUUAGUUACAAGGGAGCCUAAAUUAAGCCUUUUAAUUGGAGGUUGUAAUGUAAUGUUACUAUCUAGUAGGAUCUUGCAAAUUAAAAGUAGAGUUGAGCUUUGUUUCCAACGGGCACUAAAAAAAAAUCAGCAAUAGUCACCUUUUUUUUCCGUGACUUUUGAAAGCAUUGGUCACCUUUAUUGGUAACUAAAAGCUUUAGUAACGAUGCAGCUACAAAUUUUGAGUUGGUGAGAUUUGUGACCAUUACUAUUGGCCUUUAUCACCAUUAAUAAAGAAAGUGACAAACAAAAUGUUGACUUUUCAGUUACCUUUACACUUAUAUUUUUUUAUUUUUUUUAUCUUUAAUUAGUUUAAUAAUUUUCUGAAUUAUAUAUGUUUUAAAUAAUUACAAUUUCCUUUUGAUAUACUUUAAUGGCAUAAUAACAAUAAUUCCUUUUUUUUCUUUUUUUUCUGAUAAGAUAAUAAUAAUAAUUCCUUGAUAAUGCACUUCAUGUGUAAAAGAGGCCUCUAAUAUUAUUAUUUAAUUAAAUAUAAAUACUCAAUUGAUACAUAAUGGUAAUUAAGUAGUACAAUAUUUUCCUAAUGAAUACAAAAUUUGUACAAUCCUAUGCAAACAAUAAUACAUACACGCCUAAGAAGACCUGUAGCUAGUACUUUCUAAUCCAAGCACUCCUCCGAUCCUACCAUACAAACGAAUGAAGCAACUGAAGUGUCCUCCAUUCCUGCAAUUGAAGUGUCCACCAUUCCUGUAAGUAAAUCCAAAUGACAAAGAAUGAAAUUAAAGAGUCCCAAGUACUAGAAGUUAGUAGAUAUUCAAGCUUAAGGAAUUACAACCUCACCCUCUUCUUUUGUAGUUGGUAGCAUUAAACGUUCAUUUGUCUAUGGUGAAGGGAUCUGAUCAUUGUUUGUAGUGAACUAAUAGUAGUUCACAUAUCAUAGUUCAAGAAGAAGUUAGAGGUAGAGCAAGGGCAUAGUUCAAAUAGGGAAAGAAAGAGAAAAGGGAAGAUCAAAAUAAAAUAAAAUCUAAGAAAAUAAAAAUCUUGUAGUAAUCUAAAUGAAUAACCCCAACCCACCAAUGUUCAAGGGAAGAGAAACUCAGAUAAAAUAACAUCUUUACAACUCAGAAAUAGAAAAGGUGAAUUACAAAGAGUAUAUUAAUAAAAUAGAAUAAAUUUAAACGGACCUGGGAAUAGAGGUGCCUCUAGCAAUUCCACUGCCCCUGCAGAACUUGAUCUUCCUACAUCAUAGAAUAUCAAAGAAUAUAUUAAUAUAUAAAAAAGUAGAAAGAAAAAAACUUAUACAUAAAACAAAAUACAAGGAAAGUCAUGACUGAAGCAAGCCCUACUCUAGCUCUCAGAUCUGAGAUAUAACAUCUCAUAUUUGAGAUUUAAUCUAAAAGGACCUCCCAGAGCCAAAGAAACUCGCUAGAAAAACUAGGGAGAAAUAACAAACUCUGUCAAAAGCAAGGAGAUAACCAAAAAAAAUGGAGGGAUCGGGGUGAAAACCACCGGAUCUAAAAAGAAAAAAGGGGUUGCUGGGUUGUUUUGAGAGAGAAGAGCUUAUAAAAGAAAAGGGGUUGCUGGGUUGUUUUGGGUUGUCAAAAGCAAGCCCUUUAGAAAUUCAACUAGAUCAAGUAAUCUCACACUUUAAAGAAAAUGGGUUACUUUAAUGGUUAACCAAUGUAAUAUUUAAUUCUUUUUUUAUACGUAUUUCCAUUUUUAAUGUGUUCUAUACAUAUUUAAUUGGAUUACUAUUCUCAAGGAAGAUUAUCCUCAAAUAUUAUAUUUAACAAAUUACUGCUAUGUGUCAGUUGGUUUACAUUUAUUAUAUUUAAAUCAAUAGUCACCAAUUCUUUAAAGUGUGAGAUAAUUAGUCACAAAUAAUGGUGACUAGUAACCAAAGUCAUUAAUCACCCAUUCAAAUGUCACCAAAACUAUUUUGUUGCUAUAAAAAUGUGACUAAUGCUUUCUUUUUUUGUAGUGGGGAAUCUAUCAAAAUAGAAGUAAAGUUAUAUACGUACAAAUAUUUUGGUGAUAUUGUCUCAUGGAAGACGCAUAAAACCAUGUCUCUGUGAAAUUUUUAGAUGCUUGUAAAAAGCCUCUUCUACGUGGAUGUAUUACCUAAACUUGAUCGAGGACACUUUUUAUUCACAUACUAAGAAAUAUUUUAACUAGAUGCCUUCAAAAUAUAGUUAACUAAAUAGAGGCCUUCACUACACAUGCCAAAAUUUAAAAAGGAACAGAUGGAUUUGUGGAAUUUGGACAUCUAAUUCUAUUAUAUUUGUUUCUGUAUAAGCACUACAAGUUUGAAAUUGGCACAAUAAACUUUAGAUGAACUCUCAAAAUGAAACCGUUUUUGGGGUGUUUUGUUGUGCACUCUAGCGAUGUGGAAAUACUCGCUUGACCUAGUUUGAUGUCGAAUUACUUGGAAGUAAAUAGCUUUGAAGAAAGUUGAGGUUGAAACUUAAGUUUGGAUACUUCAUAAAGAAAUUUGGCUUUAAAAUGACUAUGGGUGCUUAAAAUCCAAUCAAAAUGGCCUAAACUGACUAAUCCAGUCCAAUCAAAUGCACUUUUGAUCAUUUUGAAGGCCUUAGGCAGGUUGAAUAUAGAUAGUUGUGUUCAUACUUUUUUGCUCUCAUACACGUGCGAUUGAAUAAAUUUUGAUUAAUUUUAAGUCAAUCAAAGUUAUGUUUAGUCCAUUUGAGAUCCUGUAGGGGCUUUUUCUUUUCGGCAGCUACUGUGGGCCUAGGCUGCUGUAAAGAGCUAAAUGUGUAAAAAUUGUCUCUGGGUCUGAGUUCAAGAAUUAGGCCCCGAGAAUGCUUCGAAAGGGUAGCUAAGCCUUAGGAAGCACCUUGGUUACCUUCACUAACAAAACUAACAGUUACUUACAGAUAAAUUCUUAGCUUUGACAUGAUAGACUUGUGGUAUGGAAGCAAAGCAAUCAUGAGUUUAGCAUUGAAGAGAGAGAGAGUUGUGAGUUCAUAUGAGAAACAUGGGUUCUAAGGAGAAGGGGAAGGGAUUCUAAGUGGGUUUUUUGAAGAGAGAGAGGGAUGAGGGUAUAUUAGGUGUGUUGAGUAGUUUCCGGCAGCUCGAUGAAAACUCUGUCAAACUUUGGAACAGUUUACCAAAAGGAAAAAUGGGGAGAGAUGGAAGGAGAUGAGGCUCGAAAUUGCAGAGGUUUCAGAGGUGAGAGAUAAAACUUGCUUUCCAGAUAUGUGUUGUUUGGGAUAAAGAAGAAGGAGAUAGAAGGUGAGGCACUUGGGCUUGAUGUUUCCAGCAGUUGGAGAAUAAGCUUGCUCAACUGCUCUGGUUGAGUUUAAUGAGUAGGAGGUACCUUCUUUUAUAGCCGCUAGAAGCUCCUCCUUCUCAAGAAACCCUAAUGGGUUCUCUCCAAUUUUGCCAAGUCUCCCCUUUCACCCCUUUCAUUUCUCUUCUCUCCCUUCGAUCCAUCCCAUUUUGUGAAAUUCUCUUCUGCCCAAUACUUUAUCAGAUUUUUGGGAAUUCAGAAGUUUUCCCGCAGCCAUUCCAGUGGUGAUUUCUUAUUUUUGGCUAUCAUCUCUCAUCCUUUCCUCCCUUAUUUCAUGGCAAGAUCUGGUAAAGGAAGGAGAUAGGUAAAUUUGGCUAGUCUGAAGGCUGCCUUUUCUCUUGCGCGCACCAAUAUCCUCUGGUUUUUUGAGCGAUCUGCCUUAAGGUUUGUUUUGCCCACUUGCUAGAGCCUCCCAGCAGUUCACAUACAUGGGCAACUUUGGCUUUUGUCUUGGCUUUUGUCUCCAGCUAAGUGAUGGAGAUUGCAGAUAUUUUGCUUGGUUGCUUGGGCCUUCCUAAGGUGAUGGGUUAACCCAUUAAGGGAAUGGGCUAAUUUCCUAAAGUGAUAGGCUAUUUUAUUGAGAUGAUGGGCUAAUUUUUCCUAAAAUAUUGGGCUAUUUCUCUCCUUUAUUCUUACCCACAUAUUUGAGCUCAAGAAAUGGGCUUGAGUUUUAGGGCUCUCAAGCAACCCAAAACUUCCAUUUCUCGGCUCAUCAAUAAGCCUCAUGAAAGCUCAUUACCAUCCAUACCACAACCCACUCAGCAAGCCCCGAGCAUUUUUCAUGGCUUGGGCCCACUUAAACUUGUAGCGUGGCUAGGUAAAUAAUAAUGAUUUUUCGCUUGGCAUUGCAUAUCGUUUGGCAUGCUUGAAUUUUGUCGCUUUGAAGAGGGAUAUGAAGCUUGACAGGAUAAUUAGCUUGGGGUCGUAAAGCCAGUGCUUAUUUCAACUCUUAGCAUGACAGAUUACAUAUUUAUUUGGCAUGGCACGUGGAUCAUGACUCGUGCAAGCGUGAAUGACAAACCUUCGCGUGCUCCAAAUCAGGUCUUUUUUUUAAUAAAGCAUUGCUUUGGGUCGGAAAUUUAUUUGGGUCAACCCUGAAUUUUUUGGGCCUCAACAGAUCCAAAACACUCUUACUUACAAUUUAAUUUUUACUUCACAUUCAUUUAUAUAUAUGUAAUUUGAUUAGAUAAUAUAUUGAAUGCUACGUCACCAAUUAAUUUAUCAAUAUUCACUCGUCACAUCAUAUUUAUUUUUAACAUCCUCAACUUUCUAAUUUAGUAUUUGUGGUAAUUCAAGAGCCACCGCAACAAUUUCGUCCCAGCAUCACGCUGCUGCCACCACCUGCCACUCCCCAACGGUUAACCAAACAAUGUAUAAGUUCAGGUUAUGAACCGUUGCGAAAUCACCGUGAAUUAACUUCAUUUGCUUUAACUAAUGAUGUUUAAUGGAUAUCACUAUUCAAGCAAACUAACAGUUUUAUCGGUUAUCAAAUUAAUGAAGUUUAGAAAUCUUCUUUCGCAUGUUUGUUAGAAUCUAGUUAUUCAGGUUUUUAACCGUUUUUGGUAGUUAUUUAGUUUUUUUUUAACAAUCUCUAGUGGUUUACAGUUUCCAUGGCCUUCUACUUUAUAUCCCAACUCUCUCACACAUUUCCACAAACCCAUCUCUCUUUCUCUCUCAAUUUCCUAUCAUCAGCCGUGGAAAUUAAUGCAAAAGCUGAUCAGCACUCAGCUACCAUGCCCCUACUCCCAGUUUCAUAUAGCCCGUCAAACGACAACGUUUCGCAGUCUGUUAAAUCAAGACGCAUUUCCAAAUUAUCCGUCUUCCAACCCAUUAUUCUAUUAUCACCUACAUUAUUAAUAUUUGGGACCUUGGCAUUGCUGUGCAUUUUCAUGUCCUUAUUGUCCCAAGUUCAUCCACAAGCCCCAAAUGUCCAACUAAACUCGCUCUUCAUGUCCAAAUUUAACAUCUCCAACACAACAUUGGGGGCUAAUUGGGACAUGACCCUUACAAUAGACAACCCCAACCUGCUCACAUGGGUUCGUUUCAACCACAUCAAGGGUUCAAUGUCGUACAAAGAUAACAUCCUCGCGAUAAGCUCCAUCGAGCCAUUCAUGUUGGGAUUGAAGGAACGAAGAACGGUGAGGGUGAAGAUAUCGACGAUGGGGUUGGGGGAAGAGGAUCGUGAUCAUCAGCUGGUGGUGAAGAAGAGGGUUUUGGAUGAGAUGAUGAGCAAGAGACGUGAGGAUGGAGCUGUGCAUUUUAGCAUGCAAAUGUUUGUUUGGGCCACGUAUAGGACUGGUUUGUGGGGGACACAACAAGAUGUUGUGAUGAGCCCUCAGUGUUUGGAUUUGAAGGUUGGGUUCUCGCGUGGAAUUGGGUUCGGGAGUGGGAUUAGUGGAGGGCCUAUGAUGUGUUCUGUUCCUAUAUUAAUUAAUUGACCAAAUUAGACUUUUUCUUUCUUUUUUCAUGUAGAGGUUUUUAGUUUUAGAUUGUUAAUUUGAUCGAUGUAGGAGAAUCAAAAUCGAACCUGUAAAUUAAGAACAAAGAAAUGAAUUGUUUUACGCAUCAAAAUUGAAGGUGAAUAUGAACGUGAUGUUAUGAAAUUCUUUGAUGAUCUUUGUCUGGACUUGGAUAAAUAAAAAAGUGUAUACUAGUGAUUUAUCUUAUGAAUUUGUACUUAACUUUUGAUUUGCCCUAUCUUUUUUUUUAAAGAAAAUUAAGGAUAUAAACUUUUUUUUUCCGUCAAUUUCUCCCUUACCGUCUAAAUCCACAACAUUUCAUCUAAUUUGUCGUUAAAUAUGAGGGCAAAUUGGUCAUGUUGUACUUCUAAAAUAAAAUAAUUUGAACUUUGAAAUAAUAAUAAAUAAUGAUAGGAAAAAAAAAGGUUUUUUUUUUUUUUUUUUUUUUAAGAGUAGAGAAAAUGUCAUCCUCAGACUUCCUAUUAGCCUCUGAAUUUCUGCUUACCAACUCCACUUCCUAUAAGCUUCAUACCAACCCCUUUCUUCCCCAAAAUUGAACACAUCCCAUACAACAACACCAAAACCUCCACCAUAUAUUUGAACAAAAUCCCCCAUAUGUACUUAUUUGAACACACACAAAAAACCCAGAUCCAUUUGAUCAAAAAUCGCACAAGGGGCAGAGGGGUUGUGGUGAGGUGGGUGAUUUUGUGGUGUCAGGGAUGGACCUGGGGUUUGGGGGAAGAGAGAGAGAGUGUGUGAUGGUUGUGGGGUGGUGGCUGUGGGAGGGUGAGUUGUUGAGAGAGAGAUGGAGAUUGCGAUGGAUAAAGGGGUGGUCGUGGGUUUAAGGGUGUGUUGUGAAAAGGAAGGCAGCGACGGUGGGAAGGGGGGAUGGGUUGCGAAUUAGUCUUGGGGUGAGUUGCAGGUGGGAAAUGGGUAGUCAGGUUGGGGAAGAAAAAGAGAGAAGGGAGGGGGGUUCUGUGGGUAGGAUAGGUUUUUGUUUUGUUCCUUUUUUUUAUAAUUUUUUCUAAAAAUAUAAAUUUUAUUUUAAUAAUUUAACUGAAAAUUGGAUGCAAUGUUGAUGAUUUAGACGGUAGGGAGAAAAUUGGAGAAAAAAAAAUUUUAUAUUUUUAAUUUUCUAAAAAAAAAAUGAUAGGGGGUCAAUUGAAACCAAGGUAUAAGUCAAGGGACAAAUCACUAGUAUACCAUAAAUAUUUCACUACAUAAAUGAAAUAAACAGAAGAUUUCUAGAAUUUACACGUGCUCUUACAGAAAUUUCAUUAAGUAUUUGGUGUGCAAAUGAAUUUUUAUUAAUUUACUAGAGUCACCCUGAAAAUAAAAUAAUUAUCAGAAUAUAACUCAAAUUUAAAUCUCCUUUUUUUCUAUUAAAAACAACUAAUCCUCCUCGUAAAAAUAUUUACUCUCCUCAUUGUUUUUCGGUUGGAUCCUCCACUUACAUUAUAAUUGUAAUUUAUGCUAAUAGGGUCUAGUUCAGUUAAAAAAUACUUUGAUUUGCAAACUAUUGGUCUCAAGUUUGAAUCAUAUAGCACCGUGAUAGGUCUAUAUGAGAAACCCCACUCUCUAUAGUUUGGACAAAAAUUAUUGAUAUUUGAUCUAUCCUUUCAGAUGUACUUGACUCUUUCCAAACUAUUUGCACUUGUGAAAGGACACGAACUGCAAACAUCACUUCGUUUUACCAAAGCCAAAAAACGUCUUCAACCACCACGCGUAUAUAUCCUUCAAAACAAAUAAAAUAAUUGCCCUGCAAACGCAACUUGAUUUUAACCGCUGCCAUCUUCCCUCAUUUGUUCCUCUCUUCUCCCUCAUCAUCUCCACCUUUCUCCCAUCCAUUAUAAAUCCUUAAAUUCAGUAACUUAUAAUUAGUACUGGGAAUUUUGCUUCACAUAUUGGAUUGAUUCAAGACCAAGGAAACUUAGCAUCACAAGGUACGGCUUUCUUUCUCUAUCUUUAAAUUGUUAUAAACUUCGUCUGGGUAAAAUUAAGUUGUCAAAAUCAGUAAUUUGGUGAACGGUUAUAAAAUCCAAGUCUUGCAAAUUGUCUCUUUGAUUUGUCCUCUUGAAGCUUCUUAUUUGAUUAAUUAUACCAAGUGAGUAAUCUAUUUGGAGAGUGUCUUACAAGUAUGUUUGUAGCAACAAAUACCCUGCAAUACUGCAUUUAAGAACAAACUACCUACUGCCAACGGGGUCUAGCCUAGUGGUAAAGGGCCUUGACUUGCAGAUCAGAGGUUUCAGGUUCAAAUCUCACGGCAUCAUAGUAGUGUGUGUGUGAGAAAUCCCCCACCCCUGUAGUUUAGACCAUCACUUGUACUAAAAAAAAAAAAAAACUAUUGAACAAACUACCUACUACAUUUUAUUUCUAAUUUCUUGUUAGACUUUUUAUAGCUUUGGCCGAUCACUCUUUUUUUUUUCUUUUUUUUUUGGUUGUGAAAUUAGUAAAAUAGUAUUUUUAAAUUGAGGAAUUAACAAUUUUAAUUCGGUCUAUAGAUUAUAUUAAAAAAAAUGAUGUUCUAACAUGUUAUAUAUUGCUAGACUACGAACCACGAGUAUUCUCUUUCACUGAAUAAUCGGUGAAAAUUUCCCUAACAUAUCCAUCUUGAACUUUGUAUUCUCUCUUUCAGGAAGAGUUAUGCAUGGCUUCUUUGUGGUGCAAAAAGUCUCCAGAUUGCAGUAAAAUUCGUGGAUACAUCCUGCUUUUUGUUAUAGUGGUGAGUCUAGCAACAGUCAUCGGAUUUUCUCUCUGGUUCUUAGGCAACUAUGUGGAUUCAAAGUCCGGCCCAGGAACAGACCCCCUUGUGCUUCGUUUGGAUGCAUUUUCUCUAUCGAAUUUCGAGGUUUCGAAUUCAUCAUUCUCAGCUGAAUGGGAGGCCAAGUUGACAUUUGGGAACCAAAACGGUGGCCUAACUGUUACCCUCAACCCCUUUGAGAGUUAUGUGUUCUAUAAAGAACGUGAGGCUCUAUCAUGUGCUUCUGUGGAUGCAAUGUUGCAUGUUCCUCCAAGGAAACAGAAAACUCUGCAGAUCAAAUUUGAUCCGACAAGUUGCGGAGGAGAACAGCCGUAUGUGGAGGAUCGAGUGAUGAAGGAGUUGAGUGAAGAUCGAAAGAGUGGUCACCUUAGCUUUAGUUUGAAAAUGCGCAUAGAUGCUUCUUAUAGUAUGAGGGAGCUUUUGGGAAUGGGAACCCAAGUGACUUUAAAUCCUAACUGUUCAGGGUUGAAGGUUCAGUUUGAGGGUGCAAAAGGGGAGGGAAAGAUAAAUGGGGGCCGCAAGUGCACCAUUCCAUUACCUAAAUGAUCAUGCAAUUCUUACCGUAGGUAAGGGCCGGCUCUGAAAUUUUAAGGGAUUAUAGCAGGCGAAGAUAAGCUCAUGAAAUAGGAUUAAUGUAAAUUUCGUAUAGAUAAGUUGUUUAUUUCAAAAAAAUUGAGUCCUUUUUACUUGGGCCAGAGCACUUGAAAAAAGUAGGCAAAGCCCAACUUGUGAGAAAUUCUUGUGAUUUAAAAGUAGCAGGUUUUGCUAUAUAAGGAAUUAUUAACUCAACAAGUAACGGAUGUCACGUAAAAGGAAAUCAAAUCAAUGUGAUUUAAUUUUCUGGUUUUCUUCUCAUUUUAAAUUUUAAGCACCCUUGCAUUAAAUCAUUGAGUUUAUGCCAAAGGAUGCCAAUUAGCAUUAACACUGAGCUUAUCCAUUUUUGACCUCCAUGAAUUAAUGACAUAAAUUUUUUGAACCAAAAUGUGCACUGAUUCUCUGAAUUUGACUGCCAUUUCAAUAUUAGUUUUUCCCAAUACUCUCCCAUUCACACCUUAACUCAUUGCAGAAAAACAAAAAUGGGCCCUUUGUGGUCUCGUCGCCACAAGGCACUGGCGGAAGAAAUGUCCUUGAAAUUGGCUGCUGCUACAAUCCUCAUCACAUUACUUGCAUUUGUCACCACCGUAUGCUUGUCGUUGAACGGCGGCGUUCGAACAUAUCCCAUUGCCAUUGCUCAGCACUCUUUCUCUGUCUCAAACACAACGAAACUCGUCUCUGAACUGCAGAGCGCUGUUUGGGAUGCAGAGUUGAAGUUCAGCCAGAACAGUGAUCUGCAAGUUCACAUCAAACACUUUCAGGGCUUCGUGUACUACCCGAAAUUCGAACCGCUGUGGUGUGCCUCACUGAAGCCAGUGGACGUUGAGUUCAGGAGCCCAAAUGGGCUGCACAUAAGAUUUGAUAUGAGAGAGUGUGGGGAGGAAGGGCUCGGGGUUUCGACAGAGGAAGCUCUGAAGGAGGUUCGUUUGGAAAUGAAAAUGGACCUGGUUGUGCCUUACCAGUUUGGAAAGACCAGAAUUUGGGCCUGGCUUUGGGGAUUGAGUGUUGAAGAAUCUUGUUCUGAGUUGAGAGUUGAAUUUGUGUCUUCGGUUGGAGAGGGGAAACUGAUUGGUGAGGGAGGAUGGUGCUUUGUUCCAUUGCCUGAGUAAUUUUGAGUUAUGAUCAACUCAUGCCAAUCUAAAUAAUCUUUGUUUUUGCUUCCCCUUUUAUUUAAUUUUGUUUUGUUUCUCCUCUAAAUUAUUACCUCACAGAAUUAGGCAUCAAGCAGACAGACACAAAGAAGAGAGUUUGAGUCUCCACUCUCCUCUCUUUUUUUUUUAAUACGCAGAAAAGAAAAAUAUGAAACUGACAGGAUCACCCUCCAUUCAUACUGAAGGAGACGAGGUUACGUGACUUUGCAGUUUUCAUAGUGAAGUUUGAAAAGGGUCAAAUAAUGCCAAGAUUUUGUCACUUUCUUCGUUUCAAUGUUAAAUGUCCUCGAUUAUCACAAUCAUGAUUCAUCACGCCUCGUUUACUUCUUUAGCUUUUAUUUCCAUGUUCGAUUAAUUUCUUAAUCCCUUCAUUUUCUCCCUUGAUUGUUUCCUUUAAAUAUUCUAGUUUACCAUUUUUAGUAUAAUUCUCUUGUAUUUUUAGUUUUCCGUGUUGGAUUAAUUUCUUGUAUAAAUACUGAAUUCUGCUCCCAGUAGCGCUAUGGGCACCAACUUUUUUUAUCAAUUUUUUGAUACCAACUUAUGUAGCAACUGACAUGGCAAUUCAAGUCAUUUGCCACCUCAUCUAUUUUAUUUGAAUAAUUUAAAUUAAUGCACAUAAUCUAUUUUAAAUUAAUUUAUUUAACUUUUAUAUAUUUAUCUCUUCUCAAGUCAUCUCCAUCAUCCAUUCCCAGCCAACAGCUCCUCCAUCGUAGCACCGCCACGAUCAUGAUGAUAGCAAAUUGAUGGUUACGUUUAUAGAUGAUAAGAUGAUGCUCAUCUCUGAUUUUGGGUUUUGGACAUUUAUGGUUCCUGGAUUUGGUUGAGAGUAUGGCGAGGAAGAAGAAUCAAAGGAGAGUAAAGGCAUGAGCAUAUAUAUAUAUAUAUAUAUAUAUAUAUAUAUAUAUAGUUCUGAUCUUUUGGACCACAGGAGUCCAAGAAAUUUGUGGUCACUCACCGUUGGAUGUAAAUUCAACGGUUCACUCACUCUUGCACUCAUUUUAAAAAACUUUUUUCAACCAUUGGAUUAAUAUCCAACGGUAGAUAACCACAAUCUCUUAGACUCCUGUGGUCCAAGAAAUCAUCGGGACUAUAUAUAUAUAUAUAUAUAUAUAUAUGAAUAGAGUUGGUGAAUCAUAGGAUCUUAUAUGCAGUCUCACACCGAUCACAUCCCAUAUAUUUGGUUUUUCUUUGGAUGAUAAUCACUGGUUUUCUUUGAACUUGGCUGGAAAACUAUUAUUGCUUUGUUGAUUAUUAAUAUUAUUGUAAAUUCUACAAAACAACUAAUUACGUUGAUACUAUGAUUGGUAUGAAAACAUUGAGGAUUUAACAAAUCAGUUAAGAGAGGUGUGAUGAGAGCUCUUCAAUGGAAGGAAUGAUUAUUGAGUUUCUAGGGCUUUUUUGGGGUUGGGGAAGGGUUCACCGUUGAACCAAAACUUAUGGGUAUUUUUCUUUCUUUUUAUUUUGUUGGACAAUUUCUCUUUCUUUUCUUUUUUUUCUUUUUUCUUUGUUCAGGAACAAAAUGUGUAAUUAAAAAAAAUGACAUGGCAAAUGACAAGGAUUGCAAUCUCAUGUACUACAUCUAUUGGAGAAAUUAUAGAAUGCUAUUGUAUUACCAUGUCAGCUAAUUAUACUUCCAUUCAAAAUAUGUCAUACGUCAUUUUAAAAAAAGUAUAAUUUUUUGUUUUACAGCUGGACUUUUGCCCUCUAGAAUAAUAUUUGAAAAAACAAAAAAACCAAAGACGCCGGAAACCAACUCCCACGACAACUCAAAUCUUCCUACCUUGCACUACCAACCACCCAACCCAAUCGCCCAAGGGUUUUGAUUGGCCACCUGGUUAAUCUAAAACAAGAACCACAUAAAGAAAUAACUGGAAAUAACAAUAACUGAUUAUUCCCUUUGUGGUUUCUGUACAAAUGAUUAUCAACAAACCAAAAAAAUAAAAUAACCAGCACACUAUAGAAACCUGUCGAGUCCCUAAACGAGCUUCAUAAUCCAUGGACUAUUGGGUUGGUGGAAGAAGUGCGAGGAUGGGGAUUGGGUUGUGGUGGGAGGUGGUUUCGAGUGGCUUCUUUGGGUUUUUCCUUUUCUAAAUUUUUUUAAUAAAAAAGUCUUAUUCUACAGUUAAAAGAAAGUAUUAAAUUCAGCUGUAAAAAAAAUUAUAAUUUUUUAAAAAAACAUGAUAUAUAGCAUAUUUUGAAUGAAAGUACCGCUAGCUGACGUGAUAGUACAGUAUCAUUCUAUAAUUCUCCAUGUGUUGGUAUCAAUUAAUUGGUAAACAAGUUAGUGCCCGUAGCAUUAUUGUUUUGCUCCUUUCAAUUAGGGAUGAGCAUUGGUGGAUCGAACAGGUUUGGACGUUACACAUCAUGUGAAUCGGAUUUAUAACCACCGAUACAUCGACAAGUCCAACUCAGUUGAUUUGCGGGUUGGGUCAGGCAGGCACCGCAAGUUGGAGGAAGGUGAAACUUGCACAGAGCCAAAUAGAUGAAGCCUUGAAGAUGGAACUUUGAACUUGGUUGGUAGGUGGCUAUGGCGGGGCGACAACUAUAUCAAGAGACAAUUUCAUAUUUGGGAGUGAGGGAAUGAGGGCCACGUCAUGUUCAUGUAUGUAACUUGCAAAAAAAUUGUACAAUUUUCCAUGGGAAAAUUAUGCUCUCCCCACGUAGCUUCUCCUCUAAUAGUUGAGGAUGAAGGAGAUAAGCAAUCAGACAAUGGGAAAAUUUUCAAGUAUGGUGUUUCGGGCAGAGGCACUCAGAAAACACACCUAAGUAUUCCCCUAAAUAAACUCAUGCUUGCAACACAUGAUCUUUAAUGUGUGCCAUUGUUCGUGGCCAUGAAGAUUGACAUGGGGGUGCUAAUAUGCCAAUUUUGCUAGCUAUAAUCCUUUUGUCUUCAUCACUUAUUUCCUUAACAUAGAUUACAACUCCUAAUUAAUUACCUUGUCCUACGCUCUUUCCGCGGCUUUUCACAGCACACCCACCUAUUUUUACACUCUCAUUUCCUUCAAUAAUUAAUCUCCCUCCAAUACACAUUUUAAUCCCCUACCCCAAAAACUCCCUCCUUCUCUCUCUCUCUCUCUCUCUCUCUCUCUCUCUCUCUCUCUCUCUCUCUCUCUCUCCCGGAAGAUUCCUGAGAGAGAGAACGAACAUCCCGUAUAUAUAAUUAAUAGCAGCACAUAUGGCUUCCACAACCGAAACUAAUCAACCCCGCUCCUCCGACCAACCCGCAACACAAUCAUCAGAAGCCCACCAACCUCGAGCCCCCAUUGACCCCUACCCCCCGCCCGCCGGGGGCACCUAUCCGCCAUCCAACAUGAGCUACGCGCACCCACAAGGAUACCCCACCGUAGCGCCCCCCUACCACGGGUACCACCCGAGCGCCUACAACCCUUAUUACGGGGACCCCUACUACACCACCACCUCCUACAACCAAGCUGACGAGGCCGCCAGCAGCUGCUUCCGGUGCUUCUGCAUCAUCAUGUUCCUCCUCGUCAUCUUCACCCUCCUUGCCAGCAUCGUCAUGUUUGUCGUGGUCCGCCCGGAAACCCCGGCCUUCAAGGUCGAGUCCUUUAGCGUCUCCAACUUCAACCUCGUCCCAGGGAGCAAAGUGCUCUCCGGGAAAUGGGAGGCCUCCAUCUACGUGGACAACCCCAGCUACAGGAUGAAGUUGGAGAUAGACAGGUGGGAGACCUCCCUGUACCACAAGGACAACUAUCUCGCGAUGGGCUCCGUCAUGCACUCCAUGAAUCUCGAAUCUCGGUCAAAAGGCACGAUGCACAUGAAGAUGGAGACGUACAAUACAACGGCGAGCAGCGCGGUAGAGGACAUGGAGAAGGAGCAGAAGGAGGGCGGGAACGUGAGCUUCAAUUUGAGGUUGACGCUUUCGUACGACAUGAAAGCCAGUGGUUUUUUGUAUAAUCACUAUAGUAACUACAGAAGUGGGACCCUCCGGGUGAAAUGCUCGGAUUUGAAGGUGCCGCUGCCGGCGGGGUCAAAUACUGGCAGCAUGCCCAGUGGGAGCUCGAAGGCAUGCGAUAUCUCCGAUGGUUUCUGAUUAUUUAGUCAUAGACGAGAAAUGGGUCGGAUAUUUUUUGUAUGGUCUCUCGGUCUCAUUUACUUUCUUCCCAUGUCUCCUCCAUAUGUGGGAAUUGUGUAUUUGGCUAACUUAUAUUAGACGAAGUCAUAUGUUCAUAAUUUUAGAAACCCUUAAAUCUGUUAAUUUUAUUGUAGAAAAUUCUUUAGACUAUUGUUUCUAGGAUUUCUUGUGCUUUGUUUAAUUUUAAUUUUGUUAUAACUAUAUAGUGACACAUAAUGACUAACUCGGGAUCUGACCGUAUUUCUCUUUUCAGUAUUAAAAGGCAUUAGUCAUAUUAUUUCAUGUUUGUAUCGAAUUACACAAUACUAACCGAAGUUAUAGAAGAUUCUUAAUCCAUUCAUUAAUCAUGUAUGGUUAACUAAAUGCAAAAUUUCUCAACUUUAACAUAAGUUACUCAUUCUUUGAUAAAAACAUAUAUAUAGUUUAUAUUCAAUUGAAUAUGUUUGGAUAAAUUUUAGCUUUCGUUAUUGACCAAUGAUAUGGAGAACACUGCACAAUGUGAUCCGCGAUCGUCCCUUCAUGUCUAUUGUUUUUGAGGCACUUUGCAAAUAAGUCUCUCCAAAUUCUAUUUCAUAAUCAAAUUUGAACUAAAAAAAUAAACCUUUAGACCCGACUUUUAUUGAAUCUAAUAAUACCAAUUGAUAGGUCAACAGCGUUUAGCUCACUGAAAAAGUGAUAUUGACAGGAGAAUAAUUAUGUAGUUUAGACUAUUCAGUCCUGAUCUCUCAGACCACAAGAGUCCAAGAAAUUGUGGUCACCCACCGUUGAAUAUUAAUCCAAUGGUUCAAAAAAGUUUCUUAAAAUGAGUACAAGAGUGAGUGAACCGUUAAAUUUACAUCCAACGAUGAAUGACCAUAAAUCUCUUGGACCCCUGUAGUCCAAGAGAUCAGAACUGCUAGACUAUUAUCACCAACAUUAGGAUGUGUAUUGCACUAAUUGUGUUUUUUCUUCGUGAAAAAGCUCCAUUAAACGAGUUGACAAAACAUCUAUAAAAAGUGUUAGGCUCAACAUUAUGCUUAAAGCAAAGGCCACCAAAAAAAAAAUAACGAAGUAGGAGUCCAACAAACACGCAUAUGUCCAUUUGGGCUUUAUCGAUUCAAAUACGCGGAGCGGGUAACCGCGAACCCGAACCCGCUUCGCAUAAGAAACAGAUAGGGACAAUGACGAGCCGACAAGUGUCACCACCGUAGAAGGCGGGGAGAGAUUCCUCAGUGCGGCGCUUCAACUUAAGUCUACGCCCUCUGCCAAACAAAAAAGAAUACAAAAAGAAAAAACAUAGAAUUACGCGUUAUUUGCCAAGCAAUUCUAUCAACAAUCAAACUGUAGCCCUCAAGCAACUUUGUGCUCUCAGAAAUUUUUUUUUUUUUUUUGUGGUAAUUUUUUUUCGCAUAGUAUAUCUAUCGUAUCGACCGACCAAACACCUCCUCCUCUACCUCUACGCCUACCUUUUAUUUUUUCCUUACCUCUCUGUCUCUUGGAAACCAAAAACUCAAUUAGCUCUCUCCGCUCUCAAAUGGCUACCUCAGCUGCCGGCGCCGAUGAUGGUCGUAACAAGACGGUGACCGGCUACCCAGUUGAGCAGGGUCAAUUCGCAGCCGGCUACCCAGCCGCCGGAGCCUACCCCUACGUGGCCCCACCGCCGCCUCCUCACGCCAACACUUACCGGCCCAUGGGCCCACCUCCUUACUACGCCCCUCGGCCCACUGGGCCCAUCACGCCCAAUAGGCCCACCCUCCUCUGCCGCCUCCUCAUUGCCGCCAUCGCCGUCUUCGCCAUCAUGUCCCUCGUCUUCUUCAUCGCCUGGCUUGCACUCCGCCCCCGCCUCCCCGAGUUCCGGGUCGAAUCGGCCUCCGUCUUCCCGCUCAACGCCACUGGCUCCGAGCUCACCGCCACCUGGGACCUCACCCUCCUUGCCAACAACCCCAACCACAAGCUCAGAAUUUACUACGACAGCAUCCAGGCCUCACUAUUCUACGGCGACGAUUACCGGCUCGCCACGACGUCGUUGCCUCCCUUUGUUUUGACCAAGAGGAACCAGACGCGUGUCGGGUUCAAGCUGGCGACGGUGGGGGAGUACGUCGGCAAUUACGUGGCCAAGGGGAUCUCCGACGAGAGGGAUCGUGGGUCGGUGAGGUUCGGGCUAGGAGUUUUUGCUUCGGUUCGGUUUAGGUCUGGAGUGUUCCAGUCGAGGCCUCGCGUGUUGCGGGUCUUCUGCGAAAGGGUCGAUUUCGGGUUUGCCCAGAAGAAUGGGACGGGGACUUUGACGGGUCAGUCAAGUCCGUGUGUGGUUGACGUGUGACUGUGAGUAUAAUUAGUCCAUUGGAUUAACACAAAUUGGUAAAUGCUAUAUUUAGUCGUUGUUCAUGAUUUUGGGUUAUGGAAUAUAAUUCGUGAUCUUCUGAAUCCAAUUUCUCUCUGUUCUUUUAUGCUAGCUAAUGAUAGUAUAUUUUUUUUCAAUUAUUUUAUUAUGAUUUCUACUAGUUUUCUUUGUUUUGGAGGUAAAUACCAUUUUCCCCGUUUUGCAUAUGCUAAUUGGCAUUUGAAGUGUUGAGAUGGGUUAGAUGAUAAUAUGGGACAUUGCCACAUUAGGUUUUGUAUUUGUGUUAGAAUAAAGAGCAAUGUGAUUGUUUUUAGUGUUCUGGGGCUUUGUCAUUGUGAUUCAAACUCCAGAGCCAGAGACUGUAGGGUAUUGAGUGUUGCUUGGUGAAGCUUUAAUCGAGUGUUGACUCAUUUGGUAGAGAUGCAUAAAUGCAUUCUGAAUGGAUUAUAGGGUUUUCCCUCCACCCUUGAAUGCCACUUACCACACAGUCACAAGGAAAAAAGUAAGUGCGCACCAACCGUAGUUGUCUCCAAGCAUAACAUUUGAAGAAACUCAUCCCUAUUGUUUGUUAAUGAUAUCAAACCAUUGUUCGUGCCUUCAAAGAUUAUGCGCUUGAGAAGAAUGGUAAAGACUUUAUUUAAGCAUUGGAUUUGUGGUAGUGGCUACUAAGCCUCUCUGUUAGGAUGUCUGUUUUAUUGUGCUUAAUGCUGGUUGUAAGUCUAGGGUUGUGAUUCAAGCUGUUGUCUUGUGAUUCAAGUCAAUAGUAUUGGAACAGUACAAGAUUUUCCUGGGGAAGGGGAGCUUGGUCUACUAGGAACUAGCAAGUAGUGUGAUUUUACCUAUGUAUUGAGAAAUUGUUUAUUGUUUUGCUCUCGAAGAAUUAAAACGAAUCUCUCUACUUACUUCAUCAUCGUAGAGAUCAAUUCUUUUUAUAGGAGUUUGGUGUUAUUUGUUCUCUCUCUCUCUCUCCGCCCAUAGGAUAACAUCAUAAUGUUUAUCUUUUCAGACUCUGAAUUUGUGCUCAUGUAAAUGUGGUGUUGAAUGUUUGCUUGUAAUGGUCGAAUUGUGCUUUAGGCACUACUGUACGAGUAACGAUUAAGAGGAGUGGCUAGGUAAAGACUGUAGUUGCAGUUAAUUUGACUUCCAAACCAUUUCUACUACAAUGUUAAGUUUCAUAGUAGGUUAUGAUUUGGGUUCAGUUGAUAUAUGAUAAUAAUAGAACUGUUGUCAAAUGUAAAGUCAUUCUCUUUCUGAUUUUGUAGCUGUUGUCAAAUGUAAAGUCAUUCUCUUUCUGAUUUUGUAUUUACUCCUUUCCUGGCUGCUUUCCAUUUAGGUUUUUUCCUUUGAAACUCAGCUGCAUGUCUUCUUGUAGGAGAAAAAACACCAAACUUUUGUUCUGGCAACAUUUUAAUUACGUCAUACUGUAUUGCAUGUUUUCUGCUCCAUUUUAACUGUGUCAAUAUGCUGUUAAGUUGGCCAAACAGGGAACUUUUUAUGUUUGCUCUGUACUACUACGUCAAAGCUUGCCUGUAUUAGCUUUCACACUUUCAGUAUAGUUCUGAGCUGAUGUAGUUGCAUUGUUAUUGUUGAAGUUUUGAUUUUGAAAAAUUCAGAAUUUUGGGCUCAGAAGCCAUGCGAGGUUGGAGAUUAGAAAAGGGGCAUUGCUCGUCUUGCCCAAUGCGUUGAUGUUACUUGUUUUUAAUACUUAAGAGAAGCAAUUAUGUGCUUCUGAAGUCUCUUAUCAUACUUGAAUUUUAGUACUGGUUUUAAACUAUUAAUCUAGUGAUGCCAAACACUGUCCUUUUGUCCUUGAUGCUGAAGUGGUUUUAGUUUUACUUUGAUUUUGAUGAUUUCAUUUCUGAUGUUUAUAGGUGUUAGAGGUUAAUGUGUGUUGAGAUUGUUUUUCUGCUCUUUUAUUUUCUGUUUGUGGUUGAAACUUGAAACAUAGAAUCAGUUUCCAAAAAAUUGAAUUCAGUAUUUCAGGUUGGUACUGUAGUUCCUAUGAUUGGUGACAUAGUUGUAGCUCAACAGGUAGUUCAUAUUUUCCUAAUUUUAAAAGAACUUUUUAUUUUAAAGGUCCUUUUAGUGACAUUUUUGUUUUUUACUUUUAAGCUUUUCUUUAACGAGGUAGAGGGGGAGAGGUGGACGGUUCUUAGGAGAAAGGUGAGGGAAAAAGGAGAGAAAAAAUACUUCAAAAGUUCUAAAAAGUAAAAAAGCAAUUUAAAUGGCUUUUAGCCUGUUACUUUUAAUUCUCUCUACUUCUCCUGUCUUGUUCAUCUCUUUCAUCUCCUCCAUCACUUUAAUUUUCUAUAAAAGCUGUUAUCAGGGAUGCCUUCACUCCGCGUUUUUCUUUUGCUGGCAUUUAUGUAGUAGGCUUCAUCUAUUAAAGAGUUAUGAUUAAUCAAGGCAUGAGGCAUCAGUUUCAGUUAGGCGAAAUUAGGUUUUCAACGAAGAAAUAAAGCCUUACAAGUUCCUCGUCAUUACUUGCAUGUACUUUGCUUUUGAACUAUUCCAUCAUCAGUUCAACAAUUGAUUGAUGUGUAGAAUUUGGUCUUGGGUGUAUUGACUUGAGAUAGGUUGAAGAUGUAUUUAGUUGGUCCAUGCUUAGAGCUCUGAUUUGCUGGCUGAAAUGGUUUAACUUUUGGAAAUUUUCCUCUCUAUUUCACCGGUUGUACAGAAUCAUGUGUCUAUUAUGACGUGACACCUUAACGACCCUAAACUCGGACUAGAAAGAGUUCAAUCCCUCCCUCCUAUAUAUAAGUAUUAGCAAUUGUAUAGGUAUCUUUGGUUCCACCGCUUGUUUAAGUAAGGAGGCAGUGGGAUGAAGUGGUUGCUUGGCCGACAGAGCUUUCUGGGGUGGCCUAAAUAACUUUAUGAAAGCCUAUAUAUUAUGCAGAUAGCAUUGGCAAUGGAAUUAUUUAUAAACUAAUAACACUUUGAUUAUAUCUUAUAAACAUGAUAAGAUUCUCAGACACGAUAAUAGUGUACAUAUUUGUAUAUCUCCAGUUGGACAUGAUUAGGACGCUAGUGGAUUGAGAGAGAUUGACAUUGAUUUUUAGUGCAUGUAAAAGUAAUUGUGUAAAUAUCUGGGAUGUUUCUUCUUUUUUUUCUUUUUCUUUUUUUCUGUUUUCUUAUGGGCCCGUGAAGAAACAGCAUUGGAAUGAAAAUUCUGUGUCCAAAUUAGGAACGCGUGAGGGAUGAGACAUGGUUGCCCUUUGUCAUUUUCUACUGCUGAUUAGGACAAUCAGAAUGUGGAGGGAGCUAUUUGAUUGAUGAUUGAACAUAAGAAACUAAUCAAAUUAUCUGUUGUGAAGUUUAAUAAAAGAAGAGACACAAAUCUACAAGUCUCACGCAAUGAAAGCUAAAUCCAGAUUUAUUUUUGUAAGAAAACAAAGUCGUCCUACUAGCAAUUGACUGAUUUCACUUGACCAAAAGGUUGGGAUAGCAAUUUUUCCCGUCACACCCAAUCUCCACAUUGAUCUGUCCCGAAUGGGAUGGGGAUUGAGGCUUCUGCCCUUUCUCCAUCCCAUUCCGUUUUACAACUAUCAUGUUAAAGAAUGAUAAUUGUUUUGUUGACUCUUAAAUUUAAGCUUUUAUGAAUGGGAUGUGGAAUUCGAAUCUCAAUGAAGAAGACGAUAUCCAAUAGGGUUUGAGGCGGGAUUGUGGAUAUUUAACUUUUAUGGGGAUGGGGAUGAGUGUGAAAUAAUUGUUUCUUCGAGUAAAUUUUGUUAGGGGUAUAACUUACCACGAAGCUACAAACCCAACAUUAUUGCAUAUGUUUCUUCCUUUGCAGGCGAAAUAGUCCUCUGGGAGGGUGCAAAGGAUAGGAAGCUUCUCACUGGCCAUGUGACGGCAUGUGGAAAAUACGUAACAAAAGGCUUUACUUGGUGGCGUUUACACCUACGCCAUUAUUAUUAUUAGGCACCAUUUUAUAUUUAUAUUCAAAACUCAAAGCAGUGCAUGAACUGAUGCAAAAAAACAAAAACAAAAAAGAUUUAGGGGCUUUUAAGAUAUUUCCAUGUUGAGUCGGUUAGCUUGGCAAGUCAGUUUGAUCUUAAGGCUUUUCAUAAUUCAUUCAUAAUGUAGGAAAACACUUAAAAGGAAAGUGAUUGCUUGCAUAAUUACUUAUGAUAAUUUUGAUCUCCAUUUAAAGGAAAGUGCUUGGAUGAUCCCCUUUUUUUUUUCUUCUCAAAACUUGCUUUCAAAGUUCAUUUUCCAUCAUAUUUCAACUCCUUUUCUUCAAGAUACUUCUACCAUCAUACAUCAUAGAUGCAUCCAAAUGACUAUCUAGGGUUCAUUGGCUCAUCAUCACCCACUAUUAGUUUCACUUUUUUAUUAAUAGGGUGAUCAAUUACCCUUCAAACCAAUUCAAGACAGCUUAAUCAACCCAAUUAGAUAGUCAUCAUUUUGUGUCACCAAGAAUAUUAUCCCUUUCUUUCACCUCCAUGUCUUUUCUUCCCCAUUUUUCUUCUCAUUGUUUUUGGAACUCUCCCCUUCUUAGAAUGACCCACCAAUCAAAGGGUUUCUUUCUUCUCUCUCCCCCAAUGCUUUAUUCCACCAACUUUUUGUUUUUGUCUCUUUCAUUAACCCAUGGUUAACAGAAAGAAGCAUAGCCACAGAUUCUAGUCAGAUUUUAGCAGCAAAGCGCAUGAAGACAACAAACGAAUCCAUUGGGUGCAAGUUGCAUAGAACAAUUUUGGCUUUGGGCAUUCAUAUUAACCACAAAGGUUAGGUUAAAAGUUAAUUGUGAUUUACUUAACAGAGAUUUAAACAGGAAAUUGGGAUUUGGUGGUUUCAAAGAAGAUCUUGUAGGGACAUUUGUAAUUCCCAAAGUAGGGAUAAAGAAUCAGCAUGGAUGUCAGUGCAAGUGCAGAAGAGAAUACCUUUGUGUGUGUAGAAUCUAGUAGGCAUUGGCCACAAACCACCCCACCCUUCUUUAUGGACAUUUGGGGAUAUCCUUGGCUUCUUUUUGCGGCUUCCAUGUUUUGUAAAAGUGCUUUUACCCAAGGCAUUUUCUUCUUGUUUUUAUGAGAAAAUUGAGAGAAUCAGCAGCAAAGAAUUUGGUAAAGGGCCCUCUGCAUUCUCUGGAAACUGCACUAAGUGUACUUGGUUUCUUUGGCCACAGUACAUAAGAGAUGCAACAAGAGGAAAAGAAAACAAUCAAAUAAGUUCUACAGCACCAAGUACCAAAUAAUUGAACUCCAACAUGUCUAUGAGUAAGGCUCCAAUGAUUCAAAUUUUGGGUUUGGUCGUACCCAAAUAGUAAUAUUCUAAAGGAAAAUGCAACUAAGAUCAAAUAUUUCGAGCCGCUUCCGUGAAAAAUUCAAACUUUCUUUUUUAAUACUUCAAUCACAUAAAAAUAUAAACUUUGAGAUUCAAUAGCUAAAUACAUGGCAAUUGAAUCAUGAGCCGAGAUCAUAAAGAGCAUACAAGUAUACAAAGUGGAUGUCAUUGUAGGUGUCAAAUGAGUGAAGAAGAAGAAAAGAGUCAUGUGCUUUUAGGUGUGCCAACUAAUAUUAUCUUUCCAUGGUUUGAUCUCAAGUCUCAUAUCUGGAUGUGGUUUUCUUCUCUUUGGAUUUAUAUAUGACAAUAUAUAUAUAUAUAUAUAUUUAUAUUUAUAUAUAUUUUAAAAAAACAUUUAAAACACCCAAAUUUAUACACCAGUCAUAUUUUAUACUGUAUUUCUUUUUUCUAAUAUUAUAACACUUAAAGAAAACCCAAGUAAAUGACAAAUAGUGUAUCAUAUCCACCCACCAUCUAAUAAUGCUAAAUUAGUAGAAAGUUAAGUCUUUUUUUAGCAGUGUUUCUUUCAUUUGAUCCAAGACUUUUCUACAAGAGGCCUAUGUCAGAAUUAGUUAUUUGAUUUCAUAAGACUCUGCCAGAAUUUGACUCAGCAACAACCAAUUUCUAACCAUGUGUCUUCAAGCCAAGAAAUAAGACAAAGUAGGCCCUUCUGAAGAUUUCAACUUUUGUGAAUUGCUUAACUUUGAGCAAAUUGAUGGUGCAUAGAAGAAAUUUGAUUCCCUAUAUUUUUUUCUUCUCACUUGCUAAUAUCCAGUCAUUCGGUUGCAAACGACAAUGACUUUCAUUAAAUGAAAAUUGUUUCAUAGGAAAACAUCCAAAUGGUUAAGAACUUAAAGAAAGUUGAUGUUUGAAGUAUAUUUUAGAGAGGGGAUAAGGAGAACAACACUUUCAGAAACAAUGAAGGAAGAGAAAAUUUUAUAUAUUGAUUAAGAUUAUCGACCUGAUAACGAGAGAUUCACCUUAAUCAGCGACUCAUUGUCCGUACACAUAUCAAUAAUUUUCAUGUAACGUAAUCUUGUUCGGCAAGCUUCUAUCACCAUUUGAGAGAGAGAGAGAGAAAAAAAAUUGUAUAAAAUUAAGAGGUAGAUAAAAAUUGGUCAUAGGUUUGGUCAUUGGUGGUUGAGGAGACUUUUAGAGCUCGAUGUCGAUACUAAAUGUGUGAAAAAACACAUCAUGGUCUUGUAGUUCAUAUUCACACUUGCCAACCGACAUAAUCAAUUUCUAGUUUCUACCAUCAAUAAUGUAUUGGAGUGUAGUUUGGUUUGGUGCUUUUAACUAAAAUUAGUACAUGUAUUGAAAUUAUUGCUCUCUUUUUUUGUUGCCCACGUACCCUUUUACCAUCUGCUGGGAAAGUGCAGUGCAGCUAACCCUACUUUUCCUUGAUUAAAAAAUUAUUUUUAUAAAAUAAAUAAAUAAAUAAAAAAACCGUUCUCAAUGUUGUUUUCUAAGUAACAUUUUAGGAUUUUUAAAAAGCAAAACAAAAUAAUUAAAGAAACAAAACUGAUGAAAGAAAGGCUAACAAUUUUCUUUCUGGGAAAGCAAUGGGUUCUUUAUGAAAAAGGGUUUAAGCUUUUAAUCCACCCAAACAAAGUCUUUGUUUCUAAUUCAUCAGAGGUUAUGAAAUUUUCAAUACAUCCACAUCCAAAUCAUGUUUUUUUUUUUCCUUUUUUUUUUCUUUUUUUUUUUCCUUCUAUGUUGCAUCAUUGUUAGGCUUUAGGCUUUAGGCUUUAGCUGGUGGGAGAAGUAAUAUUUUGGAACCCAGAGGUUUCCUCUGUCAUGAUAAGUGGGGCCAAGUGGGUGCAAGAGACGUGUCAAUUAGACUUUUCCCAUGUAUCCAUAUUCAAUCGGACGGUGGUGAAGAGUCUUGCUUUUCCAAACACUUUAUUGAAGUCACAAUCGGCCCAUUCACAUUCUAAAUUCUAGUAUAGAAAGAAAUUUUAAAAAAUAUGUUAUUUUCUUUAGGCUUUUUGUCUUUCUGAGUUGAUUAAGAAAAAGCAGUGAGCUUCACUUUUUGACUAAGCGAGCACAACACAACUGAGGGUCAUGGAUUAAUACAAUCGUACUCAUUAAAACUCAUUUAUAUUGUUUUUUUAUAUAAAUGAUAUUCUAUUUUAAUUUAUUUUAAACUACAUAGAGGGGUAUUCAAACUCGGAUGUAAACACUGAAAUUCACUUACAUUAACAAUGAAGAUCGAUGGCAGACAAUAUUAAUGAUAUUUUAUUACAUAUAUAACUAUAUAUCUUGAAGCUAAUGCCAAUAGCGUAUUACUUGGAUCUGGUUUUGAAAAGAAUUAGGGUUUGAGCAACAAGAUCUUUCUUAGUGACUUGAGCCUCUAUAGUUUAUUGAAUGGACUUUAAUUUUGAUUAGUUGUAAAAUAAAGAAGAUUAAUAACUUGUUUUGAAACACUGAAACACAUGAGGUUUUUGAGGAGAAUUAUGAAGAAAAGAUAUGAACCAACCAUUGAGAUAACAUGUGGGUGAGCUCGACAAACAAUUUGAAAUCCUGUUUGUUGAAUAAAGCCAAGCAUAGAAAACGAUUGGUCUUAACCCAUCACACCAUAUGGGCAUCUUAACUAGGACACAUCAUGCAGUGAACAAAAACCCAACAAAUUUCAUCUAAGUUAUUUAGAUCAAAUCAUAUAAAUAAUAAACCCAAUUAGUAGCUAUAAUUGAUGAGCCUUGUCAAGUGACACAUGAUGACAUAAGGUAUUUGUGUAAUUUAAUUGGUUAAUGCCCAUGGUUAUGAUUGAGUAAUAAGAAAAACCAAACAAUGCCUUGGUACUGAAAAUUGAUGGGUCACCAAUUUCCACUACCUUGCUACACUACCACCAAACAACUCAAAAGCAACCAAAAAGUUCUUUAAAAAAUAAAAGUUAUUGGUUAGUGCUGGUUAACGAUUUAUAAUAUUUGGUUCAUUGUCGAUUAUUUGAUUGUUAUUAUAAAUAUUAACUUUAAUAGACAGUUACUCAUAUAAAAAAUAGAAAUUCAGAGUAAUUUUGGAAUGAGACCGUAAUCUAAUAUUAAACAUUUUUUUUACGCGAAUAAAAAACUAAUUUUCCUCAUAAUUAGUGAAAGUACUUUGAAAUGUCCCUAAACACAUUACACCUACUUUAGCAUACUUGCUUUUCCACCAUACAUACAUGAUCACAUAGAUCAUCAUCAUCUUCAUUAAAAACCAUGUAAUAUAUAUACCCCCACACACAUCCCCAACCAAAGCUCAUUUACUAAAGGGUCAACUCUCAAACCCAACUCUAACUCAACUCCAACCGUCCUUCCUCUCUCUCUCUCAGUCUCCCUCUCCACCUCCACCGCAAACUACCGCGGCCGCCGCCAUGUCGUACAAGGACUGCGGCCAACACGGAUACAACAAGCGGCGAAGGAGGUUUAAACGCUGCUGCGCCGGGCUCCUAAUCUUCAACUUCAUCCUGCUCGUCACCAUCCUCAUCGUGUGGGCCAUCCUCCAGCCCUCCAAACCCCGCUUCAUCCUCCAAGACGUCACCGUCUUCAACUUCAACAACUCCGUACCCAACGUCUUCUCCUCCAGCUUCCAGGUCACCGUCUCCUCCCGCAACCCCAACGACAAGAUCGGCAUCUACUACGACAGGCUCAACAUCUACGCGACAUACCGUAAUCAGCAGAUCACCUUCUCCACGCUCAUCCCGCCGGUGUACCAGGGUCACAAGGACGUCAACGUCUGGUCGCCGUUCAUCUACGGCACCGAAGUCCCCAUCGCGCCGUACAAUUCCCUGGCGCUGGACCAGGACAAGAAUGCCGGGUCGGUUUUUUUGCUGCUGAAGAUGGACGGCCGGGUGAGGUGGAAGGUCGGGACUUUUAUCUCGGGCAGGUACCAUUUCUACGUUCGGUGCCCCGCUUUUAUCCCUUUGGGUCCGAAGAACAACGGGGUUGUGGUCGGAAAUAACGCCAUCAAGUACCAGCUGCUGCAGCAUUGCAAAGUGAGCGUGUGAAGAAGAAGAUGGACGGGAACUGGAGGCUAAAUGUUACCGUUAAGACGCCGUUAGUUCAUUUUCUUUAAUUUUUCUCAAAUUUCUUCUUCUUUUUUUCUUCUUAAUUUGAACUUUUAGUUGGAGUCUUUGCGUCUGGUUAUAUAAUUAUAUAUACGCUUUGGUGUUUUGAAUUGUAAAUUUUGCUAUAGAAUAAAAACGGAGGAUUAUGAUACAACGUAUAGCAAAAUUGCAGUCGGUCGGUGGUGAUUGAUUUUCAAUUGUAUAAUUUAAAUUUAUAGUUUAUUUUAUAUAAUUCAAUAAUCAUGCAAUUGGAUACAGGUGGAGGUUGGGGUGUCAUUUUCUUUCAAUUUAUAUUUUUUUUUUCUCUCUUCUAAUAAUUUUAUUUUCUUUUGGGGAAUUACUUAAAUAAAUUAUGUCAAUUUUGUAUUCCUCAAGCUAUAUGGACAUCAUCCUUCCCCCUUCAUCAUUAAUUUAGUUGUACCACUUAGCUGGAGAAGUCUUCGUCAACAAUUUAAAAUUUAGAAUCCCACUUUUUUUUUAAUUCUCUCACAUGGGAUGAGUCUUUUUUUUCUUUUUCUUUUUUUAAAUUUUAUAGAAAAGAGUUUAAUUCGAUUGGCAUAAAAAUGGCCAGAAGCUAAGGAAAAGGAGAAGAAUAUGAAACAUACAUUAAUCCGUAGUAAUGCAGUUAUAUUGAAUGUGAUGAAAUGUUGCUUCCAUUAUUUACGAGUGGUCCCACUUGGGAAGGUUGGUGGAUGGGGCCUACAUGGGCUUCAUGGGUUUAUAAAAGAAACCUAUAAAUGAUAUUAGGGCAGGCAGGAAGAAUCGAACUUAAAAUCUUAGAUGCAUUGAUAAAUACUGUUAAUUAUUUUAGCUAUAAAUCUCCUACCGGAUAAAUGUGGCUAAAAUUGGUGGAGCUGUAGUAGCUAGGGUGGGGAUUAUUAGGAAUUUUGGAUGCGUUGGUUUUGGAGUGGAGUUUAUUUAUCGUCUUCCACACGGUGGUGGUGGUCCUUUUCAACCCCCCCUCCUCUAAGUGAGAAUUUGCUCUUUCUACCUACUAAUAAUGGAGAGAUGGAAAGGGACUUUCAUGAAUAAAAGUUUUCAACAUAUGGCUCUCAUAAAAUGUGACAUAUUGUUGAGCUAAGGAUAUAUAGAAUAGAGUGAAGAGAUAAAGAGUGGGGGGGUGGUCUGUGUCAAGCUCUGAAGCUCAUCACAUGAUUGCGUGCACAAUGAGUCAAAAGCAAGCAGACAGAAUUAUAUUGUGCGCAUUCAUAAGAUUUUGGUAGCAUUUUGAUGAGUUCAAAAUUAUUGGCAUGAUCAAUUAAGAUUAGGAUCCAGAGGAGUUGGUGUGCAUGUUGAUUUUGAGUCAUUUUGAUCACAGCUGGCAUGAACAAUUUUAAAUAAAUAAAUAAAACAUAGCAUAAAUGAAAUAAGGUUGAGAUUUGAGAGGCCUGUCUCAAAGAGGGGAAUUGGGCUGCCUGGCCAUGAAACGCUUACAAAAACCAUCAAAGUGAAAAAUGAAGCAAUAACAUAAAACAAAAUUUUCAUGUUUGGUGGGUGGCUUUGGUAAUAUAUUAGUUUGACAUGGCGAACCGACUUCAAACCCUAAAAAGUCUAGGGAGUUGCCCUAAUGCGACUUUCAGGUUAAAAGUAACAUGGGGGGCAUCUUAUUAAUUCCACAAUGUCUAAACUAUGGGAGGCUUCCUGGUUUUAGGACCAAAAUAUGUGAACAAAAUAACUUCACAUGCCAACAGCAACCCAACUGGUGACACACUUGUGACAAAAUCUCAUGACUCGGGAAGAAGAACAUGUCCCAAGAAAGAUAAGAAGAUAAGUUCUAGCAGUACUCAAAUAAAACCAAAAUAGGAUUCCAUUUCUUCCCCAAAAAAUAGUAGGUUCAUGGCAUGUUUAUAGGGAGAAAACCCGUCCAUAUGCUUAUGCGUAUAAUGAAUUUAAGUGAUUUUAAAGUCCGUUUGGAUGAGGGAUUUAGGCUUCCAUGAGAUUUAUAAAUCUACAUUGGCUAAAUGCCUUGUUUGGCAAGUUCAAAAAAAGAAACUUCAAAAAUGACUUGGGAUUUAAAGGAGGGAUUUGUAAAGCCCAAAUUCCAUUAUGAAAUAACACCUAAACAUGCAUUACUUUGAAAUUUCCACACUCGAACGCGACCAAAGCCAACGACAAAAUAAUUAGCCAAACAACGAAUUUUACUAAUCUCAUCAUUGUGAAGUCCCUCACCUUAAAAUCCCAUCACUUCAAAAUCUCUUAUCCAAACACAACCUUAAGCAAUUUUCUCAAAAAUUCAUUUAAAAUCACUUACUUAAAAUGAUUAUUAACCUAUCUAGAAUCAUUCACAAACAAACUCUUAAUCUUGAAAUCGGUUGCUAUGGAAACCUUUUAACACUAAUCAGUGCAGAUAACAAAUUACCUUUCGGAGUUUUGGGCUAUACUGCCUUCUGCUUCAAGUUAGGCUUUGUGAUCUCUAGGCCUCAUGAAAUUACACAUGUGAUCUGAUGGGCCAAGUUGGGUCAGGCAUGGAUCCAUGAAGAUGCAUCGGUUAUCCCACGAGUUCUAUUUUCUUCUCUUUGUUUCGAAACCCUAAAUUUAAAAGUCCACAAGUUAGGCCAGUUUUGAUGAAAGAAAAUCUAAACGCAUCCAUUUUAAUCGUGUGAUAUUUUUCAGGACAGGUGGACUAUACAGCGUUAAAAUAGUCAUACGAAGACAGAGAUCACUACAUGUCACAUGUGAUGAUGUCAAUGGUUUAGAAUUGGCCGUAAAGAACUCUGAACAAGUCAUCCACGAAAGCUUUAUAGAUAGACUUUGGCCAUGCAUAGUUUAUUUAAAAUUCAUUGUCAUAUCUGUGGAUUUGCAUGAAUUUCAAUUCAACAGUGGAGAUGGACAUUUUCUUUUUUUUUUGGUUUUUUUUCGGUAUGUGCGUCAACACGGAUUAGGUUGCUUAAUUACAAUGUCGUUUGGCGGUGACAAAUCAUAUUACUAAAUGUAAGAAAGGAAGUUAAUUGAGCUGGGUUUUUUGUUUUUUCACAAACAAAACGACAGAAUGUUUUUUAAAAUAUAUAAAUUUUUUGCAAAAGGUCAACACACCUAACUUAACGAACAUAAAAAAUGUAUAUCAUGCUCGUAUGUGUGUGAAUUGAACUUACCAACAGCCCGCUUAUUUGGUGUACUUUUACAUGAGCAUUGUAGGAGAUGCAAUUGAAUAUAUGAUGAAAAUGUGAAACAAAAAUGGAUUAAGGUUAGAGUUAUUGUACACAUAUAGGUGGCCUAAUAUAGUUUUAUAAGUUUCUUUUUUAUGUUUUUUUAAAAGCUAGCCGUCACACAUGGCCGUUAGAACGCUUUUUUUCUUUUUCCUUUUCAAAUCUUUCUUUCAUUUGAAUUGUAAGUAUGAAGUGUUUAAGCUUCUUUUUUCUUUCUGGCAUUGUUCAUCAAAAUUAGCUUCAUGAAAAUGUCAACAUGGUUAACAAAAUAUUGUUAUUUAAUCUCUUUGAAAUCAUAAUUCAAGUGAUUAAGAGAAAUUACUUUUGCAUCCGUGAUUGAGGAAUUCAAACCCAAAUUCUAAUUAAUAAAUAUUUAGAAUUGAAGUUACUGGGUUCUUUUUUUUCCUUUCAAAAUUUGGUUUGGUAUUAGUUUUUAUAUUUAAGAUUUGGUUCGGUGGAGGUAUUAACUUUUGUAACCUCUUUGUCCUUUUGGGGUAUAAUUAUGAUUAUGAAAUUGAAGUACGAUAGAAACAGAGGGAGGCAAAAGUCAAGCAAAGGCCAACGGAAACUACCAGGAACCACCUGCCUAUCCCACACGCUGACGCUGAGUAUUAAGUCCCUCGAAAGAGACUUCCUCGCAAAAACACUAAACACACCCCCCUUCCCACUUCUAAAUCCGACCUUCUAAAGCAACCGCGUUUUUCAUUUUCCAAUCCCACCCCCCACGCGGCCUUGCCGCAUUCCUAAUCCCACCCAUAUUCGCCCCUUAUAUAUACCACACUUCACCUUCUUCAUCUCUCAUUCUUUACUCUCUCUCCCUCUACCCUUUUGCUUAUAAUUAUAAUUUGAUCUUUUCUCAAUUCUCUCAGCCAUGUCAGAGAAACAAUCUCAUUUGAACGGGGCCUACUACGGCCCCUCAAUCCCACCCAAAUCCCAAGCCUACCACCGCCAUGGCCGUGGCAGCGACCCCCUCGGCUGCUGCUGCGGCUGCAUCUUCAGCCUUAUUUUCAAGCUCAUUAUGACCGCCGUCGUCAUAGUGGGCCUGGCCUUUUUCAUCUUCUGGCUCAUAGUCCGCCCCAACCACAUCAAGUUCCACGUCACCGAAGCCCACCUCACCCAAUUCAACUUCUCCAAUGACAGCACCCUCCACUACAACCUCGCCCUCAACCUCACCAUCCGCAACCCCAACAAGAAGAUCGGGGUCUACUACGACCGCAUCGAGGCCAGGGCCAUCUACGAGGACCAGAGGUUCAGCACGUACACCUCGACGACGCCCUUUUACCAAGGGCACAAGACAACGAACGUGGUGAACCCGGUGUUCCAGGGCCAGCAGGUGAUCCCAGACACGAAAGUGCUCUCCGAGUACAAUGAGCAGAAGAAUAGUGGGGUUUACGAGAUCGACGUCAAGCUUUACCUUCGGGUUCGAUUCAAAUUCGGCUUGAUCAAGACCGGCAAGUUCAAGCCCAGGAUUAAAUGUGGGUUGAAGGUUCCUUUGACUCAGAAUGGGAGCUCAUCAGUUAGCACUUUCGAGACUACCAAGUGUGACGUUGAUUACUUCAAAUCAAUCUAAGCUCCACAGCUUACCACUUCAUAUAUCUUCUUGUUGAUCCAGUCUCAGAUUAUUAUUUUUUUACUAUUCUUUUGUUUUUUUGUUUUUGUGUUUGUGUUGAUCCAGUCUUAGAUUAUACACUAGAGAGAUAUAUGAUUUCUUUUGUGGGUUUUGAUACCUACUUACGUUACGCAUGUUCAUAAAUAAAAUAGUGUGUUUAGUAGUUCGCCUUUUGCUUUCUAUGAUGGUUAUAAAAUUGAUGCCUUUAGAAAAAGAUAAUAAAAGGACCACUUCAAUUGGGGAUGGCCUGCAUUGACUAGUUUGAGGGAAUACCAACCAUUCACUCACAUUCGCUCUCACGUUAGCUGUCUCUUUGGUCACUCAUGGGUCACAUGGGCGAGUUUUGCUGGAAGAGAAGACAACACAUACAGUAACACUCCUCCUUGUUUGUACUCAAAAAAAGAUGCUCCUUACCUUUCUGUCUUCAGGGACCGGAUUGGAUGACGUCGCUUAAUUACAACUCCGUAAACGUAGAUUGCUGGCUAACUAAUCAAUCACUUUGCAGAGCAGUUUGUCAUUUGUGAUGACUCCUUCAACGGAAAUUACGUGUAGUAAGUAACUGGCAAAGAAUGUGAAAAGCCGUUUGAAAUCUUCACCCUCCUUAUUGAAUAUUGAGGAACAAUUUUCUGCUGCUAUCACAUUCAUAUUGGUCAAAUUGCCUCUAUGUCACACUGUUUGGUUCAAUAUAAAUGAAUAAAACAAGGUGUCAGCCAAUGUGAUCUUAGCUCAGCGGUAGAGUUUGUUGGCAUACAUGCAAUUGGUCCGUGUUUUGAUCCCCAUGGUAUUAAUGCGUGUGAAAAUAUCAAGACCCCAUUUGGUUCACGAAAUGGAUUUGAAGGGAAAUCAUUUCUCAUGUCAUUUCCCAGUGAAUGGGAAUGAAAGAUUCAUUUUCCACGUUUGGUAAUGUCGGGAAAGUAACCGGGAGAUUUCACUUUGUUUUCUUUCCCAUGUUUGUUUUGAGUAGGAAUGAAAAACAAAGUUUGUAUAAUUUUCCAAUUGUACCCGUAUUAAAUCAAAUAAAAAAAAGAAUGCAUUUAAUGAUACGUUGUAAUUAUAAAUUGUUCAUAUGGACAAAAUAGUCACGAAAAUUGUGCAUUGAAUGUUAGCUCAUUUUUCCAAACUUUCCCAUGAUGAGGGAAAACAAAACACAAGUUAAGAGGAGGGCUUCACUUUCCCCCCUACUUUUUCAUGUGCCAGGCAAUCAUUUCCCAUGCUUGGACUUACCAAACAUGGGAAAGCAAUUGAAUUCUCAUUCCCAAGCCUCCUUUCCUAUGAACCAAACAGAGUCUAAGUGUUAAGCAUCGUUGGGGAAAACAUAUAAAACUAGACCUAGUUGGCAACAAUAUGUUCUUAAAACUAAGCACACACUAAACAUCUAAACCCAACCCUACUGAGCAAGGGAUGAGCCCAAAUACCCUUGGUUGACCACGGCCACAACCCAAACUAUUCAUGAGGUUGGAACAAAAAUGCAGGAAAUAAGACCACCCAUUUUAUCCUAUAUCCAACCAUGCAGUGGGAAAAGCCCAAAUCAUUGUUCUUCAACCUUGCCCAAAUCAAAUUAUGACUAGGCCCAAAAUGUAUAAUAAUCUUAACCGAAAGAGUAAAUAUGGUAUUGAGGAACACUUAAUUAAAAUAUAUUUCAAAGAAAAGUCUAAGGGUUCGUUUGAGAGUGAUUUUGGAUAGGCUAAUAAUCACUUUUAUGGAGAACCACUUCUCCAUAUAAUCACUUUAAGUGAUUUUAUUAAAAUGAUUUUAUAGAGAAGCACAUGGGAGGUGCUUCUCCCCAGAAUCACUUUAAAUCACUAAAAGUGAUUUUCUAAAGAAGCAUGUUGGAGGUGCUUCUUCCCAUAAAUAAUUUUGGCAUAUCUAGAAUUACUUUCAAACGAGGCCUAAAUCAUAUUUUCAUCAAAUUAAUCACUCACAGCUUCUUCAGUUAUAAGUUUCCUAAACAUAUUGAGGUGGAUGAACAUUUCAUCAAUGAAAAGAUUGAGAACAAAAUCAUCUACCUACCCUUGGUGAAAUCAAAAGAUAAAUUAGCAAAUGUCUUGACUAAGGUUGUCUCCAGACGAGUGUUUCAUGACUCUCUUAUCAAGGUGGGUAUUAGUGACAUGUAUACACCAACUUGAAGAGAAGUGUUCACGUGAGUUAACCUAACAAAUUAAGGAGAUUUAUUUCCUAAGUCAAUUAUGUGAUUUAUUUCCUCUUGUUUUUUUUUGUUUUUUGUUUUUGUAUAAUUAACAAUCCUUGUAUUAUUGGGGAGAUAUUCUUCAAUUUAAUUAUGAAUCAUAUUCCUUGUAAAGAACAUAUGUAAAAUACUAUAUAUCUCCUUACAGAGAAGAAAUAAAAUCAUCCAAAAAUAUUUAAACCAUAUUCGUCUUUUAACAUACAAGUCCAUUUUCUUUAGAAACAACAAAUAUAUAGUUUACUAUGCUAUUAGUGGGAAAGCUUUUUGUUCGUCUUUAUAGUUUUGUCACAUAGAGUAAAUAAUUUAUGUGUUAUAAACGAGAGAGCUGAUUUUCUCACUUCUAUUUUGUACAUUGCAAAAAAUUUGUAAAUUUUGAUUGAGAUGACAGCAAAACUACAGGUAUUUACACCAACGUGUAUUCAUAGCUUAAAUAAUGCAUAUACAGAGUUGCAUACUUUUGCUUUUCCAUCCAUUUCUGUACUAAAAGCAUCAGCAAUCAAUGAUCACCUAAACCGCUACACUUGCCAUGCAACCACAUUUAUUGAAACCCAAAACACAAUGCUACCGGUUGCCCCAAAAUUAAUAAUUAAAAAUUAAAAAUUAAAAAAAUUAAAAACCAGUAACACACCAUCGCCCAAUACUGUGCUUGCUAACAUGGCAAGAUCAUCGCUUGACCCGACAACCCAAGCCCAGGACCCUACCCAGCCCCACAAAUUAAAACGAGCUUCUUUAUUACAUGCUACAAGUCUCACGACCGGGAGAAGGCGACGGAGUAUAGUACGGCGGCGAAGCACAAGGAGUCGAAAAUGGCGUCGUCCCGUCGUCCACCUCUACACUCAUCACCGUCACAGCUACGUCCAGCACCACCGUCGUCGCCGUCUUCACCUCUUUCUCCGCGCACGACGAGUGCGUCGUCGUCUCGGCGAAGUCCAGACCCUUUCUCUCCUCCUCCUCCUCGAUCGUGAACAAAACCCUUGACGACACGCCGUACAGUGCCUGCUGCCACUUGAACACGUCGUCCACGUCAACGUCGACGCUUCUGUGGUGCUGUGAGUGAGGCGGGUUUUCGUGGGGCCCGAUCCGGGUCUGAGACUGAGACUUCAGCCGGCGCCGGAGGAGGAAGAAGAGCUGGGUUGCUAGGGCUGCGAGAAUGGCCGCAAACACUACAGUGAGCGCAGUCCCGAGCUUGCUAAGACCACCAUUCAUGUGUCCGUGCGUAUAACUCAAUGUCUACAAGUUGUUUGUGUAAAUGACUCUCUGGGUUUUUUCAGUGUUUUAAGUUAACGGGUGGUUGACCGGCAACCGGUUGUUUACAGGGAAGGUAAAGCGAAGAAAUGGGUUUGAAGAGAUGGAAGGAAGUGUGGUUUAGCAGGUUGCCGGUGGAUGAAUGGAUAAAGGUUUUGUAAAAAAGAGAGUGAGGGUGAACUAGGCGUGAAGGAAAACGAUGUUUUUUCUUGGAAAUGUGGGUGGGUGGGGUGAAGAAGAAGAAAUGUGGACAGGAUCCGAGCAAGGAAAUGUGUGAUGGCGGUGGAGUCGAAGGAGUGCUGAGUUGGAGUUUGCAUUGAAGUUUGAAUUAAUUUUGGCAGUUGAGUUUGGGGGCUUAUCUGGUGUUUUGUAAUUUGCUACCAUUUAUGAUGUUGUGCAAACACCUAAAAGGCCGCAACUUCACGUUUUUUGGGAUGCCAAAGGUCCUAUAAUUUUCUCCUAUAAUUCAUUAUGAUGAGUUUUCAAUUUCGUGCGUUUUUCUCAUAAAACAUCUCCGAUGUUCAUUAAAUUAUGAGAUUUAUAGGGAAAUAUUUUGAUUUUUAAGUUAGCAAAUUUAGCUCUUUAAUAUAGACAAGCAAGUAGAAUUUGAAGAGCAAAAUUUGUUUUUUGUUUUUUGUUUUUAAACGAUAUUGGAGUAUAGAGAAAUCGAAUCUAGAACCUCGAAUGCAAAGAUAAUUAUUCUUAAUCACUUAAACUAAAAGCAACUUGCAAAAUUUGCUUCUCCGGUGGGGAUCCUUUAGAAGUAUCUCAGCAAUUGGCGUGAGAAAUAAUCACUUGGGCCUUUACAUUUCAACAAGUCUGCUGGAGAGCUGUACUUGGGCUGGUUGAACCAGACAACAAAAUAGCAACCUGAUCUUUAUUCAAUUGAACCCAAUUGCUCACAAAUAUUUUGUUCGGCUUUUUCAUAUCAUCUUGGGCCUACUUCAUUCCAAUGCAAUUGAAUGGGAACAGUUCAUAUUCAUCAACAACAGUGCUUGAAGGCAACCGACAUUAUUAUUUUCUUCAAGUAAAAUAUAAUAAAUCAUGGAAGAUAAAGGGACAAGAGGACACAAUUAUUUCUCUUAUUAUUAUUUGUUUGUUUGGGUGAACAAAGUCUAGUCCAAUGAAAAAGGACUUUGACUUACAGAUAAGAGGUUUCAGAUUCAAACACCUAUGAUAUCAUUUGUGUGUGUGUGAGAGAAAUCUCCCCUCCCAUCUAGUUUAGACCAUCGCUUAUACUCAAAAAUUAUUAUUUGUUUGGUAAAUAAUUCAUUGAAUCUCUUGUUUUAUAAGAUUUGAUUGGCUAGAAAUAUUUUUUGGAAGGAAAAUCAAUAAUUUGAGUUUUCAAAAUCAGAGUGUGCUAUAGUCUAUAUAUGUAUAAGAACAGUAAGCUUAGUGAAAGUGCAAGGUACUACAUGUGUAUAUGUGUAUGUGUAAGAAGUGUAUAUGCUUUUGGAAAACGACCGAACAAUCAUCAAAAGCAUCAUCAUUCAUCAUCUCCAAAAUCUAAUCAUCACCCACAUUCUCUGGUUUAUUCGCGUGUGCUUGCCCCCAUCUCUUUUUGACCAAGUCCCUCCAUCAAAGACCACCCCACCAAAAACAAGAACAGAAAAGAAAAAACCAUAAAAACUACAUAAAUAAAACAACAUGGUCAAUUGGUCAUGGUGGGAGUGGUAGCCCCCCCUUCCUUUCUUCACCAUAACAGAAAGAAACAGCAGCACAUGAAAGUACCCCUUCUCCUUGGAUCCCUCAAUCUCAUCACUUUCAAAUGAUAAAACCCAAAAAAAAAGCACAAAAGCACAAAGAGUGAGUGAUGAUCAAUACAAUGACUACAGAUACAUAUUGGUCUCUGAUCUAUAACAUCUAUAUCUAUGUAUAGAUUGAGGGUCUUUUGGAUCCGAGAUUUCCCUUACUUUCAUGCAAAAAUAUUCACUCAGAAGAGAAAGAAAAGAGGAAUUGGAAUUGGAACAAAGACAGUGACCUUAUGGAAAAGAGGCCUCUGAUAGCUUCAACUCCCCUUUUCUUAAAGUCUGCGAAAGCCCUCUCACUUCUCAAGCUGUCUGUGGAAACUUUGUCUCCAUGCUUAGCUCCCUUUGUCUUUUCUAGAUGCCAACAACGGUCUUUCUCUUUUUGUGGGUCUCAUGUAACAGUCUUGGAGGGACCUUAUUGUGUCACUUGUAGCUUGUCUUUGGUUUUUCAAAAUCAAGCCUCUACUUGGUACAUAAAUUGUCUGCUAAUUAAAGACAUAUAGUACACCCUUCAAAUUUAAUAAAGUUGAAGGUGCAUGAAGGGAAAUAGAAAUCCAUAAUUACCAUAUAUAUUCUGUCUUUGGUUAGUGUUAUAUAGGUCAAAGUUUUGAAGAAUAAACAGGAGAGUUAUGUUAGAACGUGACAAUUCAACUCAAAAUCAAUUGAUAAAUGAUGGAGAUGUUUAACGUCUUUUGAGUACUAUAAUACAGGUUUUCAUUCUCCGAUAUGGGAUACUCUCUCAACAAGGCUGUAUUAAUCUUAUGGUGAUUACAAAAAGGUUUCCUUAAGUAAAUGAAACAUAUUGGCUCUUAAAGUAAGGUAUAAAACUUUAUUGGCUCCAGUAAAGCUAAAAGGGAUGUGCCUUAAUCAGUAUGUCUCUUAUCCCACAAGGCUUAAAAACUGAAGUUUAUUAGGCUCUCUCAGUAGGACCUUUAGUGAUGCACCACUUUUCAAAUUUGUGUAAGAUCUGUGACAAUGAAUUUGAAUAAUAUAAACACCAUCCAUCAAUCUUUAAGGUCUCAGUUUCUUUUUGAUCAUCGAGUAUGUAAGGAGAUGAUUGGACAAGUAAGCAUGACUACUUUGCUUUGAUAAAAAGAGGGUUUCAAUUAAGGUUCGUGGGUGAGUUUCGGCCGUAGAUUUUGGAAAAAUCAAUCAUGUGCGACUCACUCUAACAGUCUCCUCAAUAAGAAUUGUAAUUCCCUUUAGAACACACUCACUUUUAAUGAUUAAGAUAUUGUCAUGUGUUCUGUGAAAUUGCCGACUAAUAUUCAGAAACGCCUAUUGGCAUGCAAGUCGGGGCCAGAGGGUCAAGGUUUACACCCAAGCGUAAGGAUAAUAAGCUUGCGCGCAGGCCCACAAAAACCUUAAUUCAACCCAAAAAAAACAACAACCAAUCAUCGCAAUGUUUGGGCCUCCCUAAUACGUGAAACCUUCAUAUUCUUUCAUAACCUGUGCAUGAAAUUAAUAUGCACGUCAGACUAUUCAAGCUGUUAACCCUCAAGCGAGACUUAAAAUUGUAUAUAUUUGGCUCAUAUUAACUGAGAAAAUAAAUAGGAUUCCAUAAGAAAAAUAUAUAUAAAAACACAAACAUUUGAACUGAAUUCAUUCAGUCUCGUCCCAAUCAAAGCGUGAGCCUUUACACAGUGUCGUGUCACAUAAGUACUGUACUUCUCUCUUUCUCAGACCCAUGAACCAUUUCUAAUACCGAUGUUUAAUUUUUCUGUUGCACUACAUUUGACAGCUUUAUGUUCACUAUGGUUGCGCAAGUUACCAGUGAGUUGGCAGCCACAGUAACAAUAUAUAUGCUUGACGUUGUUUACACAAAAAUAGUAAGCCAUUGAGAAUACUUGUGGUAGGCAAAGAAAGCUAAACCCUCUACUAUACUAUAGUAAUGUUUUAUUUAUCACGUGAUCUACUGUUAGGUCACGUAAUGAGAGAGAUAAAUACAUAAUUCUCAGCAAUUGAAUAUCUCGCAAAUGGCAUGCAAUCUCGCAAAUGAGAAAGGCAUUUUGGUGCAUCUUUUGCAGUCAAAUUAUUCAAAUCAAUAUGAUCCUGAAAUUGGCCUAGUCCUUGGUAUAGGGAAUGAACCCCAAAAUGCGCUCCAUGUGUUUUUCAGUGGCAUGACACAUACACAUAUGCAUAUAAUCAAUAUUAUCGACUUGGUCCCUUUUCAUAUAGACUAUCUCCCAACAGUGGAAGAAAAGUUGAACCAUUUGUGUGCCGUACAAAAAAGAUGCAUUGCACAGAUGAUCAAAGUUAGCCCAGUAAGGAAGGGUGAGAAAUGGCAGCCACCCACAGCCACAAGGAGUGAAAAAGAUAACAACUUUGUUUUUCAAAAGGGACACCCACUUUCUGCUAUUAAUUAGGACUUGUUUAUUUACUAAAGAUACUACUUUAUCUUGCUUCCUGCUUUUGAGGGGAAAAUUAGAUUCCUAACACACACUUACAUCUUAAUAAAAUAAUUCAGUGUGUUUCUGACAUGGAUAUCAUAUAGGCGAUCGUAAAAGUAAAUGAUUGAGGACUUAGUUCACAUCACAUAGAGCAAAUUAAUUCUAUAUACAACAAAUAUCUGCUUCAUAAUUCAACAAAGGAGGAUUAGGAUACAUAAUUGAUCAAAAUAAUAUAUAUAAUUUCUUCAAGUGAUAUAAUCAAACUUAAUUAUAUUUCUUAAGGCUUAAGGAUUCAUCAGAUAACCGGAUUAAUUAAUUUGUUGAAUAAGAACAUUAGUUGCCAAGCACCGAGCUAAUUUGAUUUUACAUGCUUCAUAUCUGAUGUUAAUUAUUUAAAAGAAACUUCCUUUAUUAGGAUAAUAUAUUAAACUUACACACACGGCAAGAAUUGACAAUUAAAUUAAGUGAAGGGGCAGAGGAUUUAGAGAAAGUCGAGCAGGAUUCUUCUUGAAGUGAUGUUUCUAUUGAAGGUUCAAAUAGAAACCCCCUUUAUUCUCAGUUCUCAUCACUUUAAUUUUGGUCAUGGACAACAAAAUCAAAGGAACUAAAUGUGUUGUUACCAAAAAAGAAGGUAAACGUGUUGGGAGCAAAGUUGCGCAAAGAAGAAAAAUGAAAGAUGGAAACUGGAAACUGGUAAAUGUAAUGGGGAAAAAAAAAAAAAAAAAAAAAAGGCAGUCUAAGAUGGAGGCUUCUUCCUUUCAAGUUUGGAACAAAGUAACAAUAGAUAAGUGAAAAGUAAAGGAGAAUAUAAUAAAUAUUAAGCUGGAUUUGGUUGAAAACAAGAGAGAGAGAGAGAGAGAGAGAGAGAGAGAGGGCAUAGGGCCAGGCCAGUCUUCUUUUGUCCACCACAUAAUGCAAUAUGUCUCAAAAAACCCUAAUCUUUUCGAAAAGCCAUAAACGACAAAUUCCCUACUUAUGCUUAAGGGUUUUAAUUUAAAGUUGGGAAGAUAAUGAUCUUUUGGUGAUUCUAAAGUAGCAACAUCUUUGAGGUUUAAAGAGGAGAUGCUUAUCUAUGUUUUUCUUAAUCCUUUCCCUUUUAUUUUUAUUUUUAUUUUUCAACUUUUUGUUUUAGUUACAUAUUUUGAACCCUCCCAACACAACUUUCCAAUGCUUUCCGAAGAUGAGAAUGUUGGGGUUACGAAAAUCAAAGAAAGAAAAGUUAUUCUUUUACAAAACGAAUCACAAAGCAUGAAAAGUAGUGCUCUUUUGAUAUCUCUUAGGGAAGAUUUUGCUUUAAUUUUCUCUUCCAAAGUAGAAAAAGUUGCUUCUCCUUUGCACAACCCUUACGUUAUGAAUCAUUCCUUAAUCUUACUUUGUGCGUUCCCAACAUUCCUUUUUCGUAUAUCUUAAUGCACUAGUGCAACUCUUUUUCUUUAAUUCUAUAUAUGUUUUAAUUCAUCAACUUGGUUGGUUGCCAACCAUUGGAUACAGCCCACAUGAAAAAUUUCUCAAAAAAAGAAAACAAGAGGAAGGAAUUAGUAAUUUAUACGAUGGUGACUAAUUCUCUUAGCACUUUACAUAUCGUAAUUCACGUGAAACUUAUCUCCGAAGGUUGUCUUGAUCUUAAGGCACCAUACAUAUUUUUCUUUUCUUGCAAUUUCAUCUUCUUGGGCUUUACAUUUUAGUCUCAAAGAUGCAUCUUUAAAUGGUUAGAUUCUCAUAUUUGAUUGUAAAAAAAUUUGUUUCGUUUUGUUUUUGUUUUUUUGGGUUUGUUUUGGUGAUAUUGUGAUGCAGUACAGCUCACAUAUUCAACAGAGGUAAAACCCAUUGGUAUAAAUGAGUGUCACUUUUAUUAGAAUCGUUGAUCCACACUACAAUUGGUCACAAUACUCUUAUUCUUCUCAUAAACCACUUUGUUAUUGUUGUGAAAAAAUAUUGGCGAGAGUUUUAGUUUUAGUGGUUGAGUAAAUCUUUACCUCUACGAUGAAACUCAAAGUUCGAAUCUCCUUUUUCUUAACCUCCUUCAUAAAGUAUCUCUUUCAUCGGACCGGAGAAAUUAAUGAUUGACGAAUUGAGGAUUCCCUAACUUAUUAGAAUUUAUUGCUGAAGCUUUGGUAUUAACUCAAUGAUUUCCACACAUUCACACUUCCUUUAAAUCCCUCAACUUUCCUUAAACAUUUAAAGGUAGUAAUCGCUGUUAUUCUGAAACCUUUUCUUAAUUUUUCAAAAGCACAGGGGUGGCAACAGUUGGCAUAUUGAUACCUGCAUAGAUGGAGUAAGUUUCCAUGUUACUAAAUUAAAUUGCUUUGCCAGUGAAAAAAGACCAAGUAGAAUAAAGUCCAAAGCAGGUUAUGUUUGGCAUCAUGAAUUCUUUAUUGUUCAUGUUGCUAUAUCUCAGACAGAGAGCCGGUAGAUGCUCUAUAUUUGAUACUUCUCAUCAUGAUGAGGAUGUGUUAAAGUUGGGGAAAAUAAUGCGUGGUUUGAGCCACGCACUUUUCGUGGGUCAUGUUUUUUUUUUUUUUUUUAAGGAUCUUUUUUUAUUGAGAGUGAUAAUAAUAUAUUAAAUUCACACAUACUAUCAAGGAAAGUAAUUGCUCCAAACCACUAGACUAAUGGGUCAUUUGCUUUCGUGGGUCCUGUUUUAUUAACCCCAAAUUCAAAAUAUUGAACCAUCUAGAAUUUAAACACAAGUAAAAAUCUACCCAUGACUACAAAACAUGCCACUCUCGUUAAUUUAAAUUGAAUCCUAAAAUCAUUCACUUUUAGGGAUUUUAUUAAUAUUCUAGUUGUCCAACCAUUGUUGGUGUGACUUGUGGUAUAAGUUGACUUUCCUUGCACAUCAAGGAUUCCUAUAUUAAAUGUAAUUGAUUUACUUUAGUUCCUAAUUUCCUACUGUAAAUAAAAUUAUGAGUUAUUACUUUUCUUGACAUGUAAGGUUUACCAUAUUAUAAAUAUGACCUCCUACAAAAGUUCAAUUUUCCUAUUACCAUUUUCUCUGUGCCACCCUAUUUCUCCCUUAUUUUUGCGACACAUAUCUUCUUACUUACCAUUAACAUAACUUUGUUAACUUACCCUUAAAUUAAAAAAUAUUAAAUUAUAAUUAUAAAUUAAAAAAACCAGCGGCCUCAAGCAAUCAUCCACCCACCUAACUCCAACAGACGAGAGGAAACAGACCUGGCAAAGAUACAAAGGCUCCAAUGCUGAAAUUUUGAAGAACUGAAAGAGAUCUUUCAACCUGGAAAAAGGAAAGGCCUUUCAAGAUUUUCUGGCUUCAUCGAGGCAAAUGGCAUGUGGUCUUUUGGAGAAAAAUUUUCAAUUUGGUGAGGAAGCGAAAGCAAGGUUCACGUUGAUGAUGCACUCAAAGUGGAGAAUAGGUUCGGCUGAGUUCAACAAUCAUGAUUUUCUUCCCCAAUUUUAUGAGAAAGAAAGUGAGAGAGAAAGGGAAGCUUGGGCGGUGGGGGCAGAGGUUGUUGUCGCUGAGGUUGGGGUGGUUGUAUGGUGGGUUGCAAAGAAGAUGAACAAAUUAGCUUUUGAAUAAUUAUUUUAUUGAAUUUUAAUAAAAAUCAAUAGACUUAACAGAGUUAGGGUUUUGUUAAGUGAGAGAACAGAUGUUAAAAAAAAUAAAUUUUAAAAAAAAAAAGAAAAAAAAAGGAACAUGGUGGGCAUAAAGAAAAUGGUAAUGGGAAAAUUGAACUCCUCAUACAAGGAGAAGAAUAUACAAAAAAUUUCGACAAACAAUAUUAUCUCAUAUUCUGAUAUUUUAGCAUGGUAUCAGAGCGGCGAUCUUGGGAUUGCUUACUUUAGUUUUAAACCCUAGCCGCCGCCGCCAUGAGGGAGGAUGAUUUUUUCAAUCUUCAUCAUCGACCUAUAGCUUUUCUUUCUUACCCCUAGCCGAAUUGACUACUCAAAUAGCUCAGUUUCUAAAAAUGCAGAAUCAGACCACGAACUCAAUCCCGACUUCGGAUCCUACCAAGACCCCGACUUCGGAUCCUACCAAGACCCCGACUAGGACUAUGCCCUAUGGUCCCAAAUUGUUGAGAUGUAUAUCUCUUACAAAGACAAGUUGGGAUAUAUCAAUGGCGAUCUCCCACAACCUCCUCAGACAUACCUAACAUUUACCAAAUAGUGAACAAAGAACGCGAUUGUGAAAGGAUGGCUAAUCAAUUCUCUAAUACCACUUCUUAUGCCAACAGGCCCAAUAUGAAGAUUGAAAAAAUGUAGGAGAGAGAAGGCUCAAUGGACCUCUAGGUAUAAGGUUUUAUCACAAACAGCAUCUGUGCAAAUAGAAGUGAACCACGUAUAUUUAAACUAUAGAUUAUUGUUGUAUUCUCCAAUAUAAGACUUACACAUCAUGGCUUAUAUCGAGCCACUUACACCAACACCACCUCAUCCCCAACCCCUCUCUCUCUCUCUCUCUCUCUCUCUCUCAAAUAAAAACAAAAAUGUUAUCUAUGAAAUUAAACCACGAAAAACAUGACAUCCAUAGCCAGAUGUUGUCUCUCCAAAACUUAUCAAGACACUCAUGGAGCAGGUUGUGGAAGGUUGGGUUUGGAUGUGAUGGUGAUGGUGAUGAUGGUGACUACUGGGUUUUUUCGGGAAGAGGAGGAGGAGGGAUAAGUAGGUUGAGAAUGGCGGGUGGUUAAGAUGUUCACAGAUUUAUUUUGUUUAAUUUUUUUUCUUACUUUCUCCCUUUUAUUAAUUAUGAAUACUCAAUUUUUAAAGCAUUUUAAAUUUUAAAAUAUUUUAGAAUACAUAUAUAUUUUAUAAAAUUCCAUAUGGCGUUAUUUUAUUGCAUAUAUGAGGUCCACAUAUCGGCCACAUAAGCAAACUAACGAAAUUCUUGACAGAAGCUCACGAUAAGGAGUAAUUUUAGGUGUUACGGGUACACCACGUGGUUGAUUAGUGUACCAUCCAAUAAAUGUAGGACAUGUAAAAUAUUUCCAGUGCAGCCAGCUACAUGUCAUAAAUAAAAAAAUAAAAAAAAAAAGCAAUGCAAUAAGUUGGAGAAAUAUUCCACAUGGCCUAUGUGUAUUGAAUGGUACACCAGGCAUGUGGUGUACCUGGAACAUAUAAAUAUUUCUCCGGACUACUUGUAAGCACAGGUGUUAACCUUAAUGACCACUAAUGACACAAAAAAUAUUAGAAAAUGAUCAGUCUCAUUUUGCCAACUCUUAUUCCAACUUCUUUAGAAUUCUUACACAUUGCGAGAGUUAAAAUUAAGACACUAAUACUCAAAAUUAGCCCCUUUCUAAAGCCUAAUUUUCAAUUUUUCUUCUUGUCAUUCACUUCUCAUCGCAAACAAACUUAUAAAAUUGAGACUUAGAAAGACAAAAAAAAAAAUAUGCAAAUUUAAAAGGCUCAAUAAAAUCAGGGCCAUGUGUGAUGAUACCACUUAUACCACCCUAACCUUGACCAUUGUUCGUCUUAUCCUUCACUUCUCACAGCAAACACUUAUAAAAUCAAGACUCAAAAAGACAAAAAAAUAUAGAUGUAAUUUGAGAGGCUCUAUAACAUCAUGGCCAUGUGCGGUGAUACCACUUGACUACUCUAAGGAUGACCAUUGUUCGUCUAACAAGAGAGGCACCCAUGGUGCUUUCUUUGACCAUGGAAAAGGUAUGAUGAGCGCCUUGAUGAUGAUGCCUGUUUCUAGCCAUGGUUGUUUGUGCCAAUUUCCUCCCCUGGAAUAUUCGGAGAAGAUCUUUGCGUCUCUUGUAUGAACUCUUCCUCGAACCCUGCAAAAUAGUGGUGGUCAAUUGGAGUACAAACAGAGAGAGAAAGAUGCAUAAAAUACUGGCCAAGGGCCCUUCGAUGCCUAAGUCAAUAAAAUGGUCUUAGGGAGAUGCAGAAAAUACUGAAAUGAUGGAGUUUUCUCUCUGGGGAGAUAGGGUGGCCUAGAGAGAGAGAGAGAGAGAGAGAGAGUGAACGAGCCCCUUGGUGUUAGGGAUGGCAAAAAUUCCCAUAGGGGCAGGGCCCCGUCGGGUCCCCGACCCUAACCGGGGGAGAUUUUGGGGCUAAAGGGUAUCGGGUACGGGGAUCCCCGAACUUGAAAAAUCCCCGAUGGGUAUGGAGAGGGGAUAGUAUUUGGGUCCCCAUCCCCGAACCCGACCCGAAAAUAUAUGUUUAUAUUUAAAUAAAUAAAUAAAUAAUUAUAGUAUUUAUGUUUAACCAUAAGUUAACUUCCCUCUCCUAAUUCUUCCUAAUUUUCCAUGGAAUUUCAUAUUGAUGUGAUUUUGAAUAGUUGAGUUGAACUUUAUAGUUAAUUUGGAUAUGUUGAAUGAUAAUUUAAUAUGAAACUUAAUGUUAAAAUGUAUGAUAAAUAUUUUUUUAUGCAAAAAAAUAGGGGAUUAGGGGCGGGUAUGGAGGAUAAUCCCCCGACGGGGACGAGGACGGGGAUUCCCCGAAACCUAAUAAACAGGGAUGGGUUCGGGGAUGGAGAGCGGGGAUAGGGAUGAUAUUGUCAUACUCGGCCCCUACCCGACCUGUUGCCAUCCCUACUUGGUGUUGUGUUAGGGUUUUUAGGGUUAGGAAGAAGUUACCUUCUUUGUGUCUCCAAUUUAGCUUAAAUAGCUCUCUCAAAAGAGAAUUAUUCAUUUCUUUAAAUAAUUGGGUGGAGAGAUCAAGGGAAUUUAAUGCAAUUAACACCCUUGACCAAAUGAGAUAAUUCUAAUCCCAUUUUCCACGUGACGUUGCUGGAUUGGACGUCAAAAAUCUGUGUUCCCACAGAGAGGAGGGGGAGAGAGUAGUUUUUUGCGAGGUAAAAAUAAAUUCACCCAAUUAAUUUUCCUACUGUUACUUUAGGGGCUGAUAUGUGAGAGAAUUGAUUUGAUCCACUUAUUCUUAAUGAAGGAAAUUGAGGUUCCACCCCAAAACCAAUUGGCAAUGGGGGAAGUUGCCCAACUCCUUAUAAACUCAGGCUAGGUCCCUUAACAUUUCAAUGUGGGACAAACACUCUCAACACGCCCCCGCACGUGUGGCGAACUUUCAAGCCUAACACGUGAACAACACAUAUUGGGUGACGUGGGAGCACGUGUGGCCGUUGGGCCCAACACGUGAAGCCUUGCUCUGAUACCAUGAAGGAAAUUGAGGUUCCACCCCAAAACCAAUUGGCAAUGGGGGAAGUUGCCCAACUCCUUAUAAACUCAGGCUAGGUCCCUUAACAUUUCAAUGUGGGACAAACACUCUCAACACUUAAGUCCCCAACAUCUAAUCAAAUCCGAAUUAGCCUCUCGAAUGUUCAUCGUACCAGAAAAAGGAACAAAAAAAUGUUCCCAUCAUAUAGUGGUCGUCUUAUUCUCAACCCUUGUUGCCAUAAUUGACUAAUAUUUCUACGAACGGGAAUAAACUAGGUAUCAUAAUCAUAAAGACAGUACAAAAUUAGUGAUAGACGGUGGAAAGCUGGAACAUUCCACACUAAAAUCCUACUCAACUUGUUUGGUACAUGCACAAGAACUCUACUUGUAGUCCUCUCAGAUUCCAUGCAUGAACAAGGAAAGAAGAGAUGCCUGCGGAACAAAGGAAAAUAUUAUGGAAAUAAAUUAAACCAACCACCAAUCUGUUACAGGAAAAUCAUGGAUCAUAAUGUACAUGUAUUACAUAAAGAGGAAGAUCUUUUAAUUUCCAGCCCUAAGAAUCUAAAAGAAACAUGCUAAUUAACCAAAGAAAGUUUCAAAAGAAGCAAAAAAGACACUUCGAAAAGUAAAAAACCACCUGAUGAAACUAUUUUCUUUUUCUUUUUUUCUCUUUUUUUUUCCCCUCACAAUUCUUGAAUUUUGAAAAUAAUCCGUCUAUCGACAGAUUCAAGAAGACCGAUGUCAUCGAUCGACUGAUCCUCGGUUCUAUCACCAUCAACUCCACCAUCAUCAAAUGAAAUGUUCAAAUCCAAAGACACACAAGGGCUUGUUUGCUCUAAAGCAGCAACAUCCCUAUUGUCUUCUUCGUGAGACCCCUGUGACAACUUUUGCUUAAUAGGAGGAGAGCAAGCUCUUGAUCUCGAACUGAAGCUUUCACAGCUCAAAAUGAUGAUAGCAUCUCCAAGACCUACUUCUUCACCACUCGAAUUCGUUAUCCUUCCUCGUUCUAUCGCUCUCUUAAACCCCAUUUGUGAGCAGUAGUCUGCUUGCUCCACGUCCUCCACUAAAAACACCCUGUGGGGAUUAAAAGACACUGCCUCCGCGAAUCUUUCGACAUAGCUGCAGCUUUGCUCGUCUCUAGAUCUUUUGUUCCUGCAAUCCUCAGUUGAAUCUGCUCGAGUCGAUGAGAAACUACUUAGUGCGAUGGAAGUGAGGUUGGUUUGGGAGCCGAAAACAAGCCUGGCCAAUUCCCUUGCAACUUUCAGUUUAGCUUCCAUGUCAAUGCCUUGAAAGAACAACCAUGUUUCUUCUUUAGUGACGUCACUGUAGUUUCCCAUCUUGUUCCCUUUUCUUCUCACCGUGCCUGACCUGCAUUUCAAGAUGGUGCUUGCAAUUUCAGGAACUAUAUCCUUCUGCCAUGGGACUUUGGUCUCCAAUGCACUGCAUAGGGUUUUGAGGUUUUCGGUGUUGAGCUCCUUGAACCUCUGCACAUACUGAUCUGUUUCCAUGACAAUAUCACUGGAUGAGGCUGAAGUAGGGGUAGAAUUGGGAUUUGAUGAAAUUGGUUGUUUGGGACUAUUAUUCUCUGGAAUGUACAUUCUCAAACUGGGUUGAUCAUCAACAGCCUUGUUACAAUUAGAUCCAGAUAUCCAGAAAUGUUGGUGCCGCCACGAAUGAUGAUGGUGCAAAUUAGGGUGUUGUGGUUGUUGUUGCUGCUCAUAUGAAAAGUUGGAAGUGGAGGAAGAGGGUGAGAGAGAAGAGAAUAUUGUGAGGGUUUUUUCAGAAGAAUUAUUGGAAUGCUGUUGGUGCAUUGAAUUGCAAAUAGAGUUCCACUUUUUGCAAAGGUCUGAAACUGGGACAGAGUUCUGGUACCCAAAAAAGAGGAAACAAGAUAAUUGCAAAGGAAAAAGUUAGUUUUGGAGUACAUCUAUUAAUGCUGGGCCAUAUAUACAUAGGUAAUUAUGAAGUUUAUUAGGAGCUGAAAGUGUUAUAAUUAGAACCUGAUCAUUAGUACUGCUUGGCACUUUGUUCUCAUUUUUGUACUGUUGGAGCCAUGCAGGAAGGCUUGAAGUGGUGGAUUCACUGUUGCAGCUGCUGCUGCUUUGUAGGCUUCGAGCUUCGGCUUCAAACUUGGAUGAACAUUCUGCGCAGCAAGUGAGCUGCUUGCCUCCACCUUCAAGCAUUUGCCUGUUGUUUGUUCCAGUUUCAGCUAUCUUGCUUGUAGACUCACUUUGUAGGUCACUGUAAAUAGAUGUAAAGUUGAUGAUAAGAACUUUAAAUUCACGUGAUUUUGAAAGGGAAGUCUGAAUUAAUGCUGAAGUCAUUGUUCACCAUAUUCCUCAUCCAAUUAAAAAGGAAGAAAAGGAAAAAGUUGGAUGGCAACUUAGAGAGGCUCAUUAAUUUCAAAAAGAAAAAGAAAAGGAAAAACCAAAACUUACUUAGUAAGUUGUUUGCACAUUUUCCUCCAGAUAAAAGAGAUGUACCAAAAAUACAAAACUUUUGAAAAAGAGUAAGCAAAAAUUUAUCAAUUUGUAAUUUGCGGUACCUGUCAGUGACAAGACUCAAGCGGAGGCUGCCGGAGGGAAUUGUAAGCGGAUGAAUACCCCAAACAGUCUCCAGUGAUGGAUGGCCAGAUUUGCAUCUCAUGUAAGUUUGGAAAGUAGCCAUCCCCACAAGCCACAGUCUCCCAUUCUGAUGAUCUCCAUUCAUUCCACAAAGCAAGUUCCCAAGCUCCAUGAUCAUGUGCUCCACAGGACAAUAAUACCCCCUUCCCUGCUCACUUGAACUACUAGCCCUAUAUUCACUUGUCCACUUGAGAUCUCCCACAAAUAAAAUAACCCCUUUGGCCACACAGCUCCUCACUGUGCUCUUCAGCUCUCCAAGCUUCUGUUCAACCUCUACUCUAGACUGAUGUUCAAAAGAGGACAGGGUAAGGGUUAUAAAUUUUACCUCUCUCAAAGCCUCAACUACAUCACCCUUCUCAACCUUAUCCAUCACUCCUCUAACCACACCCUCAAUACUAGCAAGACACUCUCCCACAACCACAAUACUUUUCCUUCUCUUCUUCACUAAAUUCUCUAUAACACUUGUCACAUCCUCACUUCUAACUGGCUUUCCAUCUUUGACUCCAAUACUCUGACCAAUUGACGGAAAUUGAUGAGGGUUGACUACUAAGAGACUAUUGUUUUCCUUGGGCUUGCUACUCACAGAAGGAGUUUGGGAAUUACAUAUUUCUAAAGAGACUGCUUGUUCUACAUUGCUUUUCACUUGGGUACUAGAAAACCCAGCUUCUCUCAUCACUCUACUAACACUUGGAUCAUCUAAGAUGGAAAUUAUGAGUUGCUCCAACUCUAUUUUCACAGCUAGGAGGGGCUGCUGCUGGUUCUCAAUCGAACCGCGCCUUUGGUGAGCUUGAGCACGCUUGAAAGCCGCAACCAAGGCGUUGGAGAUGGAAGACUGUUGGGGGUGAGAGCCCAACAUGGGGCUAGAAUUGGAGGCCGGGAGGCGGUUGAGGGCAACAUUGAAGCAAAGCUCAAGGGCUUUGCAUUGGAGAGGGUGAGAGUGUGAUUGAAGGCAAGCAGUUCGCAAUAGGCCAGUUGAAGAGGAAAGCAUGGUGUGUGCAACAUGGAGAGGAGUCACUUGGGCAUGGCCACGUUGCCUAGCUAGGGUUACUGCUUGCUUUACUAUAUUUGCAGCCUCUGUGGUUAGACCUUGUUGAAGUGUGCAACCUCCUGCCCUCAUCUUCAACUCUGGUGAUCUCCUAUUGCUUGCUUUGAUUAUAUAUAAGAAAAAAGGAGGUCAAAUUAGACGGUGAAUUAGUAGAUGGAGAACUUGUUGAGAUUUUGGGUUCAUGGCCUGGUGAUCAGUUUAGUGUUGAAAGGGAGAAGUAAGAUGGGUUUUGAGAGAGGGGCUAAGAGAAUUUUGAACUCAGCUAUAUGUAGCAAAGAUCAAUUAUAUAUGGAGUGUAGUAGUAGUGGUAGUAUGAAAAUUGUUUGUUAUCUAGGGAUCUAGAUGAUCAUGAUGAUAUAGUCGUGGGGAGAGAGAGAGAGAGAGAGAGAGAGAGAGAGAGAGAGAGAGAGAGAGUUUGGAGAGAGAAACCUACAAAGAGAGAGUGAAGGGCAGAGGGGGGUGUGAAAUUUAUGGGAGGGUGGGGUGGUGCUUUUCUUGUGGGUGAGGUAAAAAUUGGGGUCCAAAGUCGAUUUUGUAGUGGAAAGUGGAAUGCAUGUGCUGACAAGCAGUACUCUAAUGUUGUGCACCAGUAUCAAAGGCAACUCAGCUUUGCCUUCUCUCUUUAAUUCUUUCUCACACAUCAAAUUUCAUAAAAGAUAUGGAAUUCAUUCGGAAGUGCGUCUCUCUCUUUUUAUGCAAAAGAUUUAAUUAAUUAUUAAUAAUUACUCAUAUGGUACUAACCUAGAAAUAAACACCUCCUUUUCUAGUAAUAUACAGAAAAUCUUUGGUGUAUCAUAAUAAUUUCUGCAUAAUCUAAUUACCAAAUUGCAGCCAAUGAUAUACUUUUCUUCCCCCCCUUUUCUCUUUUUGGAUAUAAAGCUAGCUAUAGUAUAACAACUAAAUGAAUUUUUCAUCAAGUAGUUCUUAAUUUAAUAGCAUUUCUCUUUUCAAUGUUAGAAUAAUCUGUCCAAUUUUUUGUUAGUGUCAUUCUUUUUCUAAUGGUGAAAGAUAUGUUAAAUUUGUAAUUUUUUUUACGUGAAUUCAAAUACCCUAUUUAAAACCAAUCGGCAAUAAAAAAUCUAAAUAUAUAUAUAUAGUACUGUGUUGUGAGAAACUUUCUCCAUUAGAAACCCCUCUCCUCGUUGAUAGUAACAUCGCUAUGCUUACUAAUCUCCAUCUUAAGAAAUUGGUGCCGCACGAGGAUAAAUAUAUUCAGUAAUUAAUCCAACAUUAUUGAUAUAUAUUUAGGAAUGAUGAGGUCAUAGGUUUUUGUACUGUAACCAAUGAGAGAGAGAGAGAGAGAGAGAGAGAGAGAGAGAGAGAGAGAGAAUAUGUAAGUAAGAUGGGAUCCGCCAAAACCGAGGCCCUGAAAAGAGAAUGGGACUAAAUGUCUCAAGGAAUCGGGAACUGUGUACGAUUUCCUUCCGGACUCAAAGACAUGGAAUAAAGCUUAAAGCUUUCCCUCCCACCAUUUUAGUUAGAAAUAAUAUAUUUGUAGUAUAAUGGAUAUACAACCAAAACCAACAAAGCUAGCCGAUGAGAUGAGCUGGGCUGAGCUUCAGCCUUUAAAUUCAUGAAGAGUCAUAUGCAUGGGGAUUAAUAAUCCAGACAUUCCUUCCUCUCUCCCUCUCCUUUAUUACAUAAAAGUGAAGCUUUUGGACCUUCUUUAAUUCGUUUUUUCCCCUUUGAAAACACUUAUAAUCACUGUGUAAAGAAAAGCCAAAUUAUAACGAUACCAUUUUCGCAUCUUUAUAUAUAUAUAUAUAUAUAUAUAUAGUGUACAAAUGGUAAUCUAUUUUAAUUAUAGAGUGUUUAUUUCAAAACCAGUUAAUAAGUAGUAAAUUAAUUAUAGCUUUUUAAACCAAAACACAAAGGCAAUUGAAGAUAAAAACCUAAAUUAAAGACAGCGUUCCGAUUCAAUGGAGACGCUUGUAAAAGUUAACAAACAAGAACCCUACUUGAAAGUUAAAGAAAAAAAAAAGUAAACUAUAAUUAACAACCAAUUAAAAUUUUCUUUGGUGACUAAAACCAAAUUACAAAAUCUCUUUCCUCCUCUUCUUCUUCUUCUUCAGCAGGUGCAUCAGUCAAUCUGGUUUUUUUUUUGUGGGCACUGUGUAAGCUUUUUUGGUGGCCAGAUUAGUUGGUCUUAUUCCAUAGCACAAAACAUAGAAAGGAGAGCUAAAACACUACUCACCACCUUAGCUGGGUGUUAAGCUAAUAAUAUAACAUUAACAUACAUAUAAAAAUCAAAACAUACAUACACAGAUCCUUACACAAAAAACGAGAGAUCUCCUUGCCCUUUCAUUCCUCAAUCAUCUUCUACCUUUACUUAAGUUAACAAAUCAAUGUUUUUUUCUUCCCCCCGGCUAAUACAUGUAUAUAUAUAUAAUUACAUAUCAAUCUUUACUGAGCCUAUAAUAGCUUCAUCAGCUUUAUUGUCUCCUUAAAAAGUAGUCUUCUAAAACAAGUUAUCUAAGCAAGGGAUGAAAUAGAUAACAAUUUAGCAAUUAAUAUUGGAGAAAGAUAGUGAUUAAGGUAACCAUACAUGAGAUUGUUUCUUAUUGGAAGCACAAGAAGAAUCGAAAAUUAUAUCGAUAUAUAAAAUUGCAUCUUAUAUUGUCAAACAGUCUGACGUGCUAAUGCAUAAAUUAAUUUCUAUUUUCUUUCAGAAAAUGAAAUUAUAUCACAUAUACAUUAUACAUAUGUUAUAAAAAUGGGAAUUAAAUGUGAAAUGGGAGGUAGGACCCAAACAGUGCUUAUACAGGUCCAGAUAAUCCAAAACUCCCCGACUGUUUAUUCUAGCUCAUUCAUUCCCCCAGUCAAAAAGUUUCUUCUAUCUUUGUUGUCCUAAAAAGACAUAGAAAGCCACCAAAUAAUUUGAACACAAAGCACUCUGCAUUGCUAGAAAAGGAGCGUUUGAAUGGGAUGAGGAAUAUCUACGAUUACUUUGAAAACACCCUAACCCAUUCUUUUCUCUCUCUCUCUCUCUCUCUCUCUCUCUCUCUCUCUCUCUCUCUUCUCUCCCAGACACUGGUACUAACGGUUAACCUGGUUUAAAGAAAAGAAAAAGAAAAGCCAUGGCCAUAACUGCUCUGCUACUUGUUAAUGUGUGUAUGGACGCCAUGAGAUUUGUGUCAAAGUGAAAGUUAUAUUAGGGUCGUGUAUCUUUUCUCUUCUUUCACUAUCAAGUGCUUUGAUGUGUUAUGGGAACACAAUGCAUUAGAGAGCAGUAAUAUUUAAUUAAUUUAUUUUCUUGUUCUAGCUCUUCUCUCUUUUGCUUAAAGUAAAGCACUCUCUCAUAAAGCCAUAUUAAAAGUAAAAUAUGGCAUUAUCUACUCAAAAGGGCCGCUCAUUUUAUGCUUUUAAGCUUCAAAUAAGAGCAUCUUUGGCCUAUACGUGGCCAUGUGGGCGAAAGCAAUAUCCAAGAGAGAGAGAGAGAGAAGAGAGCAGCAAAACACCAUAGAUCUAGAGAGAGAGAGAGAGAGAGAGAGAGAGAGAGAGAGAGAAUGGUGAAUAAUUAAAAAAUAUAUAGAGCAAUAGGGAGGCCCUGGCCGGCCAGUCGACUUUAAAGGUUAGAAAUGAGAAAAAGUUGCUCUAAUUUUGACAUGACAGCCUUGUUAAUGUAAAGGUGAUGGAAUUACGUACCGCACACUCCUUUUCCCAAAAGUUUUCAUUACUUUUAUGCUAUUUCUAUCUAAAUUGUUCUGAUUAAUUAUUAACUUAUAUCAUCUAAUAUAAUCUUUCAUUCAUUAUUUACACUUCAAAAGGCGGCAUCAUAUUAUUCAAUAUUCACCAUUCACCACACUAGAUAAUAUAACUACAUGUAUAUAUAAUCAACACUCGUGCUUCAAUUUGCAGAUAUUUUUGUACCUGUACGUACUUCAGCUGCAGCUUGCUCAUCUGUGUUUUUUUUUUUUCCUUUUUUUUUUUUAAAAUCUGUGAAAGAGCAAGGAAGGACCGCACUGAAGUGCAGCAUUCAAAGAGAUACUAGCUUUUGCUGCACUUGAAUUUGCCCCAGAUAAGUGGUGGCCAGUUCAGUUCUGAUCACCAAAAGCACGGCUUUUCCUGCAUUUGAUUUGCACCAAACAUGUACAUUUUUUGAGUUUGCUAUGCUAUAAUAGAGCUGUAACCAUCUCGACUGGACCAAGCCUUUUAUGCAUUUCAAGCGUGCAAAGUUAAAUUUAUUAACCCUCAAUUAUAUGGCGGGUUUAUAUAUUUUCGAGACGAAAAUUAAUUAACUCGUCGUAGGUGUGGAAAAUAGAAGCGCUUUUAGUCGUUCUAAUAGCACCGUAUGCUAUUACCAAUUACAAGAGGAACAAAAUUAAGUGAAAGCUGAGAUUAAUCUGAGGUGUUGCUACUACAAAGAGCAUUGAAAUUCAAUAGAACAAACUCAGUCAAUGAGUCUACAUGUCCAAUAUGAAACAUUUCUACCUCAGUUUUAUUGAGAAAUAAGACUAGGAAGCCCUUAAUUGCUAGCACAUUUAGAGAUCAGUGGUCUGUUAUUAUAAACAACCUAUAUAUUGUGAACAGCACCCUUAAAUGCGACAGCAACAAAAUUUGGAAGAGAAAAAAAAGAGGGAAAGCCGAAAACGACUAAAUUGAGAAUGUUGGCAAACUAACUUACAAACCCUCAAAUAAAAACUUCACUCAUCUUGGCUCUCUGUCUCUGAUAAAUUUCCAGGAUAACUAUCCUGCAGUAGAGGAGCAAGUAUGCUCUCAACAGAGGAUCUCUGCUUCCUAAUUUCCUCGAGUAUUGACAAUCGAGCUGCUUCGCAAGCGUUGGCAUUUGAGAAACCAAGUGUCCAUCUCCCAUCAGCCACAUGAUUGGACAUCCCUGAUGAUUGAUGGCCUACUUUAAUUUUAUGGAGUUUUGGUUCAAACUCUCUUAUCUGAAGAUGCAACCAUGUCGGAUGGUCCUCAUCUACCUUUGGCUGUUUCAAGUGAGAAACCAAAUUAAAUUUGUAAAAUAAGAAGGACCAGAAUCAAAGCAAUUUCAAGUUCCUUCAGGCCUGUAUUAUGAACAAGUGUUCAAUAAAUAAUUGGACACUGAUCUAGCAUCCGCCAAGAACACUGGUCCUAACCAUACACAAUUCAUCAAUACAAGUAUCAUAUUACUAAAUCAGAUUCAUUGGCCUGUUGUGCUACUAAAAUAAAAUAAAAUUCUGAGUUGAUAUAGCCAAACUUGGCCAGGCAUAGAAGCAAAUAUGUACCAAUUUUUUUACUUACAUUCAAUCCAGCCAAUGGUCCAAUAGCAAGUACUACUCCUCGUUGACUACGGAAAGGAUGCUUCUCUGCAAGCAGCACUUUUCCAGUAGUUUCCCUUGCCUUAGGUAUCAGGUAGAUAUCCCUGAUUCCAGCAUUGGAAAAUGCAAUUGUACAUGGAAUUCCAGAUCCUGCAAAAUGUUGUAUGAAGUGAAAUAAUUUUAAAAACAGAGAGACAGAGAGAGAGCCAGGAUAAUAUUCAACUUUUACAGAAGAAUACCCACUUAAAGAAACCUCUGACCCAAAGCUUGCAGAUGCAAUGUCUGAAGCAUGUGUUUUACUAGAAUCAGCAAUUGUGCUGCUCAUAUUCAGCAAGGGUUCCUGAAGCAAUUCUCCUUUGAAAAUACAUGAUUUAAGCUGAAGAUGGAGAAUGAACACCUACAUGUAUACAAAAUACAUGCGCUCACUGUGAAGUCUAAGAAAAUAAAGCAUGAUAAGUCUAGAGUAACAUGCAGAACACAAUGUAUGACUCAUAAGAUAGUGCAUGGUGCACCCAUGACUUUAACAGAGAAGUUAGUACGAGCAUAAAUGGCAACAGAAGGCAUGCUUUAACAAGUAUCAAAUCCAAACACAUCAACCCAGGUCACUAUUAUAUACUGAACUCAGUCGAAUCUACUACUCCUGGAUACUGAACGCACUCCAUUUUCUUUUACUUUUCUUGGGCAUUGGGCAUUUGGCAAGAGUUGAUUUUGACACCACAUUCUAUGUUUGAAGCUGAUAACCUAAAGCAUGCAAUAGCUCAUAACCUAAGACUAGCAAGGCAUGUUAGACCGUUAUGGACACCAACACUCCACCAAGUAACAUUCAUCUUGGAAAGAUUACUACAUCAAACUCAGAUGUUGGAAAUUGAAACUAAUUUCAGUGUUUAACAGCUUAUAACCGACCAGCAAGGCAUCCUCUCUACAACAUAAAAUUUGAAUCUGAACAAUCAUUGGACAAUGAAUGAGGAUUACCUUCACAGUUUCAACCAUCGUUUUCCAAGCGAAGUAUGAAGUUGCAUCACCUGCAAUAUGCAUAUAAUAUUUAAUUCUCUUAUCAUGUAACCAAAUACUUUAUGAAGCAUCACCAUAGGAAAAAUACAAUCCUACAAAUAAAAGGCUUAAUCAAUACCAAAAAAUAAAACAAUUUUAUACCGUCAGUAGCUUGUUGGCUAUCAUCAAGCUCUAGAACAAAAAAAGGAUCUUUGCAUUGUGAUGAUUCCUCGAGAGCUGUUUGCAGCACCAAAAUAGAUUAACUGAAUAUAGAAUAAAUCAUGGCUUUUCCUUUCCGGGGAGAAGCUGAUGCCAAUAUAAGAAUAUAAAAUACUUAUUGACACAUCCUAACAACAAAAACUUUUAGGAAUAGUGAUAACCACCUAAACUUCACAUGAUAUUACUUAAGUUUAAAUCCGGCAAUUUCAACCUCUGAAUUUGUAAUGAUUUCCACGUGUUGGGCUCUCCAAUUGUGGGAGAACCCAUACAUGAGAGAGAUUUGUUAAGAGUAUAAACUGAAUUUUGGCCUUCCACAAAAACUUAUUGUGGAAUAAGAGCAUGAGAUCUUGAGUUCUAAUCCUUGCAAUUGCAACCUCAUAAUUUAUAUCAAAAUCCCUUUGACCCAAGCAUUAGGAGGGGCGAGAUGUUAAAAUAUAAAGUAAUGUUAGUCUACAUCCUAAAAGUUUAACCUGUUUUAAUUUUCUGGUUACAAUCUAAGGGAAUCAAACCCUUGACCUAGUCUAAUCCUAACCCAUUUCCCCCAUCCACCCCUCUUGGGCUAACCCUAAGGGCUUUAACACCUUAACUUUUCGGAAACAAUGAUAUUAAACUACCACCAUUCCUAAAAUAAACCAUAGAGCAUAUACUAACUACCUCUAAAAGUGCAUACUCAAACACAUAAACAUAACAUGAACCAACUGAGCCCCACCCCCCGGCAGACAAAAAAAAAAGUACCUGCUUUACAGUUUGGCCAUUCAUUUCUUAACACCUCAGGGAUAUGAUCAAACCAGCAUCCAUCAAGUUCUUUCUGAAGGCAUUCACGGGAUUGCUGAUAUGAGGACUGUCCACAAAAACUAGAAAAUAUAAAACUUUAGAAAGUAUGAGACAGGUAUACAAUGUAUCACACAAAAGAUCAUACGGAAAAAUAAACGUGCACUUCAGAGCUGGCUUGUUGCUCUUGCCUCAGAAAGGUCAGAUAGUGUUCUUCAAACUCUUUAGCAACACAAAGAUUCGUCAUGAUAUGUCUUCUAACUGUUCCUACAGCAAUCAUGUAUGUUUGACCAAAAGACUUAUUUAGCCAUAACCCAAUCUUCAUCAUCUACCAAACUUUCUACUUCAAAACCUACAUAUAAAAUCCCGCCAUACAGUGUGGUCUACCAAAGCUACGCCCUGGAAGGGGUGAUGUAUUACUAGUCCUUCUAGAGGAUUUUCACAAAUAUCCAUCAUAAUUCUCUGGCUGGAGAAAUCUCAACCUCAAGUUUUGUAAUGUCAAAGUAUUAGCAACUUUAGACUUGGAGCUUCAACAAAUUGCUCCUUGAGUAAAUAAAAUAUGGACAAAGUAAACUUCCUAAAAAAGUUCUUAUGCCUAAAAAGAUACAAGUGUUCUUCCAUCCAUCACUACAAUCAUUGAUGGAAGCUGAAAAGAAGAACCGAAAGUUCUAAUAGAACACGCACCAUUAAUGGUUUUCCAUCUUACCAAGAAGAAACGAAAGACUAUAAAGGUAGGGAGAAUUUGUGAAAAUCAUAACCAAACAAGAAUGAUUAUCCAUUUCUUUCUCGUAUGCAUCUCUGAUGCCAGUACACUUUGAUAAUGUAAUUCAAUAAGAGAGCACAUAUAGAAUAAAUUCUACCAAAUCAGUCAAAUCCUUACAUUGAGUAGCUUGAAAUUAUGAUCACCAAGCCCUUUUCCUUGUAAAAUCAAUAGCUUCCGCAAGAACCACCCUGUAUGCCAUUGUAUUAGUAUAGAGAAAGGUGGUUGACUUGCUAAAACCUUCAAUAAUGCAUUUAAAAUCUGUAAAAUGAAAAUUCAGUUCAUCACGACACUGAAAACCACACUGAAUUAGGAUGCAUAGGGUCAAAUUUUAAACAGUAUAUUUCUAUGACCAAAAUGACUGAUGGGAAUAUGUUAUUUAUGCAAACAACAGGUGGAAAAAAAUUCUCAAAGAGUCCCUAUACCUGAUCCAUAUAUUUCACUAGAAGAUUUCCGAUAUUUCCAUCCACUGCCUGUGAAAAUAUAAAAUGAAAAUUUGUAAAUACAGUUACAAACUCAAGACGGUGGAAGAAAGUAUCAUGAAUCUUCAAAAAUCCAUAUACAAGACUAGAAAACCCAAAACAUUCAAAAGAUUCCAAGGGAUAUAUAAAUUAAAUAUGAGAGAUUGUUGUAAAAUAAGAGGCAUAGCCUCAAGGCACAGAUAAACAUAAAUGUUGUGUAGUUUUCUACUUGAAUAAAUAUUUUUCAUGUAACCUCAAGAAAGGAAAGGAUGAAAUAUUAGACUCUCUUCAUAAUGUUAUUAGUAUUCAAAACACUAUUAUAUUAUCUACCACAAAUUCAUCUCCAAAGAGAAAAAUACCUAAGGAAACAGCAAUGAAAUACCAUAUAUGCAUCAUAAUAUUAAUGGUAAUGAAUUCAAUGGCUAAUUAUUUUACAACCACCUGAUAGCACAAACAACGGAAGCACGGUUAAGAAUCAAACAAAAAAAAACAAUCAUAAAGGUAAUAUGGUAACUAGUUUUUAUUAACUACUCACUUAUUACCAGCUGCACAGAUGAUUUGAUAGUUAGGAAACCCUUGACAGAAAAUAUAAGUUUGUAUAUAAAAAAAAUUGAAGUUCAAUACUCACAAUCAUAUUUUGCAUUCCAUUUAAGCCAAUCAUUUGAGCUAGUAAAGGAUGAAGAUCUGCAUUAAUGCAAAGAGAAAUCAAAGAUAUGAAUGAACAACACUGGGACAUAGAAAAUGCUCAUUUUUAUUAUUUUUAAAGGCUAUAUAGACUGAUGCAUUGAAGUUAUAUCUCAAAUCUAUACAACAGCCCACUGUAAGUUAGUACCUUUUGCUUCUGCCAAAAUAAAUAAUAAGAAUAGUGAUGCUAGUGAUAGACUAGGAUUGUCAGAGAAAACAUGUGCUAGUAUUCCACUCCUGCACCAGGAAAAAAAAUUUCAUGAUAAGUUAGAAUGUCCUUAGUUCAUAAUUCUCAUCAUUUUAUAAUAAAAGCAUUAAUUAACCUGUAAAAUUUGUUUAUUUAGAAGUGAAUGGAUCCUAAUCACUCUACUUUCCUAAUAGUAAGAUACAGUUGAAUGAGCGGAAAACAAUCAACACACCAAAACUAAAAUUUUUAAGAGAGAAACUAAGCUCUCUUUCUCUCCUUUUUUUUCUUUCUUUUUUUCUUUUGAGAGAGUUAUAAGAAUGAAAUGAAAUGGAGAAACAGAACAACCUUUUAUUAGAGGCAGUAUCUCUAGGGAGGCUACUGUUUUCUGCUCCUUCAGUCUCAGGACUAGACAAUACUACUUUUCCCAUUUCACUCAAUAUAGAUUUAGCAUGAUUAAUGCUCUCAGUUGAGUCCCUUUCAAUAGCAUCUCUCACACUUGAUGUCAUAUAAGGAUAUAAAAUAACUCCAGCGACAGAGUUGAACAUGCCUUUUCCACCAAUGACUUGAAGAAGACAAGAAACAGUAUAGAAAGACGUGACUGCAGAUAGAUUUGAGCCCUGGAGAUUAAAUAACGUGGAAUCAAUACAGCAUAUAGGAAAAGUAUAUCAUCAUGAAUUCGAUCAACAACUAAUGCAACUAACAUGAUUGAGUUAGCACUGGCUCGAUCAUUUUUUUUCUUCAUGUUUUUACUAUUUUUCAUAUGUUAAGUGGUUUCUAAUUUUCUGUUUUUUAUUAUCUGUUGAUCAUUAUACAAUCAUAUAUAACUAUAUUCUUUUUUAUCAAACCCAGAUCUGAAUGGGAUUAAUCUACGUAAUUCUAAAUGUAAUUGGACUACACAUAAAAUCUUUAAAAUUGGAUACAAAUUUAAAUGAUCAUCUUUAGGUAAGGUAACCAAACAUUAAUCUGGCAAAAACCAGAAUGGGAUCAGAUCUUUGAUCCAACCCAUUGGCAGUUGUGAGCAAGGUGUGGAACUUACUGUACUUCAACAGCUGAUCAAAAUUAAUCCAAUCAAUAACAUCAAAUUCUUAAAAAGAAAAUAGUUAUAUAUGAUUGUAUAAUGAUCAACAGAUUCAAUCUUAAAAAGACUGAUGCACCACACAGCUAGACGUCAUAAAUAAAAUUCCUUUUUUAAAAUUUGUGCUUUUCCACCAGAUCCAGUUAGCUAGGAGUUUCAAAGUGGAGGUUUCUAUUAUAUGAGUUAUCAUAUAAUGUACUACUUAAAAAUUAAGGCACCAAUGAAAACCUCAUAUAUAAUAUCAGAUAUUAUAUUAUAUAGUGCUAAUACAUAUUUACAUAUAAAACAUAAAAAUUCAGGUUUUUGGUAAUAAUCAGUCAGUAAUCAGUAAAUGUGAUUUCAGGUUUCGAUUUGUUACAAGUGGUUGCCAAAACCUAGAAAUAGUCAGUUGAAGAUCAAUUGAUCUAGUAAAAACCAAACCAAAACACAGCCCCAUGCCAAUCAUACAUUAUGAAAAUCAACCAACCAUAUUGGAUUGCUCCUAAUAAGAUAAACCACACUGUCCAAAUUUAAUGUGCACUUACUCAAUUCCAAAUUUUCCAAAAGGAAAUAUCUACCAACAAAAAGUAUUAUUGUUUCUCAUGAAGUAGAUAAUAAUGAAAAUGAAGCAAAUAAGAGAAAGAACAUCUCACAUUGCUCUGCCCUAACUGCAGUAAUGGGAGUAAUAUGGGAAAGAUUAAUAUUCUGAGAAGAUUUUCAAUGACUACUGUACUCAAACGAGACUGGCCAACUCCAAGCAUGUCAUUGAAGUAAUACAGAUCAUCGACAAUCUUAUCAGUUUCCAAGAGUAGUUCUUUUCUCUUUUGAUUUGUACGCAUCCUGCAUCAAUACUUAAUAGUUCAGCCUUAAUAUGCAUAUCACUACCAGAAUCUUUUUAUAAAAAAUUGAAAGACACAUACUCUGUAGCAUGGACAAGGGCAUCUAGGUGAAAAAAUUGAUUGCUUAAGCUUGAAACCAAGUCUGAAAAAUACUUCGAGACUGGAGGAGUUGUUAUAUAUUGAUAUAUCAUAUCAUCACUAACUGCAUAACCAAAAACAAAAAACUGUAUUAUAUUACCAAAAAUGUAAUUGCAACCCAAAAUUUGCUACAUCUCUUCUAUUAGCAGCUUCGAAAAAUAGUGAUAACCAAUAACAUGUUACCAUUAUAUAUACUGAGAGUUAGUGCACGGAUAGCUGUCUGAAUCAUCUUUUCCCCAUGGUGGGCAAAUUUGAGAGCCUCAUUAUACAGGGGAAACGAGACUACAGAAUCCUGCAAUUGAAGAGAGACAUAGAAAUAAAAAUUUAUUAGGGGCCACGCUGAUCAGCCAUGUACAUUUAAUAAAACUCCCAUGCUUUCCCAAUGCCAUAAACAGUAAUGCAACGCAAAAGUUGUGAGCAUCUUUUAGUUAUUGAAUAAAGAUUGAAAUAGUGGCUGUCUUUUCAUGCAACUCAUUAAUGCUUCUUCCCCUUUUCAAAAGAACUUAAUUUACUGUAAAAAAAUAAAAAAUUACUCAAGCCUAGAUGAUGAAAAGAACGCAAAACAUGCCUCCAACAGAUGAAUGGCUUUAAAGGUCUCCACACAAGACAAUGAGAAAUGAUAACAAUGAUUGGACCAAGCCUUGAUGGCCCUGUUUGAAACCCCUUGGAGAAUAAAAACAGGAGAACAUGGAACACAUGAAAUACCAAACACUUACAGUUAUUCCUUCUUAAAUAGUAGGAUCUCACUUAAAGCGUACUUUUAAAUAACCUUUUUACAUUUAUCACCCUUGAUAUGCAGGUUACUAUUACGACUGAAAACGCAUAAAUCAUGAAUGGUGAGUAAAACUUACGCAAUAAGCUUUAACUUACCCCAUAGACCUUCAGAAGAAGGCAAACUGUGUCUUUGUUUAAUUUAUUGCUCACUGCUCUGAUAAGAGAGAGAGACAGAGGGAUCAGAAAAGUAUAAACUUCACAAGUAAUAAAAAAAUCAAGCUAAAACUGCAUCACGAGGAUAAAAACUCAAACCAGUUCAAUUAUUUUAGCAAAUAACAGUUAAAGAUGUUAAGUCUUAUAUGUAUGUGUGUGUGUGGGUAUAUAUAUAUAUAUAUAUAUAUAUAUAUAUAGAGAGAGAGAGAGAGAGAGAGAGAGAGAGAGAGAGAGAGACCUCAAAAAUGAUACAUAAUAUAAGGCUAGAUCUCCUCCAAAUUCAAACUUAUGUCCUAUAAUGUUGUUGAUAUAGUCAUUGCUAAAACAAUAGUCUGCAUCAGAAACCAUCAAAACGUCACCAAUAAGUACAAGCAAUAAGAAUAACCAAAUGACAUAAGGAAAAAAAAAAAGACAAACUGGUGAAGACAAAUAACUGAUUUUCCAACAUGAUUGCAGAUACCAAAAUCUUCUGUAACUAAACAUUGAAGGAGUAAUGCAUUUAGCAUCUUACAAAUUGAAUGGUCACUAUUCAUGUUUUGAAUCAUUAUACUCAGAUACUGAAGCAACGGUGCCUCAAUUCUUGAAUUUUUACUGAUCUUUAGCACUCGAACAAAUUCUGCUAAAACUUGGUACUCCAUAAAAUAUCUGCACAUAAGUUAUAAAUAACAAUUAGAAUACCAACAAGAAAAUGGAAAGCAUAACCAUAAAGAAGGUUUACCAUGAAAAACAGUUCAUACUCGAAAAUCAGUGGGUCUUGUCUAUCACCAUAGGUAACUAGCUCCACUAUGGACUGUAGUAAAUCAAUGACUAAUUCCUGGUAGAGAGUUGGAGGGGGGGGAGAGAGAGACAUAUUAAUUAAAGUAAAAAUAUAAUAUAAUAAAAGAUUGAUAGUUUACAAAAUCAAACUAAAUGAAAUUAUAGAAAAGUCAAAACAAGUUACCCUGUUAUGCCAGUCCACAACUUUGAUCUGCCGCAGUUCAUUGAUUACGUACCUAUAUCCAUAAACAAGAUUUUUAUUUUUUUUUAAGUAUUAGUAAUAAUAAAUGAUGAUGAUGAUGAUGCCAAUCAAAGGAAAUUGUGUGUGCAUGCUUUUCAUAAGACUUCUCUACCCUCUCGUUCCCUCUCCUAUAAAUCUCUACUUGUUCUUCCUUUUUCUUCCAAAAGUACAAGCAACACCAUACUGCUUGGUUAAUGCACAACAAACCUACCAAUGAUAUACCAUCCUCCUAUGACAAAAAUUUCAUUCUAUGGUUCGGUCCAAUAUAGACAUUUCCACUUUAUUUCCAAAAAUCAGGUUUGGGAAAGUGGACGAGGAACUAAAAUUCAACUACCACCCGCUAUACCCUCAAAUGUAAAUUAAAUUACACGUUCAGAAUAGCUCCAUUUGCCCGCCAUGUUGUUCAGGUCUUCCAUUCCCCAGCCCAACAAGCCAUUCGCUCAGCACAUUUAGGGAAAUUGAGGGAAAAACACCAUGGAGACUUAAUUCAGUGAGCAUUGUUCAACUGAAAGAGGCCAGAUUAGACCAUUUCUGUUGCAAUUGCUCAAUUUUACUUACAAUUAAUUAGUUUAAAAGGGGAAUUGGUACAAAAAUUCAUGUAAAACCCUAACUGAUGGGAAAUGGAGAGGAAGGAGGAAGCUUACUUGAAGUACUGAAGAGAGAAGCGGUCGAUGGAGCGCCACAGAGAGCGCCACAUGGCGGUGAUGAUGAUGGCGUUGAGCGAUCAGAAGCGGAGAUUGAAGACUAACUUGAAGAGCGUUCGUUGUGCCUUGUGUGUUUUGGUACGAAUUGAAGGAAGGGAGGAAGGAGAAGGGCGUUUUUUUCUGGUUGCUUUGGCUGUUUGGUGGAUUGGCGGAUUAUUUUUGUGCCAACUACCUGUCAACGUCCCCUCCUGGAGAGUCUACAACUGUAAGCUAAAAAUAGUAUACGUGUCUUCAACGCAACGCACCGCGGAGUUUAUUAUGUCGAUUCACUACGAAUUGAUUCAAAUAUAAUUUGUAUACGUUAUUAAAUAAAUUGAUAAUACCCCGUGGACAUUCUUUACAAAUAAAAAACUGUUAUAAAACUAGAGGGAGAAAAUGUAGAGAGAAGUGAUAUGCUAAAGACAAAGUUUCACCAUGUUUAUUCUUCCCUAAAUCUUUGGUAGAACCACCUAUUUAUAGGCUUACAAGAUAGGAGAUUGAAUACCAUCAUUUACAAUAUACCUAUAGGUUACAAGCAUUAAUUACAAAUACUUAGUGCAUAGGUUACAUAAAAUCCAACGGUGGAAUAUUAAGAGGUAUGGUGGUCAUCCACCAACUCAUGCAUUUACAACAAAAACAGGAUUUUUGACAGAAAUAGUUUGACCUGAGUUCUAUUUUGGUUCUCUGACUCUUUUUUUGGUGUCAAAUUGGUCCCAUUGUUAAACUUGCAGUCAAAUUACGAGGAAAAAUUGUCAAUCUAAGAACUAAUCUCCCCUCACACAAUCAGUCCAGCACUACAAUGAACAUUUCCCUUUAUAAGUCGUUACCCUCUGCCCUAAAUUGAAAUUCUACGAGAGGAACGACUUACAGAGGGAAAUGUUCAUUACAGAGCUGGGUUGGUCAUUUGAGAGAAUUCUUGCCCAAAUUGAUGAUUUUACCCCUCAAUUUGAUCCCAAAUUUGAUGGUGGAACCAAUUGGACACUAUAGAGAAAGUUAGAGGAUCAUUGAAGUGAAAAUUUUAGUUUGAUGACCAAAAUAAAACUCGACAUAAGUUUAGGGACCGUUUCGGUCAAAACCCAUAUUUUUAUUUGUAGAGAUCGUCUAGGUUGUAUUAUCAAUUCAUUUAAUAACGUGAGGAUACAACAAGGAGCUUGUAGCUCAAGUGGUUAAGAGCAUUUACCCAUGUAUUUGAGGUCUUAUGUUCGAUUCACAUAAGACCUCAUAUAAAAAUAUGGACCGACACACCUAUAGUGUCAAUGUACUUGAAUUAUAAUACAUCUACAAUUAUUAACAAACUCAAUAUGUAUUAUUAUUUGAAUGAAUUUGUACGAGAAUAAAAGCAUACAAGCAAAUGGAGAAGACAUCAUAAAGAAUGCUAGUGUGAAAAUUGCUUCCCCAAAAAUGCAUUGAAUUUCCAAUUUAAGACCCAAAAUAUUGCAGCGAAAAACUCUGAUCUGGUGCACUGUUUUGUUCAUGGGUCAUCAAAAAAGUUCUUGGCCCAAUAUUACCAACAAACAAAAAGAAAGCGUUGUUGUCCAAAAAUUUUAGUGGGCUUUAGCCUGAGUUUGACAUGGAUCUUGUUUAAUUUUUAGCCCAAGCUAACCCAACCCAUUAAGAUGUAUGCUCUCUCAAAAAUAUAGUGCGCCAUAUUUUCUUUUUCUUCAUCUUCAUCAUUGAAGAUAGUGGAAUUGAAGUACAAUUGAAACUUAACAAGCCCAUGAAUAAACAACAAAACUCUUAAGGCGACCAAAACUAGUGCCACGUCAGGAGGGCAACCAAACUUAUUAUGGAAGAGUACAAUUGAAGUCGCCUAAAAAAGGCGGGUUCGCCAGAGUGUAGAAUUCAAAUUUGGAAUUUUUAUUAUUAUUUUUUUUAACAUUGAGAAUAUAAGGAUAUGUUUGGUAUCUUAUUUUUUUUAAGGUCGAAUUAUUUAGUAUCCUAUUUGGAUUCAAUUUUAUGAACUCAAAAAUCAAUUUUAAGUCCAAAGCCACAAAAACUCGUUUAGUAAACCCAUUUUUAAAUGUCAAACCCAAAAAAAACUCAAAAACACCUUUAUUAUUAAAAACACAAACCAAAAAAAAAAAAAAUAGUUUUUUUUUCUCUCUCCUCUCCCUCUCCCAUCUCUUUCUCUCUCCUCCCUCUUCCGUCUUUUUCUCUGUCCUUCCUCUCUCAUCUCUAUCUCUUCUUCCUCCCCCCUCUCCCGUCUCCUCUCUCCUCCUCCUCCCAUUUUCUUUUGUUAAUUUCAAUUUGGGAAUCUAGGGUUUCUUAUUUUAAUUUCAAAUUUUUAGAUCUUAAAAAUAGUUUGGAGUUCAAUGCCAAACAAAUUUUUAGAUCUUAAAAUCACUAUUUGAAAACUCAUAUUUUUAAAAAGAAUCAUAAUUUUUAAAUUUACUUUUUUGAGUAGAAUAUCAAACAUAAUCUAAGUUUCACAAGUCUAAAAGCUAAUUGGUCCAACUUAUCUAUACUUGGACUCAAAAAUGGCCCUUGAAGUCAAAAAAAUGAACUUCACAAGCAAUCACAUAAUCAUGCUAAAUCUAGUUCCAUUGUUUUAGCGUAUGAGUUAAAAAUAUCGUCGUUCAAAACAAUAUUAAACUAUAGCGGUAAAAAGGCCUCAAUCAAUUGAUUAAGUCAAAGAAAACAUGACGAUCAUUUCAUUCGUAGAUAACAUGCGAGUGUAAAACAUACUCCAACCUUCUUUUUCCAUGGACUAUAAUUAUGCUUAAUGAGGAACAAACAACCUUAUUAGCAUGGGCUAUAAUUAUGCUUAAGUAUGCUAAUUGUCUUGUAUAAUCAAGUUGUGCUGUUGGCAACAUUUUAAUUUAUACCAUGAAACGACUACUCUUUGUACCUGCAGGCAACUUCUAAUCUAUUAUAUUCCUGUAAAUCUUGGUAAAAACAAAAAUAUUCCUGUAAAUAUCUUUCACUAUACAUGUAGCCCCAAUUUUAGAAAAUCGCAUCUGGGGUCCCAAUGUAUGAUGUGACAAAAUUACAAGGGGCCUAGGCUGUUGUUUUCUACAUCAAGAGGGUAAGACAGAUGUAAAAUUUUGGGAGAUUUUGCUCAUGUACGCUACAAUUUCCCCAUUAUAUCCAAGAAUUUACUUUGUUGGAUAUUAUUCGAUAUGUCUGAAUCAUUGAUGAUCAUAAUGUCAAUUAAUUUAAUAAAAAAGAGUAUUGAUUUGCAGAUUAAUAGUAUCAGAUUCGAAUCUUCGUAGCAUUUUAAUGGAAAUGCGUGUGAAACCUCCACAAUACAAGCGUGCAUGCAUGCAUCGACCGACAUUUUUAACCAAAACAUCUCCAAUUUCCAAAGUUGGUUUUUAAUUAUGCCGGUCAUUAUAUUAUAGUUGACCAAUGAGAGAGGCAUAUUAGUUAAAGGAAGAAGAUUUGGAGGAUCCAUAAUCUUCCACCUCCAUGUCAGAAAAGAAAAGUACCCACCAGCAGGAUUAAGCACUAAAGCCACCACACAUUUUGUUUGGCUAAUAAGGACCAAGUGAGUAGAGAUUCCAAAAGCAAUAUAAAAAAAAGCCUUGAGGUUCCAAUUCCCACAUCCAUGUGCCCCCAUGACUCAUCGCUUUUGUUCUUAUUAUAUUCACUCACAUGUCUUCAAUCUUCAACAUCACUUAUCGUCCAGGACAAAUUGGGGAAAUUUUGUAUUGUCACAACUUACAGGACUGACUGACUUUCACUUUGAUAUAUAUUUCUGUAGGGUAUGGGACAUUUUAUUUAAUUAAUAAUAAUAUAUUCUGGUGGAAAGUAGGGCCAUUUCCCAUAUUAGGGUUGCAAUAUGCUCAUGUCCAAAAUCAUAAGCAUCUUAUUUUCAACAAAACUUGUGAUGAGUAUUUUUCACUCUUUCACUUUCUACGUGUGGAAAAUGCAACAUUCUCUCCUUGAAAAUCAAGUUAAGUUCGUAAGCAUCUUCCAAUUUGAUUUGCUACGUCAACAUUCAAUCUCUUUAAAAAAGAGCAUGACAUAUAUACAAAUUUAUUUUGUAUAGAUAUGUUCUUGUUUCAUUUGUCGCAAAAAAUUUCAUGUUUACAAAUACACAAGCGAUAAAUGAUACAGUUGCCUUAAAAUUUUCCUUGUCCUUUAAACUUAGUUGGUUACUUUUAUAACUUUAACUACGUACAACUGUUGGGAAAAAUGUGAGUCAUAACAGCCAGCCAUACCUCUGCAUUCAUGUUUUGUUGUUCUUAUUAGCACUUGACAAAAACACUACCCGCCAUUACCCAUAAAGAACAGAGAGAAAAAGACUACCCACCAAACCAGCGCAUGGGAAGUUGUCAACACUUAGCACAGUAGAUGGGAAAUAGAUGGGCUAUGAACCCCUCAUAUGCCAAACAAAUUAAUUCCACUUGCGGUCCUUGGUUAUCAAUGUGUCUGUUUCCUUCUUUGAUGAGUUAAGCUAACCCUAAUGAACAGUAGAGGCUUUCCACCCUGGCCUAGUUAUUUUUGGGGACCUCAUAGGUUCAUAUCAUCAAAUGCUUGCACAUGAAUUAUAGGUGUAAUGUAUAACUGUAUGCAUAUGUUACAUGUAGAUAUACAUCACGUCUAUUUUCUGUUGAAAAGGUUAUAAAGUUGGUCGGACAAAUUCAACAAUUUUUUUAAAAAGACUGUAAUUGAAUUCCAACUACGACCUAUUCUUUUGUCACACAAAUGCUUAAGUUGUCUGAUUGUAAAUGAUCAAUAAUCCAGAAUUAAAAUAUGACAAUUUAAGAAUAAUUUACUUAUGCACAAUUUGACACGAGAAUAUUUUCCUAAAAAUUCGCAUUUCUAUACUAAGUAAGGAUUUUACGGUUUCACGAUUAGUUACAUGCUUGAAGCAGGCACACUUGAAAAGCUUUGUAUGCAUCUCAACAAUAAGGUAAAUAGUGUUCAUGUGAGUUUCACAAAUGCGUUGGACGGCGCUGAUUAAUGUUAAAACUCUCAACUAUAAAGACAACCCAUUUGCCAACUGUGGAGUUGAGAAAAAAAAGUUGCAUUUGCCGGUGAACUGGGGAACUACCAAACAUGUGCCAAUCUACUUGUCUAGCCAACUUAAUUAUAUGUCCUUUUAAUCAGAUUUGAAAUCAUGUGAACUAAUCAAUAGAUUCAAUACUAUGCACCCACCAAGGUUAGGUACUAUUAAUAUAUUGACUGAUAAACCAAAUUAUAUAAUACAUUUUGAGCCCUAGCCUUCUAUCUAAUAUAGAAAAUAGCAAUACUAGACUGUGGUACAUAAUUGCAGACUUGGACUUAGUCAAGUUGAUUAGAGUCUGUUGCGGACCCAUUAAGGCGCAAUGAGGUGUAGCUGUACCUCCCCUCGUCGGAAAAACCAUUGUAGGUGCUUCAAAUUGCCCAUUUACUCAACUGGUGUACAGAUUACCUUAUUUCCAUUUUCAACAUUUAAGUAAAUGUCUUUGUCCUUUUACUUUCAUUUAUUUUUAUAUUACUCCAUUUACUUAAGUUUACAAUGUAAAUAAGGAAGUACUUCUCAUUUGGAUUCAAAUAAAAAUACUAGAAAAUCAAGUUCCCACCAAAUCAAAAUAUGAAAAAUCGGUUUUAGUGCAAAAUACGAUUUAGGCUAAAAAUGAUGGCUUAUUAAGUCAAUAUAUACUUCAUACUAAAAUCUCAUAAAAUCAAGGUUUCUUAUUUGAUGUGUAAGGAAUAAAAGCCGUCAAAAAUUAUCUGGAGAAAAUGAUUAUUCCGAAAAACCAUUUUUCAUACUUAGUUAAUAUUGCACCUCCGUUAAAAAAUUUCUGAGUCCGCCAGUGGUUAGAAUAGAUGUGCUCUCUACUCUGCACCCGAAUUCGAAUUCCCCUUCACAUAAGAUCGCUGGUAGAAAAAAAAAACAUAGCAUAUAAUAGCAUCGGUGCAUGAAACUAUAGAUUAGAGUAAAUGAGCUGCCUUGUUGGUCACAUAGUAAAGUCACAAGAAAGUUAGGCAAAGGGACAGAGAGAGAUGGUACAAAUAGAUUAUGGAAGUCAAAUUGAUAUAUAAUUUAACCGAAAGCAACAAAAGCGCAUAUCUUUGUUUCCACCGAGGAAAAGGUAAAAUAAUGAGUAACUUUUUCCCUUACUAACUUGCAAAGUACUUCUAUGCCCUUCACAAUCGGGGAUUUCUUAGAAGAAAAAAACUAAAUAUUAUGUUUCUAAGGAUUAGGUGUUUUGUAUAAGGGUCAUGCUAGGGAGACCAACUUUAGAUACCAACUUGUGUACCAACUCUCUAAUAGAGGUGGAGCCCACCAAUACAAUGGGUCCUACACUCUAUUAGAGAGUUGGUACACAAGUUGGUAUCUAAAGUUGGUCUCCCUAGCAUUUUCCUUUGUAUAAAUAAAAAAGAAAUGUAUUUGGUGAUUCUUACGUCAGCUAUACAUUCACAUGAUGAAAUAUUUUAAUGCAACGGUCAUAUGAUUUAUUUGUAUCUAUGUCUCUCCUCGCGUAAUCUAAUAACGUCACAUACUAUAAAAUCUCAUGAUGGAAGUUUCUAUGGAUAUAAAAGUGAGGUGGCACGCAUGUGUAAUACAGAAAGAACUUUAUGCAUAAAGAUACCAAAUGUGACACAUAAACGUGACAUGUAACAUUGAUAUAUAUAAAAAAGCACUUUAUGCAGCAGCACUUCUGCAAAUUGUGUAAAUUAUAUUACCCUUCUUCUCUAUUGUGAUAAAUCAUCACUAAUCUAAAGAAAACAAUUAAUUUGUCCUUGCUUAAAUCUGCACAAAUAUUUCUUGUCAUCGUUGUCAAGUCACCGCAGUAAAUUGUGCACCUCUUAUUUUCUCUACAGUAAAAAACAGCCAAAUGGGCACCUUUUAUUUACAGCUCUGUUUUCGAAACCCAAACUUCCCAUGCUGCAAAUCAUACUCCACAUGAAAAUCCUGCUGCUGAUAAUUGCCCAAAAUAAUCGCAGGUCCACCAUUACCGCCUGGACCUACAACCCCAUCUGUAACAAUGGUCAAGCACACAACGCCUGAGCUUGAAACCAUAGAGAAAUAAUUCUUCGAUGGCAAUUCCAUCUUGGCACCACCUUUGAAUUGGAAGACCAAUUCUGGGAAGUCAACUUUCUUCUCCUUUGAAAUGUCGAAGCAGGGCCUUAAGCCCGUUUUGUUUUCCAAGUCCUUGGCUCUUGUGUAAUUCGCCAUCUGGGCUUCGAACUCUUUGGCCACGGGUUCGAAAACCGGCUUCUCCAUGAACGUGAAGGUCGAGCCUGAGUCGACUAUGGUGCCGCCACUGCUGUCGGCUCCAGGAACCAGAAACUUGUAGGGGAUUUUGACGUUCUUGUUGCCCACAAUGACUUUUCUGAGCAUGAUGUAAUAGUAUUCGCGGAAAGCGGAGUUUGGAGGACCUGGGUUUUUCUGAAAUGGGGUGGAGCUCAAGCUUUGAAGUUUGGUUUUGUUUCUCUGGCUUUCAGCGAUGGUGGGUUCUUCUUCAGAGCUUGAGCUGCUGCCACUGCUGCUGCUGUAGAGGACAAGGUCGCUGCUUUGUGGGGUGUCGUCGAAUCUGUGAGAGACUAAGCAGUAGGAGAAUUUGGUGAGGCCCAUUUGGGCAGGCAGCGAUUGUGGUCCGCGGCCAAACCCAGCAAUCCCAGCGGGUUGGCGGAUCGAGACGAAAGAGCAGCCGACGAGAAAAUCCGGGACAAUUUUCUUGGGAAAAUCGAGUGUCUCGGAAAGUAAAAUCCCAGCUGUGGUGCCUGAACCGUACUGGAUUAUGUAAGUUGGGCAGGCUUGCGAGCAGUUUUGGUGACUCGGGUUGUUGCAAUUUGGGCAUUUGGAUUUGACUUCUGGGCCAAAAAUCCAACCACAUUUGGGGUUUUGGCAGCCGACGAUUUUGGAUGAGGAGGAGAGUUUGGGCUUGAAAGUUGGAAUUUUUGCUGGGUUGAUGUUUGGGAAUUGGCAUCUGGAGCAAAUGUAGCGUUUGGUGCAGGGGAACCAAACAAGGCUGCUUCCUGUGUCCAUAAUGAAGGAAGAGGUUUGUGGGGGUGUCCCAAAGUUGAGGGAGACUGAGUAGUCGCCAUAGCUGUGAGGAAAGAGAGGGACUUGGGUGAGAGAAGAGUUGGGUUUUCUGGAGUUUUUGAUGUGGUGGGCUCUGGAAAUGGACGCGGAGGCAUGGAAGCUGAGGGCUUGGAGUGGAUCUGAAGAUGGAUGGUUGGGGAAUGGGGAGAGAGGGAGGGUGAUUUUGGAGGAGAGGGUUAGAAGGAAGAGAGAGAAGAGAGAGGUUAGAGUGAGAAGGGACUUGGGAUUGGCCAUGGAUUGUGGAUUGUGAAUUGUGGCAGGGUAGCAAGAGAUGCUGCUGCUUUCUGUAGGCUGGGUUUUGGUGGGCUUCUUUAUAGUGAAAGAAGCCAAUGCAGGAACAGAAAAAAGGAGAAUCAUGUUCGAUUUGAGCAAUAAAACUCCCCUUGUGCUGCACACAAUUAACAGGACAUGCCCCUGCGUUACAAACCUAACCUAAAACAUAUAUACAUACGUACUUUAACGGCUAAUCAUCGUUUGGGAGACUGGACAUGGCGACAUGUAUACAAUCGAGCUCAUUAUAAUUCUUUUUCUUUCAAUAAUUUUAGAGUAGUAUCUUAUAUUUACCACAAACGAACGAGGUUUAUUUACCCAAAAAAUUAUCGCACUUGCGAUUUAUGCUAGUAAUACCAUAACGCAAUUUUCACUACAUAAACAAUUCGAUUACUUUUAAGAUUGGCUUUAAUUAAGAAAGAAGAAACAACAUCUUCAAAAGUUAUAAUGAUUUUAAACUUUACAACUCUUUACCAAACUUUUAUCAUAAAAAAAGAAAUGCAAAGCUCUGAAUGGGACGGAUGGGGUAGCCUCCCAUCCCCCUUAACUUUUCCGUAUCAAGAAAGCUCUGAAUGGGUCAUGCUUCCAUUAAGUUUCCUUUCCCUUUUUUUUUCUUUGUUGGUAAAAUGCUUACUUUAUAUUUGGAAGCUGGAAAACCACAACAUGAUGAUUGGAACUUGGGACAGCUUAGCAUGGAAGGAAACAGCAGGCCAGACAGAGAGAGGUAGGGUAGCCUUGUAAUUUCAUGAAACCCCAGAUCCAUUUAGGUAGAGUUUAAAAUAUUACAGUUACCCAGACACCGCCGAAAAGUGUGCGGUAAAAAACAAAACUUGUAGCCGUUUGAAAGAAUUGUUACGUACAGUGGUCGAAAUACGCGGUAAGCCUUUCGUCUUAUUACCGUUGCCAAAUACAUCCGGCGUGUCGUAUAUAUGAUGAGAUUGAUAAUCCUCUGCUUCCGAGCUCACCGUAAACUACACAUGGUGGUGGAACGAGGGACCGAGAAGAGCAUUAGCGGUGUGGUGCGCUAGGUAGUAUGAUCCGGAUGAAACGACAAUCAAUUGGAUCAGGACACGUGAUUAUGUGGAGCGUCGUCGUGUCACUCUCACAGCUCCAAAAAAAUUAUUUUUUAUUUGUUUUUGGCUCCAUAGAUAACUGUUUUCAACAGUCUCUGAAGCCGAAAUCUUAUCUUCUAAUUUACAGAGAACCUAAGUCCACCAGUGACCAAGUUAUUUUAAUAUAAUAUCCCUUUUUAAAAAAAAUAAAAUAAAAUAAAUUAUGAUGAGAUUGGUUAUUCUCACCAUAAGUGUCAGCGCAUACUCACAAUCUUGAGUUGGAAGACUUACGCGUGACACUCAACUGUCAGCUAUCACCAGUAUUAAUUUAUGUAAAAAAAUUACAAAUCAUGCACCAAUGAAAACUGCUAACAGCAGUACUUGAACACUGGUGGCGCCACAUAUGAAAUGUUAUAUAUUAUAUGGUAUGAAACGGUUAUAAGCAUGACGCAACCUAGUAUAAAUUUAAACAAUAAUAGUGCCUUUAAAGUAUUCGGGCAAUGCAUGUUUUAAUAAAGCACCGUUUUAUUGUUUAAAGGCACUAUUAUUGUUUAAAUCUGUGUUAGGUUGAGCCAUGCUUUGGGAUUGAAGGAGAGCAAUGUAUGUUUAAACCCAAAACAUGGCCCCAAAACUCCUACAUCACCAGCUCUUUAAUGAUCAGCCAUUUGAUCCUCAAAUCCCCGUGCCACCAAAAUGAAAAUUGACUUCUCCAUGAACGUGAGAGAUGCCCCAGUGUCAAUUAUUGUCCCCCCACUUCCUUCAUAUCCUGGAACCAAAUUUGCUUGGGAUUUUGAUGUGCUUGUGCCCUACCAUAAUCUCCUCAAGCUUCAUACAUAGUGGUACCCUGAAAAAUGUGAGCUUCCUGCAAACAUAGGGCUCUUGAGCAAUUGUGUAUAGCUGAGCCCUACCAUAGUUGCGUUGUCCAAAAAACAGGUUGGUGCUCUUUGACAUCAUCAUGCUCGUGAGACAAGCAGCAAAAGGAAAAUUUGGUGAGACCCAAUUGGGAUGGCGGUGAUGUUGGUUCACUGCCAACCCCAGCAAGUCCAACAGGUUGCUGGGAUGAAAAAUUGGAGCAGCCCACAAGAAAACUUGUCACAUUUUGUUCCAAAGCUUCCAACAUUAAAUUCCCAGCUAUGGAUCCUAUUGAGAUCCCAUAAGUUGUCCAUGAAGCAGACAGAUAAUUAUAAGAUGGGCAUGGUGCGCCAAGUCCACAUUUGGAUCUGAUAUAUGGGCUGAUGAUUGGACUGCAUUGUUUGUCAUUGCACAACACAUAGCAAAGCAAGUGCCAUGGAUUCUAAUGAAUUCUCUCUCAGUUACAGAGAAUGAUUCAUAUUGUUGUUUGUUAAGCUUUUGGUGUUAACCUUAAUAAACCAUGAUCAAACAACAAAUACACCAGGGAGGCAGUAGGAGGCACACACAUAUAUUUUAAACCGAAAACUGUUCGUAAAUAUAAAAGAAAAACUUUUGAUUACCUAUAUAUUCCUAACCAUUAGCAAACAAAUGAAAAUGAAAACCUUCAAGAAAAGGUUUUGUUUUAUAUUUGUUUUUCAAGUAGAUAACUAUAAAGAAACCCAUUUCUAGCUAUAGAAUCAUAGAAAUACCCUACAUGAAAUUGACUCUGUAAACACACCCUACCUUACAUUAAACAGACUUUAUAAACACACCCUACUAUUGCCAGUUCUUUUUUUCAGUUUACUUAAUAUACAGAUUUCUUGAUUUACCAUUCAGUGUGAAAUUCAUUUUUUUUUUUAAAAAAAAAAACUUAAAAUUGGAUUAUUCUCUCUCUCUCUCUCUCUCUCUCUCUCUCUCUCUCUCUCUCUCUCUCUCUCUCUCUCUCUCUCUCUCUCUCUCUCUCUCUCUCUCUCUCCGGUUAUUACUCAAUUACAGCCAGAUAUGGAGCUACGGUCAGAGUUAUGAAGUCUUGUGCGCCCUCUUUUCUGUCCGUCCUUGAAACCAAAUGUAUAAUCCACGCCAACAGAGCGAGAGAGAAGAAGCCUCACGAAGCUCUCUGGUGCAGACGCGGACAUACUCAUCGAAAAGCACAAAGCAACACAGCGCUAGAAGUAGCAGCCUCGAUCUGAUGAGUUGUUGUAGACGAUAAUGGAUUUCUCGGUAAAAAUUAAAAUGGGCGAAUUUUCAUUUCCCAUUGUUUAUGCUUAAUUUUUGAUUUUCCGAUUAACUAAGCAGAAUUAAUCGUAUUUUAUUUUUUGCAAUUUUUUAGGGUUGAGCAAAGAUCGAGUUCUUUAUCAUUGGGCGAGUGGAUCUGCGCGGUAUUUAUACCAUUUGUAGCAAUCAUAGAUGUUGAUUUUUGCUGUGACUGAUUGCUUCAGCGACCGUCCUCGCCCAACCAAAUGCUGUUUCGAUUUCGGCAAUAUGUCUGUCCUUGCUAAUGAAACCAGAUGUAUGAAAUUUUUUUAUUUUUUAAAAUAUUCAGAUGAUUAAGAAAACUAUAUAUAUGCAGAACUUCGAAUUGUGAAUUAUUUACUUUUGCUUUGGGAAUUUUGGAAGAAAAAAAAAGAAAAAAAGAAAGAAAUGAUUAGUUAAUGAGAAUUUUGAAUGAUGUUUGUGCUGUUUACUUGCAUGAAAUCAUGAUGCAGUUACUGUUAAUGAGCUAGAGGCAUUGUAUGAGCUGUUUAAAAGUCGAGUAGUUCAAUUAUCGACGACGGAUCAAUUUCUAAGGUCAGCCAAAUUUCUUUGAAUCAUUCAAAUUCAAUUAUGAAAAAAUGUGUUGUUUCUUUCUAGUUUCAUGCAUUGUAGUAAUUAUUUGGAUGAUGAUUAUGUUGCAGAAAGAGUUUCAACUAGCACUAUUCAGAACUCCUUGUGGUGAAAAUCUUUUAUUGGACAAGGUAAAUGCUUCAUACCAACAUCUUGAACUACUUGACUAAGAUAUAUAUAAUUCCUUGCACCUACUACUAGGCGAAUUGGAUUUUGCUUUUCUAGGUUUUUGAUCUCUUUGAUGAAAAGAAAAAUGGUGCCUUUGAAUUUGAUGCGUUUGUUCAUGCACUCAAUGUCUUCCAUCCAUAUGCCCUUAUAGAUGAUAAAAUUUAUUGUAAGACUUACUGCUAUAAGAGGCAAAGCUAAAUGUUGUAUGUGUCUUUCUUGUUAUCUUAUGUUUUUGGUUUGUUAAUUACUUGCAGUUGAAUUUAGGCUCUAUAAUCUAAGACAAACUGGGUUCAUUGAGCAAGAAGAAGUGAGUCUUGUACUACUUUUUUACUGUAUUAACAAUGUACUUCUAUGACAUGGUAUUAACAAUGUAUUUUUAUGAAAUGGUUUGCGGAGGUUCGCUGGAGAAGGGUUGUGGGGACAGCUCCUUGAUUUUUGUUAUUUUAUUUUAUUUUUUUUGAGUUUAUUGUGUUUGGCUUGUUUUAAGUUAAUCAAUGGUAGAUAUGUAAUUUAUAGGAACUUCAACACUCAUUUAUUAUGUAGUAAAUGGUUUUUGGGUAUGUUUCUAAAGUGUAUUCCAUAUGGGUUUUUUUUAAUAAUUUCAGUCCCUAUUUUUGGUAUAUUUCCAAAAUAAAAACAUCCUAAUGUGGUGAACAAGGAAAAAAGGGCCCAAACAAAUUAGCCCAACUAAGCAACACACAUAGUUUAGAGGCCCAACCAAAGUUCAAACCAGUCAUAAAGCCCACAUGAGGCAUCUAGGCACAUCCAUUUCAAUUCUCAAUCGUAAUCUUCUUGCUUAAACCCUAACCUCAUAUAUUUCAAGUCGGAACUCCAAAUGAAAAUCCGUCAACAGAUAAUUACCAACAAUGAUCUUGGGACCGCCAUUUAAUUCAACAUUAGAUCUUCGAGAGGUUAAUGACAAGCACAAGGCAUUCAAUUUAUCGUCGUACAAGAAAUAACUAGUGGGAGGAAACACCAUUUUUGCACCACCAUUAAACACAAAACUUAAUCCUGGCACACUCUUAACGUCCACACUAACAGUGCUGAAGCAAGGUCCUAGAACCCCUUGAUUAGGAGCUCUCUUAUACUCACCCAUUUGAUUCACACUAACAAUAAUUUCUUCAACAUUCACGUAUAUAAUAUAUAUCCAUAGAAAUUAGGCAUGCCCGGGCCUUUCACCAAUGGCGUGUAGCUCAAGUCAUUGUACACUAAAUCAUCAUUCAAAACUAGGGCACUAUGUCUUCCUGUGUCAUCAUAAAAGUGUGGACAAUAAACAAAAAGAGAAUUUUUCAUGUACCAGUUGUGAAGGCAAUGAUUCAGGGGAACUAUCAAACCCAAUACUUCCAGUGUCUUCGAGAUAUUGUACUUACAACCUUUGACCAAUUGGUCAUGUUGGUUUGUUUAGUUAAUUUGCAGCCUCUUUUAAACUAGCAUAUGUGUUGGGUUUGAUCUCCAAUAGCACAAUUGGUUUUCGGCUCUUAUUAGGUCAACCUUAGAGAUGGAUUGAUUUUUAGCCCAAUUACUGUAUUGGGCCAGAGAUGGAUUGAUUUUUGGCUCUUAUAAGGAAAUAGUACCUAGGCGAUACGAGACUUCGCUAACACAUUAAGUUAAUGUUGCAAUAAUAAUACAAAUCAAUGCUUAAAUUACACAAAAAAAAUCAAGGGAUUGGAAAUGUAUCGUUUACAUCUUGCUUUUUGAUCGAAUCAAGCAAUGCAUCAUCAAAAGUUUUUAAAGUAUAUAUUAUUUGGCAAAUAAAAUUCAUAAACCAGAACCAUGUGCCAUCCAUAGACAUACAUGUUCGUCUUUGAGUACUCUUUGAAUGAUCAAAAUUUCACCAUCUCAAUGGCAACUAAAACCAUGGCGCCAAUUAAUGUCCCAGAACAUUAUCCGCGGUUUUCGAUCAAAUAUAUAUAAUAUGUAUGGAUCGAGCUUGAUAUAGUAGAUUAGGUUAAAUGUAUCAUAAUAUUAAUCGAAUCUUUUACGUAAGCUAAGGUUUGGCCGACCACUAAGUUUAAUGGCAUGGCAUGUUUUUUGCCUAUAGUAUAUAUAAAUCUAAAGACUAAACUGAACUGGUCAUGUACAUAAACGAUAACAUUUUGUAUAAAACUGACAAAUCAUCGCUUUUUGAUGAAUAAAACUACAAUUCUAUAGUUGAUAUUCUGGAAUUAUUUAUGUCCAAGAGAUCUAUCUUUGCGUGUUUCGGAUCUUGAAGUUGUGUGUGUUCGAUUAAUUAAUAUGUUGUUGCUCCAAGUUAAUAGCAAGUAAAUUGCAAAGAAUCUUUUUCCAAAUCAUUUGCAUAUGCCACCAUAUCUUUGUUUUUGUGUAAACGUAUCUUGAUGGGGGAUUUCGCUUCGAUCAGAAUAUCUCUUUUAAGCUUUUUUUUUUUCUUUUUAUUUCUAUAGGGUCUACAAAAUCACGUUGGACUUCCAAGAUUUUGGGCACAUAGUCAGAUUAUGUCACUCAGUUCACUUUGUAACAUAUGGUGCAAGACAUAAAAAUAAAACACUGAUUUAGGUUUGAGUCAUGCUAUCGAUAAUCUUUUUUAAAGUAGACUCUCUUUUUCUUUAUUUUUCUUAAUCAAGAGAAGAAGGAGAAAAUAAAAAAGAAGAUGAUGUCAAAUUUGUUCUGAAUUCAUACAUAUAUUAACUCGUUUGUAGGCGUAGAGGUUUUCUUGAAUUUUUUUUUUAUAAAAAAUUUGUUACAAAACCAACUGCCAACAUCCAACUUCCAAAAGUAUGAACUAGUUUUUUUAGGAAGAAGGAACGCAUUAAAGAGUGAAGGAGGUGACAAGGUGAAUUGCAGUCGAGCAGGUGAUGAUGAUUAGGGGGGGCUAGAUUGUCUGGAAGAUGAUCCCAUCUUUUACUGUCAUAAUCAUUACACUUUGAUUGAUUGAGUUUGAUUUGUCCAGAAAUUGAAUGCACAUUUAUAUUAUAUUUAAUACAAGAUCAAAACAAUACAUACUAAAAUAACUCUGAUAUUAUAUUUUAUGGUCAAUUUUUUUAAUAUUGAAGAUUCCUUAACAGUGUAUUUGAAUGGGAGAAAUAAAUUAAGAAUUUUGAUUAAAAUCAGAAAUUUUAAAUUAAUAUGAAUCAAUUUCCGUAUUUGAAUUUUUUUUUUAAUUUAGAAAUUUUGUAUGGAAAAAACAUAGAAUUUGAAAGUCAUAAAUCUCAACUUUAAAUUCUAUCUAAAAGUUGUCAUUUCUCACAUUUUAAGAGAAAUUGAGUUUAAAAAAAAGAUAACUUUACAAAUAAUGAUUAAAUUCUGUAUUUUAAAUCCGUUACACAAAUAAGAAACUUUAUAAAUUUUAGAACAUUAAUUUUCGUCCUUUUAAAUUCCAUCAUUUAUAAAUUCCUUUGUAUUUUUAAAUGUCCUCAUCUAAACGUACCGUAAAUUUAAUUUUUGUUCUUACAUAUAUCCCGCACAAAAUGGUAAUGUUUUAAUGUAAUGAAAAUUUGCACCACACAAAGUUCAUAGUUGACAAUUAUAUACUCUUUGCAAUGUAAUAAUACGUAGAUAAGGGUGGACAUGAUUAACAAGAAAUCCCCAAAAUCGUUCAUAUGGAACAAAUCGAUCCAAUUAAUAUUUUCUUGUCUUUUCUUAUUCUUGGAUUAAAAGUUGAUUUAAUCAUUCUAAGAACUCAAAGGCAAGUUAAAUGACCUAAUUCUUAGUUAAGUAUUAUUUAAUUUAUUAAGUGUUCAAUUUUUGGUCCGAAAUAUUUAAUGUCGAAAAAUCAAUGCAUUGUAGUCCAUACAGAUUUGAUAAUGAACGAAUCUAAAUUAUGCUUAUCACUCUCAAUCUUUCAUACGAUAGUUCAAAUAAUUAAAUAUGUUAUUCAUAUAUCCGAGAUUUGAGACUUUGUUUUUGAGUCUCACUAUCCAAUAUCACUUAUAUUAUUAUAAAAAAUAAAAAUAAAAAUCUGAUGCUCUCAUUAUCUCAUAACAUUAGUGACAUAAUUAACAAGUAAGAAAUAAGUAAAUGUGAGAAAUUUGUUACACACAUACUUGUGUAACACGGUGCAAUGCUGAGGACAUCACAGUGAAUCAGAACCCAAACUGCAAAGGGUAAACUCUUUUGGUUGAUCUAUAAUACAGUGGGACCCACGGAACAUCAAUGUUUUUCGGAAAAAGCUGAAGCUGUUCAUAAAUCUGCCGACACUGUUGAUGAGCAGUGACCACGUAUCAGCUUUUCCCGAUCAAUUUCCACGUGGAAGGACGAAGGCCGUACGAUGUAAUGUGUCUGACGUCAGCUGCAUUUAAGACAGAGAGUAGAAAGCGAACCCCAAUACACGUGCGAGAAGCCGCCGGCAAGCAACCCACUACGACUGGAGACUGGGGAAGAGCAGAAUGAACAAAAACCAGAAAGAGAGAUAAGAAGAAAAAAGAGAGCUUUGCACAAGUGUGACAUAGGCAUGUUGUUCGACAGUGAUGGAACUCUGCCUCGAGAUUCCCAAUGUUUUUAUUGGAUAACGCACCUUUUUCUUUUUUUUUUCUUUUUUUGGUCAGGUUGUUAUGUAAAUUCUUGGGACUUUAUUUAUAACAUUCUUUUUUAGUUUAUUUUCUAUUGGAAAGAUAACUUUUCUAAAUCAAGAUUUAAUCUAUAUAUAUAUAAAGUUUUUUUAAUUUUAAGUAUGUGAUAUAUAGUUUAGAAAUGAAGUCAUCUUCAAAAAUUGAAAUUGAAUGAGAUUUCAAAACUCUCAUUCAAUUACUAUUAUGAUCAUCCAAAUUAACAUGUUGUUGUGUUUGGUCAUUAGAGAUAUUGUACUCAUAUUUGGUAGUAUGGUUAUUCGAUAAAUUUUUAACAAGAUACAACUGAAAAGUUCAGCCACUAUAUAAUUUUUUAAUAUAUAUAAUUUUUAUUCAAUAAAAUAUGAAAAAUAUGUGUAUAUAAUACGUGAAUUCUGUCAAUAUUAUUGAAAAUAUUAAACAUGAAAAUACAUACAUAUACAUGUAUUGUAUGUUUGAUUGUUAAAAAAUGUGUAUUUGACCGAGUCUUUAAGGCGUAUACGGAAAACAGAAGUAUUAUUGAAGAAACGAUGUGUUGAGAAAAUCUUAAGUUACUUUAAUUUUAUUUAUUAACAUAUUUUAUUGUUUUUGGUAUAAAACAGUUUUUAGAAUUGAAUUUUAUGUUUUAAAGCACUUCCACUCAUUUGUCAUGACAAAAGGUAAAGGAAAACAAUGAGAGUUACUGUUUAUGUAAAUAGUGACUGCCUUAGCAAUUUUUUUUUAAUGCAUUCUCACUUAUUGCCACGGCAACCCAAGGGCAACUAUUAUUCACAUGAGAUAUGAUGAGAGGAAUUUGUAUGAAAUUUUGGUGUCGGAAGUGAAGAAUAUGACUAAGUAUUUAUAGGAAAAAAAUUCUAAAUUUUUUUUAUUUUGUUUCUUCAUUUUUUUAAUAUUUAAAUUAGUUGUUGAUGUCACAAUGACGUCAGCGUGAGAUCAGUUUGCCUAGGAAGCACCCCAGGCAAGUCUUAUCUUUGAGCUUGCCUAGGCUGAUGGAGCCCAGCGCUUGCCUUAGCAAACCUUAGCUUUUAAAAAUAGGAUUGGAGGCCUAGGAGGCCUCUUACCCGGACUAGCCCUCCCGCUAAAAAUGCUCUUAUAUACGUGGGUCAGAGUUGUCCGGGUGGAUGUGUUUUCUAACUUUGUGUUCUUUUAGGUUUUUUCUUAGUAAGUUUGUUGGACGGGUAAAAUUGAAUUCAAAUCCUGCAAAAAAAAACUUUUCGGGUCUUAAAAGUAGGUUGUUCUUUUGGGUCAAACGAUCUGAAAAGUAGAUUGUGGACUCUCAAUAUAAAUUUUCUUUUUUAAAUAAUAAGCAGUCAAAAAAGAAAAUUAAUUAAUUACAAGACGGGCCCAUAGGCGCCCAUAUUUUUUGUUUGAUAAACUGGUAAAAAGUACCAUAUAACUCAUGCUAAAUAAAAAUAUUUAUUAUUAUUAUACAACUUUCCCUAUUUAUAAACUGGCGCGUAUUUUUGGGAGCUAAUAAGAGCAAUUGACGUUAAUUAAAAAAAAAAUGUAUUUGAUGCACGAUGUAGAAUAUUAUAUUAGCCGUCCAUAAUUUUUUCAGGCUCUCCUCAAAUGGCUGCCGCACCCAGAAGAAUUUGGGUUUACACGUGAGCUGCAUGCCAUAUAAAUGAAGACAAAAAUCAGUAUUCAACUGCGUAGUUUUUUGGGUAGGAUAAUCACAUCGUUACGUGGUAUUACUUACAUAUAUUGUGAUAUAUAUGUAUAUAUAUAUAAUAUUGUAAGUACAAGUAUUAUACACGAAUUUACUAGUUAAGCUAGUUAUGUUAAAAAUAAAAAUAAAAAGGAGUAAAACUGAAAAUGUUUGUGAUCUCCACAACCCCAAUCAUAACUCAUGGGAACAAAUUGACGCUACCAUUGUAAGUCUAGUGACUCUAGUCCCAAACAUGUAUCGAAUUAGUCACAAAAAAGUUUCUUACACGCAUUUAUGUGAGUUGAAUUUGAAACUUACGCUAACUAGGUAAGUACAAUUAGUAUUCUAUUAAAGGAUGUUUGGUGUUCUAUAAUUGCAUGCACUGUCAAUAGUAUGUAACUUUAUAUUAGCCUGGAAAGAAAUUUAUAGAUUUUAAACAUAUACCGUAAAUUCUAAAUCUAUUAUAUAUCAUAUAUUUUCAAAUUUAGGGUCUAUGCUAUAGAUAAAAUUAAAAUCCUAAAUCUUAAAGAGUGUUUCUAUUUCCACCUCUUGUCCUAUUUUCUCACCCAUCUUAUCUUCAAAAUUUUAAGGGUAAAUUUAUCCCUUUGUAAAUUCUAAGGACUUAGGAAAAAAACUCUACUUACGUAACCCACUUAUUUUAUCUUAUUUAUUUCUCAUAGCAAUUUUCACUAAAAAUAAAAUUAAAAUUAACCCUAGCUUUCCUAAGGUGUGUAGCCCCACGUCUCAUGCCCAUCUCCACUGAUCUCUAUCUCUGUUGCAGAUUGAAAGAAAGAACGAGAUCUAUAAUUAAUUAAUAGUGUGUUUACUAAUUAAGAAUUUGAGUUUUCUUCAGGAAUUGAAUUUCACUUAUGGAGGAUUCAUGUGUUUACUUCACAUCAAAGAAUUGAAAAGUAAGUGGGGUCCAUAUAAAAUUAGGAAUAAACCAGGAGAAAUUCAAUUCUUGGGUAGAAGGUGGUAUUCUAAUUCCUGGAGAAUUAACCCAUUAGAAAUUUAUCUUUUUUACCCAUUAUAUCCAAAUUUGAAACCUAUUUAACCCAAUAACGAUGACAUUUUAGUAAUUAAUACCACUCUUACCCAAUUCCAUAUGGUUUAAUAAACAACUUCAAUAUGAAUUCAAAAUAUAAUUCUCCUCAAUCCAACUCAUCCUCAAUUCAAUUCAUCAUCGAUUUAAUUCCUCCUAAUCCAAUUACUGAUUAGUAAACAUGUUAUAAAAGUAAACUUAUUAAUUCCAAACAUUUAAAUAGGAUUGCUUGACAAGGUUCCCAACAAUAGGGCCAUUAAUCCUUUGCCCAUGGUUAGGCUUUAUCCCACACAAUACUAAAUGAAUAGUAAGCAUGAUAGAAAGCCAUGGUGCAGGAAGGAUUGCUUAUUUAGGACACCCAACUUUGUUGCCAUGGUGCAGGAGGAACUAAUGUCAUGAACUCAGCUUUGAUCCAAAGGACACUAAUUUUAUUUUUAUUGAGAAUUUGCUUAAAUUAAUAACUAAUAAGAGAAUUUGCUUGAAUUAAUAAUUAAAGGAUAUUUUAGGAAUAAUGGUGAGUGGAAAGAUAAGAUUAUAUUUUUUAAAAUUUACAUGGUGGGUGCGGAAAUAGGAUAGAGGAUGGAAAUAACAGCACUCAUCUUAAAUCGUGUGACAUAUUUGCUUAUUUAGAUAUAAACAUAAAUUUAUUUCAUUUCUUUCUAAACAAAAGGAAAUGUUCAAAAGUUUUUUUUUUUAAAAUCCAUGUACAACUAUAAAUUUCUAUUUAUUUGCUAUUGAAUUAAUCAUAGGCCAAUUCCUAAUGAUUGGGUGUAGCCUAGUGAAAAGGGGCUUUGAUUUGUAGACUAUUACUUGUAUCAGGGGUGGAUCUAUGUCGAGGGUUAUAUGGGCUAUGGCCCAUGCAGAUUUUUAAAAUUUUUUUUUUUUUUAAAGUGAUGUAGUAUUUACACACAACCAAAAAAAUAAUAGUUAAUAAUAUCGAUAAUGAAUAAAUAAAUAAUUAUUUUAAUUCUUCAAGGACUCAAGAGUGCAAGACAUAAUGAGCCAUAUACCUCUCAAAAUGGCUAAUUAAGAUUUUUAGAUUAUGUCCUCCCUAAUGAAUAAUGAAAUAUUUUAAUUCUUUGUUAUCAAUCAAAUUCGUUUGUGCCGUCAAGUUUCUUUUUAAGGUAAAUUCAGCCCACUCAAUUUUAAAAUCUUAGAUUCAUUCCUAACUUGUAUUUUUAAAAAAAAUGGUAGACCAACUCUAUUUUUAUUUUAGAGUAUUUGAAUACACCCAUAAUUAUGAGUUUCAUGUCAUUCAUAUUCAGGGUAUCCUAAUUCGAUUGAAUGAGAUGCUAGUUUCUCAUUCUGAAUCCAUUAUAUUUUGCAGAAAAAUAAGAAAAAAACAUAUAGAAAAAAUCAUGUCACUUUAAAAAGAAAAUACACACAUAUUUUUUUGGGUCCUAAACUGUUAUUAGUUUCUUUACUUUUUAUCACAUGCAUUGUAUUUGCAAUAUUUUUCCUUUUGGGCUCUCUCAAAAAAAGGAGUUCAUUGUUACUUAGGGCUUAUUUUUUGAUAGAUCGAUGCGAAAUCAGGGGAUUCCAAUUCUGUCCUAAAAAAUUUUGGAAUUUCAAUAUCCAUUCCAAUUCAAAAAACUAGGAAUUUUUGGAAUAUUUUGGAAUUUACAUAUUUGUGAAAUUUUUUGAAACUUUCAUAAACUAGUUCAAAUUUCUAAAUUGGAAUUUACCAUUUGAAGGAUUAAAAUUGACUCUAAAUUGAAAAAUCAUACGGUAAGCUUGGAAAACUAUUAUGUACUAGUACUUAUACGUUGUUAUCCUUUAUGAAAUAACUUGUCUAUGUCUAUUUUGUCAUCAAAUUAUUUUCAGAGUUCAACAUGAAAUUAGUAAUUGUGUGUAGUCUAAGCUUGAAACCUCAAUAUAUUUUGGAAUUUGGAAUUUUUUGGAAUCUCUAGAUACUAGGGAUGGCAACGGGUCGGGUAGGGGCCGGGUAUGACAAUACCAUCCCCGAACCCAUCCCCGUUUAUUAGGUUUCGGGGAAUCCCCAUCCCCGUCCCCGUCGGGGGACUAUCCCCCAUACCCGCCCCGAAUCCCCUAUUUUUUUGCAUAAAAAAAUAUUUAUCAUACAUUUUAACAUUAAGUUUCAUAUUAACUUAUCAUUCAACACAUCCAAAUUAACUAUAAAGUUCAACUCAACUAUUUAAAAUCACAUCAAUAUGAAAUUCCAUAGAAAAUUAGGAAGAAUUAGGAGAGGGAAGUUAACUUAGGGUUAAACAUAAAUAUUAUAAUUAUAUAUUUAUUUAUUUAAAUAUAAACAUAUAUAUUUUCGGGCCGGGUUCGGGGAUGGGGACGCCAAUACCAUCCCCUCCCCAUACGCGUCGGGGAUUUUUCAAGUUCGGGAAUUCCCGUACCCGAUACUCAUUUAGACCCGAAAUCUCCCCCUGUUAGGGUCGGGGACCCGACGAGGACCCGCCCUACGGAGAUUUUUGCCAUCCCUACUAGAUACAUUCCAAUUCAAAUCCAAUUUUUAUUGGAAUUUUCAGAUUUCGGAAUUGAUUUGGACUUGCCAAAAUUGAAAAUUUUCAAAACGGAAUUGAAUUUUUCAAUUCAACUUGCACCCUUACUGUUACUCCUCCUCCCUUCUCCUCUCCUCUCUUCCUUCCUCUUACUCUAUUCCUCCCCUCCUCUUUGUUCCUCCCAAUUUGGUGUCCAUUUUUUUUGGCUCAUUCUCCCCUUUGUGUGGGUGUUAGCUUGAGCUUUGCUCAUUAGAGGCAUAUGCCUUCAAUUUCUAUCCUUUUCGACCCAUAUAUGACUUUUCUCUCUUGUAUUGGUGGCGGCAGCAACGGUGACUAUGGUGGCUUCGGCGGCAUUGACUUUGUUUUAAUGUUUGUGUGUUUACAGAUUUCUCCACCAAUCGUUGAUGGAUGUAUUUCGACAUCUAGUCUCCACCACCAUCAAUUGCUUCUCGACUCCACGAUUAUCUCUUCCAUCAUUUAUCCUCGAUGACACUUAUGGAGUUGAGGAUGCUUUUAAAGUGUAAGUGUCACUUAUUGCUUGGUUUAUGGUAGUGUUCUUUGUAGCUUUGGUGGCUUGUCCACUGCCAUUUCCAUUUGUAGCGUUGAUUACCAAUUUCACUUCGACGGUUGUGAUCUUGCAUUGGUGGUGCAGCUUAUGGGUUUUGGGUGGUAUAACAUUUCCAUGUUCUUUGUCUUAGGGUUUCCUAAGUUAUUUGUGUGGGCUUUAUGCCUUUCGUGAGUUUAAUGACUGUAGCGACCUUUCGUGAGUUUAAUGGUUGUAGUAAGUUUUACGUUGAAUUUUGUUGAACUCAUUUUGGGUUAAAGUUUUUUUAUUUAUCAAAAGGUAUAAUUUCAUUAAAGCAAAACAAUGAAACAGUACAUUGACUUCAAACAGGCAGAAGAGUCAUAUUGUGGCAUCAUUAAAAUAUUGCCUUUAAAAAUCCCCAAAGAGGAAAAUCCAGUCAAGGAAAAAGAGUACCACGACUCCUCCCGUAAAGACAAAACAAAAGACUAGGUGUUUUCACAAUAUGUUGUCAAGGACGACCCCAACCAAGGUGGAGCGACAUCCUCCCACACAAAUUUAAUCCCUCCUCUUAAUUCCAAUUUUGCCAACAAAUGCGCCACCUGAUUUCAUUGCCAUGGGUGGAACACAACAUCCA
rnacentral:lncRNA from 1 species